rnacentral:lncRNA from 1 species
GUGCUGAGUGCUACUGUUGCGAGAAUAAGAAUGCCGACUGUUACAAGACGAAGAGUGAGUGCCUGCAGAAGUGCCAUUCCUACAACGGUUAAUGCCCACCUUCAUCGCGGUCUCUGGGAUAGAAUUCCAUAUGCUCGGAAAAUUUGUCCGUAGGUAAUAAAAGGCACCUUAUAUGGUUUGGGCAAUUAGGUCCCAAUUAAACAUUAGAUAGCCGGCAUGUUUCCGUGGAGAUCCAACAAGGAAAAAUUUGAUGAAAGAAAUCCGAGUAACUAGUUGUCUUGCAUAUUUACAAAGUUCAAAUCCUUUGGUUGUUGUGCUUUGACUCGAUUGUCUAUUAUGCCAUUUCAUUUACUUGCACAUUGCCCACUUGUUCAUUUAACACACAUCACCCACUUGGUGAUUUGCCAGUUGUGGGCUGACAGCCAUAUAGAUUUAUUUUUUUGAGAUCUCGUCAUAUAGAAUUGUAAUAGCACUGACAUGGAAAAGGUUAAAAACUGAAAAACUGAAAAAAGUAAAUCAAACAAACAAAUGGUGUGCAAACUAAAUCAGACGGCACAAGACAAGUGAGAUUUAGUCAGGACUCUUUCAGAUGAAGAUAAGCAAAUUGCAAGAAAACAACAUGCAGAAACAAUUUUAUAUCAUAGCAUAACAUGCAAAAAAGCACAUAUAUAGUACAACGACAACCCACGUGUCUAUAUGCUAUCUAUAUGUAUAUCUAUCUAUCUAUAUCUAUCUAUCUAUCUAUCUAUCUAUCCUUACUAAUAAAAGACGGAUCAUUUAUGCCCAUCCGUCUCAUGUUUUGCAACAAAAUACCCUACUUUUUUCUUUAAUUAACCCGCGGUCAAGGUUUAGGUGAGGUUCGUCCGUUGUUUUUUUUGCAAAGAACGAGGAAACGGUUGCGUUUUGUGAGAUUCAAACUCAUGAUGUCCCCUCCAUGCCCAAAAGCCACAGCCAACUGAGUUAGCAUGCACUUGUGCUACCAAAUAGGUCCAUUAUUUCAUUAAAUUGUCCAUCCUUGAUUCUUUGCAUGAGAAUACACAAAUUUAUAUGUGAUUGCAAAUUGCCUGGAAAUCAACAAGCCAACUCGAUAACCAAGAAAUAGAGGGAGAGGAGGAAUUCACUCAAUAAAUAGUGUUAACUAGCAGGGUUUCCCGCGCAUUUGUGCGGCUAGCUGACCCUUUCCGAUGCCAACUAUAUGGCCUUUCACUAAACUAUAUUUUGAUUAAAUUUACACCUUGUAUAUGUCAUCAUAGAAAAAAUGAAAAUCGUAAUGAAACAUGCAAGUGCAUCAGGUUGUUCAUUUUAAUAUAGAAGUGCAUUAGGUUUUUAAAUAAAUUCCUUGGCAUGUCAGGUUGCAACACAGAUAAAAAACCAUGUAUGGGAUUUCAUGCCAAUCUUGGUGUUUUUCCUGUGUGAUCACUCCUCCUUUGUAUCAUUUAAUAGGUUUUCAAGAAAUUCCCUACCAAGACUUAAAUCUAAACAUGAAAUUCUGGUAUGUAAAGGUCCCUUCUUCUAGUCAUACCAAUCAACGGACGCAUUCUUAACUACCUUUUCUUGAUUAAUGCCGCCUACCCACUUAUGUAUCAAGAGAUUCACAUCUUCUAUCGUGCUUAUUUUUUCUAUUGAUAAUAUUUUACAAAAUAUUAUCUUUGACUCACUCCCUUUUAAUUUCUGAAGACUUUGAAAGUGAAGAAAUUGGUGUGACCUUGAAGACUUGGUAUUCAUUCGAGGAACAUGAAGCGUGAAGACUUUUGUUUUAGUAGUUUCAUUUUCUCUUUCUUGAGUCAUAGGAAACACUGUACUGUUAAAGGGGGUCGAGUAAAUACUAAGGAAAAAUUUCCAAGUGAUGCUCAACUUAAAAUCCUACACCUACCAAUCCCUUCGAGUGAAGCCAUUGGAAAUCUCAUGCAGUUCAGUCAGUUUCUUCAGUGACAGAGACGAAGUACUUCUGGUCUCUGAGGAAUUUGUUCUGCCUAAGGAGUUAGGAAUUCGCCAGUGCGGAUUGCCUACAAGUGAGGAACAUGAUAGCCCUGAGGAAUUAGACACUCGAAAUUCCGACCGUUGCUGUGCUAUGCGCCAGCUGUCCCAAAAUAUCUUACCCACCUAACGGUCAUAUCAUUGAAGGGCAUUUAUGUCUUAUCAUGUAGGGCUGCUCCCUAGGCUAUAAAUAGCCGCCCCCUACAACGACUAUCUGGUUGGCUGCUCCGAGAGAAACCGACACUUGUCAUUUGAGAACAUCCCAUCCUCCGAGGACUUUAAGCGAAAAUCAUCAAGUGAGGAAAACCCAAACCCAAACACCUAAAAACCCAAAGUGAUUGAGCAUCACUAAAGAGAUUGAUCCUGCGUGGAUCCGACACUUGUUACCUUUGAAGAAUGUGCAUCUUCCAGAUGGUUAGGCGUCAUGGUCUAGAGCAUCCAAGAGGAAAUUGUUGAUCGCCGAGUGACCGAGUUUGUGAAGGUUUGGAAGUCACCUGAAGACUUACCACGAGUGAUUGGGCGAGGCUGUGUGACCGUAGCGAUGACGGACGCUGAGACGAGCACGUGACACCACUACCACCCUAUCUAUCAUCGGGUAACGCGAGUCGAGGCAAACGUCGUCGCGGUAGCGACGACAGACGCCAAGACGAGCACUUGACACCCUGGCCACCCUGUCUAUCUUAGUGUAACGCGAGUCGAGGCGAACGUCAUCGCAGUAGCGAGGACGAACGACGAGACGAGCACGUGACACUACUACCACCCUCUCUUAAAAGUCGAGGCGGACGUCGUCUAGCUUGUCACGUCAAAUUGACACAAAAAAUGUUCAUUUAAAAAAAAUAUCAGAUAUUUCGGAAAAUGUUCUUGUUUUAAAGGAAAUUUCAGGAAUUCAAAAGUUGUUUAGUUCUAUAAAUAUGUUCUUGAUUUGAAUUUUUCUCAUUAAUUUUAAAACAUGUUCAUAGUAGAUCAAUUUAAUGAACAUUUCGAUUCAACCAAAAAGAUGUAGAUCAAUUUAAUUCAGCAUGUUAAUUUUUGUUUAAUAAAAUUAUGUUCAUGGAAAGUAUUAAUCGAAAGGGAAUAGAGGAAUAGGCGAAUUUAUUUUUUUCUGUGUAAAAGUAGCUAUUCAUUUUAGUUGAAAGUGCUAGUUCAUUUCAAUUAAAAGUGGGAUUUCCGGCCCAUUAGUGUCCGUGAAAAACCGCUGGCCCAGAAAGGGAAUAGGAAAACACAGGCCCAAAAGGAAAAAACGUGGAAAGGGAAUAGAGGCUAGGUGAGGUAUUGGGCCAAGGCUGGGCCGAACUCACAAAAAGUGGAGCUCUCAAGGCCGGAAUUGAUCACGAAAGGGAAUAGAAUGGGCGCAACCGUUCGCUAACUUUGUGGUUUGCUGUCGCAUCGAUCUGGUGCGAAAUGAGAGCUCCUAUGUGUCGCAUUUUACGGCAAAUUGCCACCAUAUCGCACAGGGGCGCCACCGAGUGGGCCGGCCCAUUAGCAGCACUGCAGCGAGCCAAUAAACGCACUGUAGCUAAAAACUGAGCGCCCCCGUGGAGGCAUCGACCUCGCGACCUCUGGCUAUUGAAUGACUCUCGCUAGCCACUUGAGCUGAUGGCCCGUUGGUUAUUGUUAUACACCGCGAAAUACUAAAAGCACUACUCGGAGGAGCUGAUCAAACAUGUACUGUAGCGACCGGACUGUGUACUGUUACGACAUGAACAAGGCAAGGUAGAGUUUUUUUUAGAAGCUCCAAAUCUUUCUUUGAAAAACGUGAACAUUUUUUAAAAACACAAAUAAAAAUUCAAAUUUCAAACAUUUUUCAAAACAGAUAAAAAAAGUAGAAACCACAAAAGUAUUUUGAAUUUGUGAACAUUUCUCCGAGAAAGGGAACAUUUUUUAAAUUCCGAACAAAUUUUGAAAGCCUGAACAUUAUUUGAAACUCCCCGAACAAUUUUUGAAUUUGUGAACAAAUUUUGAAAACGAGAACAUUUUUUGAAAUUGUGAACAAAAUUUUGAAACCACAAACAUUUUUUGAAAUUGGAAGCAAUUUUGGAAUUUGUGACUUUUUUUCAAAAUGAGAACUUUUUUGAAAUUCUGAAUUAUAUUUGAAAUUUUCAAAAAAGUUCGAAUAGAAAAAUAAACUUAAAAAAGAAAAAGAGAAAAAUGAAAAAGAAAACAAAACAAUAUUCAAAAAUUCAUGAACGUUGUUUUGAAAAUAUUUAGAAAAGAAGCGAACAAUUUUUGAAAUUUCUGAACAAAAUUUGAAAACAGGAACAUUUAAAAAAAAUAAGGAUCAUGUUUUGAAAUUCCCAAACAAUUUUAAAAUGCAAACAUUUUUUGAAUGUAGAAACAAAAUUUGAAAACAGGAACAUUUUCCAAAAUUUGAACUUUGUUUAGGAACCUGAAUAUUUCUAGAAAAAGAAAAAUGAAAUUGAAUAAAAAGGAAACGGAAAAAGAAAAACCUGACCACAAAGAAAUAGAAAAACGAAAAGAAAAGAAAAAACCGUAUAAAAGAAAAAAAAACCCGGUUCAGGAAACCUUCUGGAAGGUUCCCAAAGCCGGAUGGGGUAGUGCCAAUACGAUCUACUCAAAUGGGCCGGCCUAGUCGUGUCGAUCGGCCGAUCGCCUGUGCGUUGCCCCGGCAACUUGCCGCAACGAGCGACAAACAAGAAAUUCCGUGCGAAAAAUCAAGUGCGCCUCUUAGGACGCGCGCUAGCGACGCCGCAUUGGAGUUCUCUCUAUACGUAUACUUGCUAGCGUUGAUCAAGCACGGAAAUAAGCGAGCUCACUUCUCUCUAUUAGCUAGCUAACACAAUAUAUGAAACCCCCUCUCCCUUCUUUCAAAAAAAAACAAAACCCCUGCUCCUGCCAGCUGCUGACGCGUGGAUGCCUUUUGGUACCGGUUGGUGUUACCAACCGGGACAAAAGGUGCUCCAGCCUAGGCACCUCGCAGCGGCCACGUGGAGCCCGUUGCGAAUCGGGACUAAAGGUUUUGGGCUUUAGUCCCAACCCUUUAGUCCCGGUUCCAGAACCGGGGCUAAGGGGCCUCUGAAACCGGGACAAAUGGGCCGGUUUCUAUGAGUCGAAGCUCCAUCCUCCUUUCUGGUCCUCUGUUCCUUUUCUCAUAUCAGCUUUCAUCCAUCUCCCAUACUGUUGCACCUCACCUCUCCCAAGUCCAAUAGAACACGCCUUGUUCACGUGUCCAAUUAUACCACACGUGUAACAAAAAUCAGGGAGGUACUCAUACUCUAGGGGGCACCAUUUUUGCUCAUCAUCUUUCUUCUUUCUUUUAUCCACGUCCAUCACUUCUGCAGACUCAUUGUCUUCUCCCGUUCAAUAUCCAAAGUGAUUCCUCUCAACAGUGGCUUUGUAAUGUCUAGUCUAACUUUCAGAACUUCCAGCCACAUUAUCAUCAUCCCCCUGGUUACCUCCAUGAACUCGCCAGUCUCGUCACCAAUGAUACCUCCGUUUUCAUCACUCAUGAAACCGAGCGGCAUCUUGGUCACCCUGACCCAAAUAAGGAUGAUAGUGAACUCAUACUCUCCUAGCGUUUUAGCUGGGUCGAAAUCUACCAUCACAAUCAGGUCCUUGCCCACCAUCCAUGGCCCUUCCUCCAAUGCUUUCCUCUUCCCCGCUGCUUGCAAGAAGGUGAAAAGAAAGGUGUUGUCCUCUAACCCCUUGCACUUGAUUCCCUUGAUCGGACACCACACUCUUCCGAGGGAUUUGAUCAUACCUUCCAUAUAUACUGGUUUCUCGGACAUAACCUUACCGAUCGCCUGUGGAUCUUCCGUUCCCGUUCUCCUCAACCCGCCUCUUCCGAUCUUGACUCCCUUCUUCUCUGCUUCUGGCAACCGCAACUUCUGCAUCAAACCUUCCACUUUCUCCAUUGUGUCGAGGACUUGCAUCGAUCUAUGGUUUACUAGGUGGUUGUAUUAUGAAUGAAUGCCCUAGCAACACUCGUAAGGCUUUUGGUGGAUGGGUGAGCGGUCUCGAGAUCAAUCCAGCAAGGAUCGCCGAGGCUAGGGGGAGAGUUUGCUGGCGUAGGCCAGAGACGGGGUCGCCUGAGGGGACUCUAGGGUUUACCAGGAGUCACCGCAGAAUCCCCUGGGAAUCGCCCAAGCGCCAAUCGUGGAACCGUCACCCAAGGACGGACGGGUUAAGGAUGAUAAUUAAAGCGGACUUUGAUAGAGAGACACGUGAGAAAUAGAGUGAUAGAGAGAGAUACGUGAAAAUUAAAGCGGUUUUAAUUUCUUUCUUUUCUGUAAUUAAAGAGAUACGCAUGAGAAAUAGAGAGAUAAGAGAGAUACGUGAGAAUUAAAGCUGUUUUAAUUUUUUCCGUUUCUAUAAUUAAAGAUCUGAUCUACACAGUUAUAAUCUUGACCCGCAAAAUCAACGGCCUCCAUUUUCUAUUUUUCUCUAAUUAAUGUGGGAAUUUCUUGGGAGUGCCUAUUAGUAUAGGUAUAUAUAUGUGCAAAAAAUCUCGACAUUAAUGAACAUAUAUCUGGUGCACUUGCAAUCUUUUGUAGUACAUUAAUGAAUAUUUAAAGUAUUUUCCAACUCUUGCUAUUUAUAGACUUGUCAUCCGUGUCUGCCACAUUUGGAGUCCAACUAUUUCCUACUGGAACCUUACACUCCACUAGAACUGAGUUUGUCAAGUAACAGAUAACCAAUAUGAGAGGGAGCAGCCUAGUGCAGGGGACGAUGAUAUUCUUCAUUGGAUGCCUUGUGCUUUGUGCACAGUGUAAGUAUAUAUCAUCAUCGUCUUUAGAAUCUUGUGUUAACUUCUUGCCACUAAUUCUUCGGAUCAGACAUACAUACACACACACAUCUGCGGUACUGCAUACUAAGGUUAAAUAUACUAUACAGGUGCUCUCGAUAAUAAGCAAAGGAUGGUCAACCAAGAUGAUCAUGCGGCGAACACAAGUACCAACGCUACCAUCAUCAACUCAACAUCUGUAGGCGAGAGCAAGAAAACCGAGAAAUUUUGCAGCCUCUUUCUCGUAUGUUAUUUCAACAUUGAGAUUCGUGCUGAGUGCUACUGUUGCGAGAAUAAGAAUGCCGACUGUUACAAGACGAAGAGUGAGUGCCUGCAGAAGUGCCAUUCCUACAACGGUUAAUGCCCACCUUCAUCGCGGUCUCUGGGAUAGAAUUCCAUAUGCUCGGAAAAUUUGUCCGUAGGUAAUAAAAGGCACCUUAUAUGGUUUGGGCAAUUAGGUCCCAAUUAAACAUUAGAUAGCCGGCAUGUUUCCGUGGAGAUCCAACAAGGAAAAAUUUGAUGAAAGAAAUCCGAGUAACUAGUUGUCUUGCAUAUUUACAAAGUUCAAAUCCUUUGGCUGUUGUGCUUUGACUCGAUUGUCUAUUAUGCCAUUUCAUUUACUUGCACAUUGCCCACUUGUUCAUUUAACACACAUCACCCACUUGGUGAUUUGCCAGUUGUGGGCUGACAGCCAUAUAGAUUUAUUUUUUUGAGAUCUCGUCAUAUAGAAUUGUAAUAGCACUGACAUGGAAAAGGUUAAAAACUGAAAAACUGAAAAAAGUAAAUCAAACAAACAAAUGGUGUGCAAACUAAAUCAGACGGCACAAGACAAGUGAGAUUUAGUCAGGACUCUUUCAGAUGAAGAUAAGCAAAUUGCAAGAAAACAACAUGCAGAAACAAUUUUAUAUCAUAGCAUAACAUGCAAAAAAGCACAUAUAUAGUACAACGACAACCCACGUGUCUAUAUGCUAUCUAUAUGUAUAUUUAUCUAUCUAUAUCUAUCUAUCUAUCUAUCUAUCUAUCCUUACUAAUAAAAGACGGAUCAUUUAUGCCCAUCCGUCUCAUGUUUUGCAACAAAAUACCCUACUUUUUUCUUUAAUUAACCCGCGGUCAAGGUUUAGGUGAGGUUCGUCCGUUGUGUUUUUUGCAAAGAACGAGGAAACGGUUGCGUUUUGUGAGAUUCAAACUCAUGAUGUCCCCUCCAUGCCCAAAAGCCACAGCCAACUGAGUUAGCAUGCACUUGUGCUACCAAAUAGGUCCAUUAUUUCAUUAAAUUGUCCAACCUUGAUUCUUUGCAUGAGAAUACACAAAUUUAUAUGUGAUUGCAAAUUGCCUGGAAAUCAACAAGCCAACUCGAUAACCAAGAAAUAGAGGGAGAGGAGGAAUUCACUCAAUAAAUAGUGUUAACUAGCCGGGUUUCCCGCGCAUUUGUGCGGCUAGCUGACCCUUUCCGAUGCCAACUAUAUGGCCUUUCACUAAACUAUAUUUUGAUUAAAUUUACACCUUGUAUAUGUCAUCAUAGAAAAAAUGAAAAUCGUAAUGAAACAUGCAAGUGCAUCAGGUUGUUCAUUUUAAUAUAGAAGUGCAUUAGGUUUUUAAAUAAAUUCCUUGGCAUGUCAGGUUGCAACACAGAUAAAAAACCAUGUAUGGGAUUUCAUGCCAAUCUUGGUGUUUUUCCUGUGUGAUCACUCCUCCUUUGUAUCAUUUAAUAGGUUUUCGAGAAAUUCCCUACCAAGACUUAAAUCAAAACAUGAAAUUCUGGUAUGUAAAGGUCCCUUCUUCUAGUCAUACCAAUCAACGGACGCAUUCUUAACUACCUUUUCUUGAUUAAUGCCGCCUACCCACUUAUGUAUCAAGAGAUUCACAUCUUCUAUCGUGCUUAUUUUUUCUAUUGAUAAUAUUUUACAAAAUAUUAUCUUUGACUCACUCCCUUUUAAUUUCUGAAGACUUUGAAAGUGAAGAAAUUGGUGUGACCUUGAAGACUUGGUAUUCAUUCGAGGAACAUGAAGCGUGAAGACUUUUGUUUUAGUAGUUUCAUUUUCUCUUUCUUGAGUCAUAGGAAACACUGUACUGUUAAAGGGGGUCGAGUAAAUACUAAGGAAAAAUUUCCAAGUGAUGCUCAACUUAAAAUCCUACACCUACCAAUCCCUUCGAGUGAAGCCAUUGGAAAUCUCAUGCAGUUCAGUCAGUUUCUUCAGUGACAGAGACGAAGUACUUCUGGUCUCUGAGGAAUUUGUUCUGACUGAGGAGUUAGGAAUUCGCCAGUGCGGAUUGCCUACAAGUGAGGAACAUGAUAGCCCUGAGGAAUUAGACACUCAAAAUUCCGACCGUUGCUGUGCUAUGCGCCAGCUGUCCCAAAAUAUCUUACCCACCUAACGGUCAUAUCAUUGAAGGGCAUUUAUGUCUUAUCAUGUAGGGCUGCUGCCUAGGCUAUAAAUAGCCGCCCCCUACAACCACUAUCUGGUUGGCUGCUCCGAGAGAAACCGACACUUGUCAUUUGAGAGCAUCCCAUCCUCCGAGGACUUUAAGCGAAAAUCAUCAAGUGAGGAAAACCCAAACCCAAACACCUAAAAACCCGAAGUGAUUGAGCAUCACUAAAGAGAUUGAUCCUGCGUGGAUCCGACACUUGUUACCUCUGAAGAAUGUGCAUCUUCCAGACGGUUAGGCGUCAUGGUCUAGAGCAUCCAAGAGGAAAUUGUUGAUCGCCGAGUGACCGAGUUUGUGAAGGUUUGGAAUUCACCUGAAGACUUACCACGAGUGAUUGGGCGAGGCUGUGUGACCGUAGCUCAAGGAGAAUACGGUGAGGACUGUGUGUCCGGGACUAUGUGUCCUCAGGUUUAAAUACCUAGCCGCUCCAACCAGACGUACAACUGUCAUAGCAGUUGGAACUGGUCUACCAAAUCAUUGUCUUCACCAACCCUACUGGUUCUAUUUCCUCAACUCUUUCAUUUCCUCAUUACUGUGUUGUGUGCUUGUUCAUAUCUUUUUGAAGACUUUGACUGAAGACUUUCUCAAUUUCCUCAGUUUAAUUUCUUCAGUCUGUUUUGUCUUCAUCAUGUUUUAUCCUAUGCUUACGCUUCCUGUACUCUGUGUCUGUUUUCGUUUCAUCAUGAUGACCAUGUUUAUGUUAUGUCAUGUAUGGAUCUGAGUACUUAUUCCGCUGAAGUAGUUCUUCGCUAAGGAAUUUCCUCACCCUGAAAUUCCUCAGUGAAGAAUUCAUAAAAAUCGCCUAUUCACGCCCCCUCUAGUUGACUUAACGAACUUUCAUCGUCACAUUAGCAACGCCGCACGCCGAGACGAGCACGUGACACCAAGGCCACCCUAUCUAUCUUACGGUAACGCGAGUCGAGGCGAAUGUCGCCGCGGUAGCGACGACGGACGCCGAGACGAGUACGUGACACCACUGCCACCCUGUCUAUCUUAGGGCAACGCGACUAGACGCGGACGUUGUCGCGGUAGCGAUGAAGGACGCCGAGACGAGCACGUGACACCAUUGCCCCAGUCUAUCUUAGGGUAACGCGAGUCGAGGCGGAUGUCGUCGCGGUAGCGGCGAUGGACGCCGAGACGAGCACGUGACACCACUGCCACCCUGUCUAUCUUAGGGUAAUGCGAGUCGAGGGGGAUGUCGUUGUGGUAGCGACGACGGACGCCAAGACGAGCAUGUGACACCACUGCCACCCUGUGUAUCUUAGGGUAACGCGGGUCGAGGCGGACAUCGUCGCGGUAGCGGCAACGCACACUGAGACGAGCACAUGACACCACUGCCACCCUGUCUUAGGGUAACGCAAGUGUCGAGGCGGACGUCGUCGCGGUAGCGACGACGAACGCCAAGACGAGGACAUGACGCUAGGGCCACCUUGUCUAUCUUAGGGUAACGCGAGUCGAGGCGGACGUCGUCGCGGUAGCGACGACGGACGACGAGACGAGCACGUGACACCACUGCCACCCUGUCUAUCUUAGGGCAACGCGACUCGACUGCCAUGUGAUAUAGGUCAGAACUUUUCUGAAUACUUAGUGUCGCCAUGUGAUCCAGACGAAUAAUUAAGAAAGUAUAUAAUUUUACAACCAUGGAUACGCGAGUCGAGGCGGACGUCGUCCCGAUAGUGAUGGCGGACGCCGAGAUGAGCACGUGGCACCACUGCCACCCUGUCUUAGGGUAACGCGAGUCGAGGCGGACGUCGGCGCAUUAGCGACGACGGACGCCGACACGAGCACGUGACACCAGGGCCACCCUGUCUAUCUUACGGUAACACGAGUCAAGGAGGACGUCGUUGUGGUAGCGACGACGGACGCCGAGACGAGCACGUGACACCACUGUCACCCUGUCUAUCUUAGGGCAACGCGAAUCGACGCGGACGUCGCCACGGUAGCGACGACGGACGUCGAGACGAGCACGUGACACCACUGCCACCAUGUCUAUCUUAGGGUAACGAGAGUCGAGGCGAACAUCAUCGCAGAUGCGACGAUGGAUGCCGAGACGAGCACGUGACACCACUACCACCCUAUCUUAGCGUAAUGAGAGUUGAGGUGGACGUUGUCGCGAUAGCGACUACGGAAGCCGAGAUGAGCACGUGACACCACUGCCACCCUGUCUUAGGGUAAUGCGAGUCGAGGCAGACGUCGUCGCAUUAGCAACGCCGGACCGCGAGAUGAGCACGUGACACCAAGGCCACCCUGUCUAUCUUACGCUAACGCGAGUCGAGGCGGACGGCGUCGCGGUAGCGACGACGGACGCCGAGACGAGCAUGUGACACCACUGUCACCCUAUCUAUCUUAGGGAAACGUGAGUCGACGCGGACGUCGUCGUGGUAGNNNNNNNNNNNNNNNNNNNNNNNNNNNNNNNNNNNNNNNNNNNNNNNNNNNNNNNNNNNNNNNNNNNNNNNNNNNNNNNNNNNNNNNNNNNNNNNNNNNNNNNNNNNNNNNNNNNNNNNNNNNNNNNNNNNNNNNNNNNNNNNNNNNNNNNNNNNNNNNNNNNNNNNNNNNNNNNNNNNNNNNNNNNNNNNNNNNNNNNNNNNNNNNNNNNNNNNNNNNNNNNNNNNNNNNNNNNNNNNNNNNNNNNNNNNNNNNNNNNNNNNNNNNNNNNNNNNNNNNNNNNNNNNNNNNNNNNNNNNNNNNNNNNNNNNNNNNNNNNNNNNNNNNNNNNNNNNNNNNNNNNNNNNNNNNNNNNNNNNNNNNNNNNNNNNNNNNNNNNNNNNNNNNNNNNNNNNNNNNNNNNNNNNNNNNNNNNNNNNNNNNNNNNNNNNNNNNNNNNNNNNNNNNNNNNNNNNNNNNNNNNNNNNNNNNNNNNNNNNNNNNNNNNNNNNNNNNNNNNNNNNNNNNNNNNNNNNNNNNNNNNNNNNNNNNNNNNNNNNNNNNNNNNNNNNNNNNNNNNNNNNNNNNNNNNNNNNNNNNNNNNNNNNNNNNNNNNNNNNNNNNNNNNNNNNNNNNNNNNNNNNNNNNNNNNNNNNNNNNNNNNNNNNNNNNNNNNNNNNNNNNNNNNNNNNNNNNNNNNNNNNNNNNNNNNNNNNNNNNNNNNNNNNNNNNNNNNNNNNNNNNNNNNNNNNNNNNNNNNNNNNNNNNNNNNNNNNNNNNNNNNNNNNNNNNNNNNNNNNNNNNNNNNNNNNNNNNNNNNNNNNNNNNNNNNNNNNNNNNNNNNNNNNNNNNNNNNNNNNNNNNNNNNNNNNNNNNNNNNNNNNNNNNNNNNNNNNNNNNNNNNNNNNNNNNNNNNNNNNNNNNNNNNNNNNNNNNNNNNNNNNNNNNNNNNNNNNNNNNNNNNNNNNNNNNNNNNNNNNNNNNNNNNNNNNNNNNNNNNNNNNNNNNNNNNNNNNNNNNNNNNNNNNNNNNNNNNNNNNNNNNNNNNNNNNNNNNNNNNNNNNNNNNNNNNNNNNNNNNNNNNNNNNNNNNNNNNNNNNNNNNNNNNNNNNNNNNNGCGUCGCGCUAGCGACGACGGACGCCGAGACGAGCACAUGACACCAAUACCACCAUGUCUAUCUUAGGGAAACGCGAGUCGACGCGGAUGUCGUCGUGGUAGCGACGCGGACACCGAGGCAAGCACGUGACACCACUGCCACCCUGUCUAUCUUAGGGUAACACGAGUCGUGGCGGAUGUCGUCGUGGUAGCGACGACGGACGCCGAGACUAGCACGUGACACCACUGCCACCCUGUCUUAGGGUAACGCGAGGCGAUGCGAAUGUCGUCGCGGUAGCGACGAUGGACUCCUAUACGAGCAUGUGACACCACUGCCACCCUCUCUUAGGGUAACACGAGUAGAGGCGGAGGUCGUCGCGGAAGCGGCGACGGAUGCCUAGGCGAGAACGUGACACCACUGCCACCUUGUCUUAGCGUAACGCAAGUCGAGGCGGACGUCGUCCCGAUAGCGACGACGGACGCCACGGCGAGCACGUGACACCACUGCCACCCUUUCUUAGCGGAACACGAGUCGAGGCGGACGUCGUCGCGAUAGCGAUGACGGACGCCAAGACGAGCAUGUGACACCGCUGCCACCCUGUCUUAGGGUAACACGAGUUGAGGCGGACGUCGUCCCGUUAGCAACGACGGACGCCGUGACGAAAGUGGAGCGCUCAAGGCCGGAAUCGACCGCGAAAGGGAAUAGAAUGGGCGCAACCAUUCGCUAACUUUGUCGUUUGCUGUCGCAUCGAUCUGGUGUGAAAUGAGAGCUCCUAUGUGUCGCAUUUUGCGGGGCGCCACCGAGUGGGCCGGCCCAUUAGUAGCACUGCAGCAAGCCAAUAAACGCACUGUAGCUAAAAACUGAGCGCCCCGUGGGGACGGACGCCGAGACGAGCACGUGACACCACUGCCACCCUGUCUUAAAAGUCGAGGCGGACGUCGUCUAGCAUGUCAUGUCAAAUUGACACAAAAAAUGUUCAUUUAAAAAAAAUAUUAGAUAUUUCAGAAAAUGUUCUUGUUUUUCAGGAAAUUUCAGGAAUUCAAAAGUUGUUUAUUUCUACAAAUUUGUUCUUGAUUUGAAUUUUUUCUCAUUAAUUUUAAAACAUGUUCAUAGUAGAUCAAUUUAAUGAACAUUUCGAUUCAACCAAAAAGCUGUAGAUCAAUUUAAUUCAGUAUGUUAAUUUAUGUUUAAUAAAAUUAUGUUCAUGAAAAGUAUUAAUCGAAAGGGAAUAGAGGAAUAUGCGAAUUUAUUUUUUGUGUGUAAAAGUAGCUAUUCAUUUUAGUUGAAAGUGCUAGUUCAUUUCAAUUAAAAGUGGGAUUUCCGGCCCGUUAUUGUCCCUGAAAAACCACUGGCCCAGAAAGGGAAUAGGAAAACACAGGCCCAAAAGAAAAAAACAUGGAAAGGGAAUAGAGGCUAGGUGAGGUAUUGGGCCAAGGCUGGGCCGAACUCAUGAAAAGUGGAGCGCUCAAGGCCGGAAUCGAUCACGAAAGGGAAUAGAAUGGGCGCAACCAUUCGCUAACUUUGUCGUUUGCUGUCGCAUCGAUCUGGUGCGAAAUGAGAGCUCCUAUGUGUCGCAUUUUGCGGGGCGCCACCGAGUGGGCCGGCCCAUUAGCAGCACUGCAGCGAGCCAAUAAACGCACUGUAGCUAAAAACUGAGCGCCCCCGUGGGGGGAGCGAACUAGCGACCUCUGGCUACUGAAUGACUCUCGCUAGCCACUUGAGCUGAUGACCCGUUGGUUAUUGUUAUACACCGCAAAAUACUAAAAGCACUACUGGGAGGAGCAGAUCAAACAUGUACUGUAGCGACCGGACCGUGUACUGUAACGACACGAACAAGGCAAGGUAGAGUUUCUUUUAGAAGCUCCAAAUCUUUCUUUGAAAAACAUGAACAUUUUUUAAAAAUACAAAUAAAAUUUCAAAUUUCAAACAUUUUUCAAAACAGAUAAAAAAUUUAGAAAACCACAAAAGUAUUUAGAAUUUGUGAACAUUCUUUUGAAAAAGGGAACAUUUUUUAAAUUCCGAACAAAUUUUGAAAGCCUGAACAUUAUUUGAAACUCCCCGAACAAUUUUUGAAUUUGUGAACAAAUUUUGAAAACGAGAACAUUUUUUGAAAUUGUGAACAAAUUUUUUAAACCACAUACAUUUUUUGAAAUUGUAAACACUUUUUGAAUUUGUGAAAAUAUUUCAAAAUGAGAACAUUUUUUGAAAUUCUGAAUUAUAUUUGAAAUUUUCAAAAAAGUUCGAAUAGAAAAAUAAACUUAAAAAAUAAUAAGAGAAAAAUGAAAUAGAAAACAAAAAAAUAUUCAGAAAUUCAUGAACGUUGUUUUGAAAAUAUUUAGAAAAGAAGCCAACAAUUUUUGAAAUUUCUGGACAAAAUUUGAAAACAGGAACAUUUUUGGAAAUUCCGAAACAAUUUUAAAAUGCAAACAUUUUUUGAAUGUAGAAACAAAAUUUGAAAAAAGGAACAUUUUCCAAAUUUUGAACUUUUUUUAGGAAUCUGAAUAUUUCUAGAAAAAGAAAAAUGAAAUUGAAUAAAAAGAAAACGGAAAAAGAAAAAGAAAAACCUGACCACAAAGAAAUAGAAAAAAAGAAAAGAAAAGAAAAGAAAAAACCGUAGAAAAGAAAAAAACUGGUUCAGGGAACCUUCUGGAAGGUUCCCAAAACCAGAUGGGGUAGUGCCAACGCGAUCUACUCAAAUAGGCUGGCCCAGUCGUGUUGGUCGGCCGAUCGCCUGUGCAUUGCCCUGGCAACUUGCCGCGACGAGCGGCAAAUAGGAAAUUCCGUGCGAAAAAUCGAGGGCGCCUCUUAGGACGCGCGCGCUAGUGACGCCGCAUUGGAGUUCUCUCUAUACGGAUACUUGCUAGCGUUGACCAAGCACGGAAAUAAGCGAGGUCACUUCUCUCUAUUAGCUAGCUAACACAAUAUAUGAAACCCCCUCUCCCUUCUUUAAAAAAAACCAAAACCCCUGCUCCUGCUAGCUGCUGACGCGUGGAUGCCUUUUGGUACCGGUUGCUGUUACCAACCGGGACUAAAGGUGCUCCUGCCUAGGCGCCCCGCAGCGGCCACGUGGAGCCCCUUCUGUCCCGGUUCAUAAGCGAACCGGGACUAAAGGUUUUGGGCUUUAGUCCCGAACCUUUAGUCCCGGUUCCAGAACCGGGGCUAAAACUACAAAAAAAAUACACUUCCGUGGUGAUACACGUUUGUCACAGUAGGUCGCAUUUUCUGUCAUGCAUGUACAUCCAUGACGAUUUUAUGACAGAAUCAAGGUAGUCAUACCUGUGCUGUCGUAGAAGUGUUCCAUGACAUUACCAAAAUUAUCAUCACGGAAAUGUCCACUUCCAUGACGAUAAAUCCCGCGUCACAGAAGUGCUUUCGUCAAGGGUGACCGACACGUGGCAUCCACCGUAACGGAACGCCGUUAAGCUAUCGGGUCGGGUUUUGGAUCCGAUAACCCGUUAACAACCCCGACCAAUGGGGAUUUUCCACGUGUAAAAUCAUCAUUGGCUGGAGGAAACACGUGUCGGCUCAUCGUUGGGACAGAUGUCAUCCACUCAAUGGACAGAAGGCGCCUAUGAUACGUCGACACGUGGCACGGCCCAACAGAGGCCCAUUCCUGUGAAAAGGCCGGCCCGUUUGACUUGGUCAAAAGGUGGCGGGCCGGCCCAUGUAAAGCCUGUUAACUGCCUGUUCGCAUAUAGCCCAUUUACAGCCCGCUAACCCAAGGCCCGUUACGCCCUAUCCGAAUUAGGCCCAGUAGCGUCAUCUGGGCCACCCAAUAUGAUUCCAGCCCGUUUUCACUUCUGGCCCAUGUAUGGCCCAUGACGUCUUUCGGCCCAUAUGAGGCCCUAUGUAACUCUUGGCCUAUUAACGGCCCGUGGUGAAACUGGCCCGUAAUGAACAGUGUAUCACUUUACACCCAUUAACGGCCCGUGGUGAAACUGGCCCGUAAUGAACAGUGUAUCACUUUAUACCCAUUAACGGCCCGUUAUCCCGUUGGGCCGUUUCCAUCCCAUGUUAUCUUUCGGCCUUCUCAGAGCCCAUUUAUUCUUGGGCUCAUUUACAGCAUUCGUUUACUUAUGGCCCGUUACUGUCAUUUUCUGCUUGUGGGCCAAAUUCAGCCCGUGGUUACAGUCCGCCCGUUUGUGGUCCGUUAAUACGUUGGGCCGUUUUCAUAGCGUCAUCAAAUACGGCCUAUUAACGAUGGUCCGUUAUGGUCGGCCCAUGAACGGACGAUUCCAACUCUAGCCCGUUUACGGCCAUAAUGCGGCAUGUUAUUGGCCCAGGUUUGGCCAAUCGAUCAUACUGCCCGUAUAAGGCCCAUUGAUGAUACGGCCCGUAGAAGGCCCAUUGUUUCUACGGCCCAUAGAAGGCCCAUUGUUUCUACGGCCCGUAGAAGGCCCACUGUUUCUAUGGCCCGUAGAAGGCCCACUGUUUCUACGGCCCGUAGGAGGCCCAGUGUCACUACAGUAAAUAUUAGCCCAUGGUUAUUGUGGCCUAGUUUUAAAAAAUAGGCUAUUGCAGCCACUAGCAAACCGCGGAAAAAGAACUGCAAUGACUGCAAGCAAACAAAUAAACAAGACAACAAGGAAAUAAACAAGCAAGCAACUUAUGCUAGGCUAUCACACAUAUUACAUCCACUGGGCAUCAAAGUUCGCCACCAGUGCAAAUAAACGCGCCGACAAAAGAAUAUACAAAACUGAGAGCACUUCAGGAGGCACUAGGCCUGGCCAUGUCGGGCCCCCCAAACAGCCGAAGAAGCUGAGUAGACCUCGGUUGUGUCAACGAUAGAUGCAUCAACACUAGAUUUAAGGCAUGAUGGUGCGCAUGGCAGUCCUCUGACAUCUUCAUUGCAUCUUUGACUUCAAGUCGGAGCUGAGCUGAAGCAAGCCUUUCCGCUUUAAGUUGAGACUGAAGAAGUCGAACUGAUUGAGGCAGCGACUGCACAGAGGUUGUCUCACACCUGCUGGUGAGUAGCUUCAACUCACUGUCUUCAUCAAGACAGGACCUCGGGGUCAUCUCGCUGUCCUCAAGAUGGUUUGGCUCACUAUCUUCCCUAAAGUUCUGCCUGGCGUAAGAGAUACGAGUCUGAAAGAGAAACAAGGAGACACGUAACAGGUUUCACAAUUAUAUAAGCAAAUAAAUGGAUCUGUUCUGCAUAAGGAACAUGUUUUUACAACUACAAUUUGAAACUGGUAGUUGUUGCAAACAUCCAAUCAGAUGUAAACAGCAAAGCAAACAGCAGUGGAGGAAAUGAUGCCUAUCCAAAUCUAUACUAGAACAAAGUUUGAAGGCUUGAGAAGGAUGAACUUACAUUACAUGUUAACACGGGCUGGACAAAGUCCUUCUCCAUGUUGAUGGAAGGAUAAUUCAAUAAAUUCCCCAAAGAAAAUUCUUUAUAAGCGUUGCCAUUAUUCUACAUUUUGCAAAGAGUAAAUAUAGAUCAAAUAAUAUUGGAAGAAACAGAGGAUAAUGAAGCUCAGGUGCAGACUGAUGAUACAUAAUCAAAUAGCAAUUAAUUAAGUACAACGUUACAAGGCAAAAGGGAGAGAGGUACUGACAAGAGCAAUGCAGAGCCCAUUAUUGUUUUGAGAUUGUAUGAUCCUUUGAGCAAGGAGAUUCAUCUGAAAUUAGUUUUCAUACAAGAGAGAAGGUAAGGCACAAGAAAAAUUUAGGAGUUCAAAUUUUGAAUUGAUAUCAUAGACAGUACCUGACGCUGGGCUCCCAGCAGUUCUAAUAGGGGUUUGGCCACUGGAGUAGGGGUAAAGUGUGGUACAGUUGGGCCUGUGUUUUCUGUGGCUGCUGAUCUAUCUGAUUUAACAGGUAUCACUACCUUUUCCAAAUACCUAGUUUGUACUCCUUGAGGAUCUGCACUCACCCUCUUCCUUUUGGAAAUCUAUUACGAAAGAACAACAUUUGACUGGAAAAACAUAGUGUGACGAGACAUGGAAUAGGUACAGAAAAUGGAUAGGUAUGGCAUAUACUCAUAUAUGAUGCUUAAACUAAGCAGAUGGUGUAACAAAGUAGAAGUAAUGCAAGCGGUCAGAUGCAAAAUAUGCGCGACCAAUACAACUUUGCAAAGUUAGAGCAAGCACCUUGAUGGGUGAAUAAGAUAGGCCAUCCUCCACCAUGCCAAGUUUGUUAGCCAGUGAAUCGUUCCGCAAUAUUCCUCUCAUGCGCCCAUUCUCAUAUUCAUUUUGAUAAUGUUCAAUAUCUGACAUGCAUGAAAACAUAAAAACAAGUGAGAUUUUCUUUGUAAUGCAGAAGUGAUUCUAAUCCAAUACUGCCUCCCUGUAAACCCCUUUGUGCUAUCUCUGCAAUUCUUUUAAAAGAUGCCAUGCAUGCUGUAAUUUGUUGUGUGCAUUAAUAUAAUGUCGCCUACUACUCAAAAUAUGAGAGCUCCAGAAGUGAUGACACUUCGCAGAUGAUAGCUUCAACAUAUAGUAAAGAAGAACAAGUCGACCUGACCUGACAUAUUCAAAAUAUACUAAGGGAGAACAACUCGACCUGACCAGUCGACCGCAAGGGAAGAGUAUCAUCUUAAAGAAGAGCAGAAGAGCAAGCAGAUUGAAGAUAUUACAAGUCUUUCAAUACAAUGUCGGUUGGCCACCCAUGAUGAACCAGAGCGCACAGAGAAAUACUAUUCUUUCUGGUCUCUCCAUAUGUGGCUCACAUGCAUUUCGAAACUAAAGAAGGAACAUUUAGCUAACCAAUUAAACAUCUCUCAGUUUUACUAAUAUCAGCAAUAAUAUCAUAUAUGAAUUUGUACAACUAAGCUUUUUUAGCUCGAUGGGUGGAGCAGUGCUAUUACGACACGAACCACGUAGGCUGAUUGUGGUCAUCAUAAAAUGGGGAAAACAUAAGCAUGAUGAGUACAGUGUUGACCGUGGCAGUGGGAUGGCAGAUCUGAAGCUGCAAACCGCGCAAAGGGUAGUUAGCAACCGAUGUUUGCUUUGAAAUAACAACUAAGAUUUGGUAUGGACAAGAAAGUACGGUCAACAAGUGACAAAGAAAUGCAAUUAUGCUGUCUCUCUAUAUGUCGCGACAUGCAUUUGGAAACUCAAGUGGGACCUUUAGCUAACCAAUUAAAUGUGUCGGUUAACUAAUAUCAGUAUCAUAUCACAAUCAUAUUUGAACAACUAAGCUUUCGAAUUCUGAGUGUUGUGUUGUUUAGCUUGAAGGGUGGAGUAAUGCUAGUACGACAGAAAGGACCUACGCAGAUCAGAGUAGAGUAGAUAAAAGGGGAAAACCCUAAGCAUCAAGAGAAAAAUCAGGAAAGUGGAACUAGCUGGACCAGUGGGUGGCGCACAUGCUUUUUGAAACGAAUAUAGGAACAUUAGGUGACCAAUUAAACGUUCUCUGUUUUAGUAAUAUGAGCAUCAUAUCAGAUUCGUAUUUCAACACGUAAGCUUUGGGUUGAGGUCUUGAGGAGCAGUGCUAGCACGACACGAAGCACCUACGAUGAUGGUAGUGAAUAUAAAGGGGGGAAACCAUAAGCUUUACGAGUAUAGUGCCCGUGCCAUGGAGGAUCUGAAGGUGCAAACCGGACAAAGCUACUUCACAACCAAUGUUUGCUUUCAACUAGCCACUAUGAUUUGGUACGGACAAGAAAAGUAAAGUAAACAAAUUACGGUCUAUUUUCCGGGUGAGAUCAAUAACUUAAGCACAUAUGGAAGAGUACCACCUCUCUUGCGACGCCGUGUAGGCCUAUGCUGAUACGUUGAGGGUGCUGCGGGUGCGAUGGCUAUCGGCGGCGGGGAAGAAGACUUUAGACGGCAGACGACCGGGUCAGGGGAUAUAUCCUGUUGCCGUGGACGAGGCGGUCGUAGGAGCGGCAACGGCAAGGUGGACGACGGCACCGAUGAAGCGAGAGGAGGCGAUGAAAGGAUCCUGGUCCAACGCCGUGGAUGAGAGACGUCCAUCUCUUGCAGUGGACGACGGGGUAGGGGUAGCGGCUCCGGCAAGGUGGAAGAUGGGGUGGCGGACGGAGGAGGCUGGCCGCAGUGCGGAGGUUGUCGUGCCGCCGACGGUGUAUGAAUGGGGAAAUGGAGGGGAGGGGGGAUCUCAAACUUUGGGACGCGCUUCUCUGAAAUGGGGGAAAGUUACGAACUUAUCCCCCGUUUAAAAUUUCGGACAUCGCAUCGGUUGGGGAUAGGACGGUAAUCUCGCAUCUCCCAAAUAUUUGCCGGUAACUAUUUCGGGCGAGGAGAGGGUGUUUUGCCGCCCACGGUUGGCGCCCACGGUGUAUGAACGGGGCUGACAGGUAGGGCGGUUGUGUCACGUCUGAUGGAAGUUACACAUCUGCCCCUAUUUAAAAUAUUAGCCUACAUCGAUUUCGGACGAGGAGAGUUUGUUUUGCCGCCCACCGUGUACGAAUGGGGAAAUGGAGGAAGAGACACAUGUCUUUCGGACGAGCUUGAAUCAAAUGUGUUUUGCUGCCCACGUUUGGCGCCCACCGUGUCUGAAUGGGCUCAGAGGCCGUCGUGUCACGUCUGAUUUAAGUUACUAGUCUACCCCUAUCGACAGCAGUGUAAAUCCGGUCGAUAAGGAUGUCAAGUGUGAGGGGUAGACAGUAAUUUCCAUCUCGCAAACACUUGCUUCGGGCAGCCCACAAAUUACAGUGGGUGUUUAGCCUCUUCGUUCAAAACUUGGGAGAAUUAGCAUUCACGUUUGCCCUGGGACCUGGCAAACUAAAUUCAAAUCCAAUUUGUAUUCAAUUACGAAUAUCCACAGAUAAUUAUACAUUUUGUUAUUUAUUUCUUCGAAACCAUAACAAACAUUUAUUCCACCUUUAUAUAUGAUUAUGAUUUAGAAAUGCCGUGAUCUUCGAAUUCAGUAGGUUGGAUACACUCUGAGUCAAACAGUUAUUUCAUCCAAUACAAUAUGCUCACACGAAAAACAGUUCACCUUAUGUCAAUCAUACAAGUACUGAGGAUUACCUCGCCUAAAAAAUUCGGAUCAUUACAACACAUGGACAACAUAGGGGGUCUUGCAACAUAAUCCAUUCAGAGAUAUGACACAACAUGCAAGUACAAUAAUCUAAUGACAAUUUCAACUGGUAUCUAAAGAAGAACCGGGAUUACCUUGGGCUUUAGAUAGCAGAAACAGCAGGACCUCCUCCGUCUUCAAAUGCAACAUUCUUACUUCCUCCAAUUCUAGGGUUGCUUGCAUAAUGCGUGGCGCUAAUUCCGUAAUUUCCAGCCUCAAGAUAAAGAUUACCUCAUUGAUGGCAGCCCCACCAUCUCUUUCUGCCUCUAGUAGAGCCUCAAGCACUAUAAUAUCUGUGCUCAGACUGCUCUCCGGCGGUGUUGCCUCUGAACUGCUACCAUCUGGUAACAUGGAUGGCACACUGCUUCCACAAAUAGAUUCUGGGGUUGUACAUUGUGUCCAAGUGUGAACGGCAUCCUGGAAGGUUUUCGCUGGACAUCAGUAAGAGAUAGUUAUCGUAUGAUCCAGGCAGUAAGCUUACAUGGUAAACGAUGGAUGAAUUAUUGCCGAGCAUGGCAAACUAUAUUUAAAUGGUUCGAAGCAGCAUCAGCCGAAAAGAAAUUAAAAUUGUAAGAUGAAACUAGGGAUGUAAGUGGCAAAUAAACGACAUCCGCCAGUCCCAUCUAGUUAGUUUUUGCUACCUCCCUAGUUCAUUUUCCACAAAAAACAAAAACUCUUUUGAACUAUCAUACCACUAGUGGACUUUAAUCGGGAUUAAACGGGACCCAGUUGACAUCCCUAGUUGAAAGGGAGUGUACAACCGCUAUAUUUAAGUUGCCAAGGCAUCUAAGCAGUUGAAAUAAUCUGAGAAAGCACUUAACAGUGUGGCCUCAUAUAAACUACCAAGACAGUCUUGUGAUGAAGUUGAGAGGAAAAGUUAAGGACUCAAAUGAAAUAGGCAUGCAUUUCUUUACGAUAGUACAGCAGGCACUGCUGACAUAUUGGACAACUCAGGUAUAGCAUAACAACAAAUAAGCAUUCGAAUCAAGCAAUACAGCAAAGCAGACAACUGAACUAUUUGUAAUUCGGUAGGAUUACAUGUUGAGGGCACAAGCCAAGAAAGCAGCCCACUCGCAUUACAUUUCACAUGUACUAAAACACACUGGCUUACCAUAUGUUGCUGUGAAGCCUAGCUGCUGUUGCAAUGUUCUUUGAAGAUAUCGUCAGCAUCCCGUGGUUGCAAAUCUAGUUGUUGUAGUUUAUUCUGCACCAUCUAUUUAGGUAAAAUUAAUUUUAAUCGCAUGCACUGGUCCGAAUUGAUCAUCAAUGGUUCAUCUAAACUAAUGAAAGAAGGGUGUGUGCAUACACGACAAUAUACCUGCUUCCCUCUAUUUUUAUGCUUGUUCGAGGUGCCAGCCCCAAAAGAACAAAUAUUUUGCUUGAUGGGGUUGGCAGCUCCAUAAUUAAUAGAAGCAUCAAAUUAGUCAUGCAACUUGGGAAGAUCAAGAACACACAAACAAGUAAUGAACAGAGGCUCGGAGCGGUGAUGUAAUAGCUAGCAUCAGAAAAUGUAGGGUAAAAUGAACAAAAAGCAGCGGAACCACAUGCUAGUUUGCUGAUGUGUAAUUAAGCAUAGAGAACAUUAAGCAGUCUGAUGGAACCAACAGGUGGCAUCAGAACAAAACUAAAGCAUAUUAACUAUAUGUGCACUAAUAUGUAAUUUAGCACAUGUAACAUGUUCACUGCCAGAAGAAUGGCCCUACAGGUGCAAGCAGAAUAACGCGUCUCAUGAAAAACUGAAUGAUGCCCUGAAGAAAUUCAAAGGUGCGGUGCUUAUGCUAGGAAAGUGAACGUAGGCGCCGGCCGUUGGAUAAUAGUACCUGAUUCUCGGCGGCGUAUGGGUAUCGUUGUCAUACUUGAUAGCUAAGGAUCGUCGAUGGUGCUCGUGUUGCGGUUGAGUUUGGGCCGGCUGUCGUCGUCGCUGAAGCGGCUCCGGUGCUACGGUUGCGGUGCCUGUCGACAUACAAGAAAGUUCAUCUGUGGUAAGUGAACAGUUGCACGAUAAAGAGAAAAACCGAAGGAGUACAAAUUGAAAUAACCUGAUGAGGCUGCGGCGUCGGUAAAGCAGGGCCGGUGGAGUUGAAUAUGGUGUCUAUGGAGCGGGUCCGGUGUAGUGGACGAAGGCUUCGACGGGCCUGUUGUACAGUGCUUUCGGUGAGGCGGAUCUGUUGCGGCGGACGAGGGCUUGUAUGAAGGGCCAGCGAAGGGGCGGACGAGGGAGUCAGUGAAGGGCCUACGCUACGGUGGACGAGGGCACCGGUUAAGCAGAUCCGGUGCGGUGGACCAUGAUGGCGGUCAAGGAGAUCUGGAGCGGUGGACAAGCCAGUCGCUGAAGCGGCUCCGGUGAAGUGGUGAGUUGGCAGUUGGGGGUUCCAAGGUGCGGAAGGUAGAUCUGGCGGGGUGUGAGGUCCACCGCUGCGGCGGAGGACUAGAUUCGGCGGCUUGCCGUGGUUGGGGGGGUCGGGGAGGGGAAGGGGAGGGGCUCUGGGGAAGAAUGUUAGGGGCAAAGAGGGGAAAACAAUGGAGUUACCAAAGCAGCCCUUUUCCGUUCAUGUGGCAGGGGUAAAACAGGAACAUCGCAGGGCUAAACUUUCGGGCGCGUGAUAUUUCGAUGUGAGCGGGAAGUUUGAAAGCUUUUCGCACCUAAAAAUAUAAGUAUUCUGCUCUCGUACGACCGACUAUGAUAUCAUGGCCGACAAUUUGUUUGUUUUGCACGCAAAAAAUGUGCAAGUUUUGAAAAUCAAUGUCUCCAACUCGAAACUUAGAUUGUCCAUUCAAUUCAAACAUGGUUCAUUGAGCUACUACAAGCAAAUACCAUCAUACGGUCCAGUUCAAAUGAAAUUCCAAAUGUGUUUAUCCUAAAUAUGAUGACAAAAGCAAAAAUGUGUAUGUGUAUGAAUAAAGUGGAUGAUUAUAAAGUUUGAACAUGCCCGUAUGUGUAUAUCUCUAGGUUUGAUAUAUGAAUUUGAAAUCACAAAAUCCCGGCUUAAAAAAUGUACCUCCGUUUAAAUGAAUUACAAAAGCUAAUGAUGGAGUCGAAUUCCAAAAUUCCAAUCUUAGGUUUGUAAUUCUGGUACAUCAAGGUAUAUCACGCAUGUUGAAAAGUAUCAUUAUCUCAUAGUACAAACUGUGAAACAAAUUGAUCAACCAUGAGUGCACAAUAUCUCAAUUACGCUAAAGUCCCUCAAAUAUAGACACCUCACUCUUUAUCUGAAGUCAACCCCCCACCACCACACACACACACACAUAGAGAAGUCGUUCUCUCCCCCAAACACCAACACACGAGCACAUUAACACCCCUCUCUCUUGUAAAGUCCGGACCCCAACAUAGGUCUCUAUCACUUUGUCUCUCGGGCAUGCACACAUGUCUUCCCUCACUCUCUAGGUCUCCCGCUAUCUCUCUUACCCAAGAACACACACUAUGUAGAGUGUAUAUUUCCCAUACACACAAAACGUUGCCCCCAAACGUCUAUCUCCCUAGUUAUGUGGUUCUCGCGCACUCACCUCACACACCACCCCCACUACAAACAAGCACACUUUGUCUCCUUGUGCACCACUCUCCUCUUUCUAUCUAUCCCACAUGCGGACCCGCCCCAGCUCCUUCCCUGUAUACAUAUAUGUCGUGACUCUUUGCAUAGCUCCCUAAUGUAUAAUCGUUCUCGAUUUCGCACAUUGUUCUCUACACCAUCUAUUCUAGAUCUCUCAUGAAGUCCCUAUCACACACACGAUGACUCGCUUCCCUUGCGUCUCCGUUCAUAGGCCAAUUUCGGAUAACAUCAACAUUGUCUCCCUAUCUAUACGCCAUUUAUGGACACAAACGACCCCUCUCGCCCCCUCUCUUCCUCUCUCUCUCUCUCUCUCUCUCUCUCUCUCUCUCUCUCUCUCUCUCUCCGUCGCUAGCUCUCUCUUUCUCUCGCUCUCACACCCCUCUCCCACACACACACUCGAUGUCUCUUCCAAAUAGUCUGCUCCCCCCACCCGCACCCGUGCUAUCUCGCUACUACACAUGUCACACCAUUCCCCUUCCCUUAUACUAGGUUUACAUCAUCAGUGGUCUCUCUACUCCACAUACACUCUCUCCCUCUCACACACAAACGCAUGCACAAACACACACAGACACGCACAAACACCCAUUUAUCUGGAUCCUCAUCUCUCCUCAUGUCCGCAUGUGUAUCUCACACACUCACUCUCUAAUUAUGUAUAUGUGUCUCCACGUUACACAACACAAAGCCCCAUGUACAUGUCUCUCUCUAUCCUCCACACACAUAGACACAAAGAAUCUGUUAUCAUUGCCUUAGUCUCUAACAUAUCACACACGCACACUGUCUCUCUCUCUCUCGCAAACACGCUCAACAAGGGUUUCCCCGUGAAUAACUUACCGUCUAUUCAUCAACAGUCGUGGCAGUACGGCGAACACGAGACGUGAAAAAAGAAUAAAUCUACACGUGCUUAGACCACCUAGUAUGACUACUAGGACUAGAGCAAGCCAAAAAGCGUGCCGCCGUCACCCCCUCCUUGUCGGCGACGGGAAAAUCUUUGUUUUACACAGUCGAGAAGUCAUUGUGCUAAGGCCCCACAUGCUGAGGUGUUGAAUAGAAUGUAGAUGCUAGUUUACGGAAGCAAGUAUCGAUAAUAUGUUUGUAUCUCCAUACUUAUAUUUCUUCUCUUAUAAAAAACCGAGUUGGUGAUGAUGGUACGUGUGCCAUCUUGCAAUAUAGACCGUCCGAUCUAUAUCUGAUGGAUGGAAAUUAAACUAAAAGAUACCCGCACCCCUCUCCACAUUUGGAGACAAGGCCUUCCCUCGUUCAUCCUUAUCUCCAACAAACCUCAUUGUUGAGCAAUUAAGAAAGGAAGCCUCUGGAACAAACUGGCCUGGUGGCCGCUGCCGGCGUCGUCAAUCCCCAUGCCUCCGCUCAGUCCGACCACCAACCACCACCACACCCCACUCCUCUUCACCUUAUCUCAUAUUUCUCGAGAUAUCAUUAGUUUUUACACAUGGGAUUACUCCCGCAAGGGUCAAUCACAACAGUGUUUUAUAAAAAAAUGCAUCUUGAUGUUCCAUGCAAUGCACGGAUCUUGCUAUUACUCCUACACAAGACUAAGUUGGUGAUGCUGGUGUGUCUGCCAUCCGUCGUUUCUGACCAUUAGAUCUACAUCUAACGAUUGUGAGGUAAGUUGUUGCCUUUUCUUACCAACAUCCCACUUGUCUACCAAUUUGCAGAAAAACCCAUAAUUAGUAUCUUAAAACCAACCACAUCCCUCCCUGACCUCACCCAAACAGCCCAAGGAAUAUAUUCUAAUUGAAACAUAAUAUAUCUCUAGUGACAUAUGUAUAUCAAAAUUAGAGUGUUUUGUACCAAGUUUGUGAAUAAGUAUUAUUCUAAUUAUGAUUCGUUGCAACGGACAUGAACAUUGCUAGUAUUUCCAACCAUGCAUUUUUUCCUAGUAUUCCAUAGUUUCGAGUUUUCCAUCAAGAUAUUAGUCACUCAUGGUUGAUAUUUACUUUCAAUCAUGUACCCAUAUGCACUAUGUAACUAGCCUUGCUUAUUGGCUUCCAAAGCUUAACUUUCACUCCUACUUACAAUAUGUAGAGUAUUUAACAAAAAACUACCACUUUCAGCCAGCCCUAGGAAGAAUCUAUUGUACAAAAAAUAGCAAAAACAUACCCAAAAUUUCUUAAUCCACGCUAAAAACUACCUAGUACUCCUACCGAUUAGGUUCGUUUAAACCCAUUUAUGACAGGGUUGGCCCACACGUCCGUGCUGACGAGGCAGCUUAAACCAACACAUUUUGUUUGACCGUUGACACGAGGGACCCACAUCUGACCUUCUAUCCUGUUAUUCCCCCUCAAAUCAUUAUUUUUCCUGAACAUUACUUCAAACAGUACGGAUGCGUAUUCGUCGGUGGCGCCGGUGAUGAGCGAGUUGGCCGCCGCUCCGCUGGACGGGCCGGAUGCCGCGGUGGCCUCCGCACGGGUUGGCAGGCUGGCCCGAGCGUGACUCACGAGCGAGCAAGCCGCCGCGCUGGCCUUCGCUCGAGCCAGAUGGCUGGCCUUAGCGCGGCGCGCGCGAGCAAGCGGCCGCGCUGCCGUGCCAAUCUAGCUAGCAAACCUUGCAGACAAGCAGCUGGACGGAGCUAUCUUGGCUAGCUAGCGGCCGCGAGCAACGGACGGAGCUGGCAUCCGGGCUACCGCAACAUGGGCUCCGCACCGCCGGCGGUUUUGACCUCGCCUUCUGCCGGCGGCGGUAGCUGCGUCCCAUGGCCGAGGAUGACUAGGAGGACGGGCCAGAGGUAGGAGGUCACUCGAGGAUUUUUGUUGGUAAGAGCAUGUACAAUGGUUGAUAAGGUAGUCUUAUCUUAAGUCUGCCACGUAUGCAAGUGGUAGUAGUUUCUUGGCAUUUUAGUGGUUUCUUGCAUUAUUAGAGCAAGUACAAUAGAGCCGAGUCAGCGGGCUAUAAGAAAUAAACUAGUAUAUUUCUUCUUAGUUGGAGGAAAGAGAAGAGGAGAGAGAAGGUAAGCGGGUUCGUGAAGAGCCAGCUCUAGCACGUGCUCCUAGGCACUAUGUGAGAAUGAGAAGUGGGCCACAUAAUAAAAAAGUAGUACACUCUUUUGAUCUAUUAUUGUACAUGUUGGCUAUAAGAUGAGCUGUAGAUGACAUGGCACUGGCUUAUAGCCAGCAGCUGGCUAUACUAUUAACCAUGCUCUUAGGGGUUUCUUGUAAGGAACAAUGUACGUACUACUAGCGACAAAAGGCGAUUCUAGGUUGCGUUGUACUCCAACGAGUACUACUAGUGGUCGCGGGAGUGUAUACCUCAUUUUGUGGGUUCAAUCCCGGCCGAACGCACGGCGGCCUUUUUUUUAAAAAUAGUACUACUACACUUCGCUGCAAGCCAAUAUUCACGGGUAGUUUGAGUUUUGAAGUCUAACGGACGUGCGGCCCCACAAUCUGGGUGCACUGGAUAGCCUAGCCACGUGAACGGGUUUUCCUUCCCAGCAUCCCGUGGCUCGCGUGCUCGCCCUAGCCGCAUCUCGCUUGCAGCUUCCAGCUAGUAGCAUAUUUAAACUAGCGCCUCCCAAUUAAGCCCGAGGAGCCGGAAAAGCCUGGCGGGGCAUUGGGAACUGUGCAAUAUGGCUCUGUACGUAAAGUGCUCUACUACUACUCUGUAGCUUGUGGCGUUACACGCAUGGACUUCACUCCAUUAUCGGCUCUACUAUAAAAGAAAUUCCUCUUGACGUGUUUUUUUGAAACGGAGGCAAAAGCUGUGCUUCAUCUCAUUCAUAAAGAAGGAACUACUAACAAAGUUUGACGAGAUCCAUUACACCUCCACAAAUGGAAGCGAAAAGCCUAGUCUCGCUGUAUCAAAUAACUCAAAUGUUCUGCCCCCGCAGUAACCGUCGCUGAUAAACAGGCUGUUAGUGUGUGCGUGAGAGGAGCGGCUGAGUAGGCCAGCUACGUGAGAGGAGCGGUUGAAUAGAGCACCGAGAGUACCCACUAGGCCACUACGCAGGUGUACUUCCCCUGCAUUGAUAGUACAGCGAUGGUUCUAGAGAACAAUAGUACCCUCCACUUCCAACUGUAGCUCCUUGGCCCUGAGAUUCAAGAGUUCAAAACUGGUGCACUAUACUAGACUAGACUAGAAGUACAGUAAAACGCACUACUAGUUGAGAAAAGUAGUACUAGUACUGCUACAGUACGAGUACGUACUCCUCCGUCACAUAAUGUAAGACGUUUUUUGACACUAGUUGGCGUGUACAAAAAAUGGCAAAAACAUACCCAAAAUUUCUUAAUCCACCCCAAAAACUACUACCUAGUGCCAAAAGUUUCUUACUAGUGCUAUUAUUUACAGUAUAAUGCAAUCCCAUAACGUUCCAUAAUGCUAGUACUUGUAGUAAAUAAUAGCCUCGCCCCUUCGCUAAGGAACGAUCUACAGUUGGAAGGGACGAGGCCCUGCGGUUACUACGCUCUUAUCUCCUCCUCGCCAGUUCCCCUCCCCCGAAGAGAAGGCAGUUCGUCGCUGCUCCCAUGGAUUCUCUAGGCGGUUCUCCUCCUCGUCGGGGCUGGGAGACCUUGGACGAUGAUCCUCUGGGAGAAAUCGCACGCCGCUCCGACUUCCUCACCGCCGCAAGACUCGGUGCUUCCUGCACCAACUUUUUCAAGACGCUGCUUAAGCAGGCUCGGGAAAAGGCCAUGCUUGUUGGUCUUCCAUGCGUCCUCGAGGAGAAGGUUCUUUUAUGGGACAGUCCUUCGAACAGUCCACCGCUCCCUGGCCAUGGUUGCACGUUGACUCCGCUAGAGUUGCCGACGUUGAGAGGUAGUCGGAUUUUGUCCGAUGAACAGGUCAGUAAUGGAGUUUGAUCAUGUAGUACUUAGUUAUUCCAUUUCCAUCCCGUAAUUUCUCUGCUGCCCACCGUCUUAUAUAUAGGUCUGGGUUGGUGCCAACGAAGAUUGGCUUGCAUACCUCCGGCCGGAUACCACCAUCAUUUUGCACAACAUCCACAGCAGUGCGGCCAUUUCGGUAGACCCCUUCUCCACCAUUGGGAUCGGCCUUCCGGACUGGCUGGGCUUGAGGCUUGAAUACGUAUGAUGAUGCCUACAUGAGAUUGAAGAAGAUAGCAAUUGCGGACCCGCCGACAAAGCGACGCGGCUACGACGAUUACUAUCUCAUCACGGUGUUCGACAUAAGAAUUGCCAUCAAUGCAAGAGGCAGUAACGGCAGAGGCUGGCGCAUGUUGGCGGCGGCAGAUUUGUACCCCUACACGUUCGAAGACGCCGUGUGCCAUCUAGGCCGCAUAUUCGCGGUGACAAGCCAGGUGACUUGUUUCAUCUGGUUGCCAUCCUACGGUACGGGAGAUUACAAACAGAAUGCACAAACCAUCAUUUGCAUCCCUAACGGUACUCCAUUAUUUUGCAGGGACCAGUCAUCCCCCGAUCAAAAUAAGAUCGCCGAUCCUGGAUGUGCAUUUGCAUCCGCGAUUCGGUCUAACCUGGAACCUUGUAGCUGACUUUGGCAUAUUGGGAUCAACUAUCUUAGCAGUCGUUACCCAUGGUACCACUGAUGUGCAACAUGGUCACACAAUCUACCACGAUCGGACCAUCACCAUCUACCCAGGUAUUCCAUUUUUUAACCCUCUCGCCUUCUCUUUCAUUGUUGUACUAGUAGUAUACUUUGUAGUACUAGUAGGAGUACUUUUUACCUUGGAGGACGCGUAUAGCUAGCUAGGCCCUUAAAGACUUGAACCCACUAGCUGCCACCAUUUUUGUUUUUCCAUGUCUUACUAUCUCAUCCAUGUUGCCAAGAGUGGCUAUAUAUAAUAAGCCAGUUAUUUUACUUCCUCUAUACCGGAGUAGUACUAUUUGCUGCACAGUAUUACUGACCGCCAUAUUUGAGCCCAACAUUAUUAUGCAUGGACCUUGACUAUGUACGUCACCAUGUGUCCAGAUCUGGGAUGCCGCGUGUACGAGAUGAACAGCGCCGAGUUCGACCCCCGUGAUGCUACGUGGGUGCCGAGGAACACUCUUGGAGAGUACUCGCUUUUCAUCGGGGACAGCUACCCCAUUGUGAAGCGGAUGCCACCUUCCGUGCAUGACACGGAAGGCCUGCCGUUCAUGAAGCAUGGUUGUGUCUUCAGUGCGCACCGCCGGAUGAACGACAAGCUGGGACACGCUAUCCCUGAUUUAUGCCGCUUCAGCUUGGAUGAGUCUCCAUCGUGUGGAACCGGACUAGAAAGCUGCGACAAUGAUUCCCGUUGCCCACCGCUAUGGAUCGUGCCAUCCAUGAAGAACACAUGGGACUGGAACCUGGAGGAGGACAUGUAGCCCAUCUAUAACAUGUAAGUGGAGUACGGUAAUUGUGAACGGUAGCGCUGUGAAUAUAUGUAGACUAGUCGUGCACAAAUUUAUCACAUGAAUUGGAGAUGAACUUGUGUGGCAUACUAGUAAGUGUGUUACGUGUACGUGCAACUUGUGUGGUUGUUGCACGGGCUCCAACACGCUCUUUGAGAAAAAAAGGUGGCACAACUUUGGAUAUACGUGACGUGGCGACAUCAUACAGUAGCAUCGUUCGCUAUAGUUGUAGUACACUCCUACUAGGAUGCCAACUCCUAUAAAACCUUGCGCUUGGCUCUUUGCCUCUUCGGGAGGUUUAACAGUUCGUACUCUUGUGAACCUUGCACUUGGCUCUUCGCCUCUUCGGAAGGUCCAACAAUGAUGAUACUACAGUACAAUAUGCUUCUGGCAAUCUGACACCGAUUGAACUGCUGCACGUCCACCGCGAGGGCGAGGGCGAGGGAGAGGGAGAGGGAGAGGGCGCUGUAGUCAAAACCCUCUCCUCGUCCUGCGAACCACCGCACGCGUGGGCGAGGGAGAGGCGUAGUAAGCAAGCUUCUCCUCGUUCGGCGAGUUGACGGGACACAUCAAAGCAGUACUAGUACUAGUAGUAGUAGUCCAUACUGCGUCCUUUCCAAUUAAUAUGGCUUAAUUUGAAUCGAGAAAAAUACACUGGCGGUAAACAUAUGUAACAAUACGCUCUUUACGGUCACUAUAUAUAGUUUUGCGGCGAUUAUACGAUCACUAGCUCAUCGUAGAGCACUGUAUUGCACCCUACUGACAGGCCACAUAGUCGACGUGGCACUUUGUUGACUGGUUAAAUUGUCACCUGGUUUCUGGGUCCCACCUGUCAGUUGGCAGAGCAAAGAAAUCAGUGUUGCGUGCGUCCAUGUGUACGUGUGAGUGUUGCAUGUUGCAUGCAUGCAUGCAUGGGGCUUACUCCCUCCCAUUGACAUGUUCAUAUUUCAAGCUUCCUCUGUUCCCUCCAUAUGGUAAUACUCCCUCUGUUCCCAAAUAGUACGGAGUAAAAGCCUCCCUCUGUUCCCAAAUACGGAGUAUUUGUCUUUCUACAGAUUUCAACAAGUGACUAGGUACGGAGCAAAAUGAGUGAAGUGAGCGUAGAGGCAUUGGGAUACUGUAGAAAGGAAGUCCUCGCGAUCCAUUAUUCCCCAUCUCGGUCUGAGAGAACUAUUCAACUAGUCUUCGUAGUGAAGUGACAAUACACACUGUAGUAGAUGGGACACGUAAAUAAUAAGCUGAACCAUCGUGUUGGUGUUACUAAAUCAGCCUUACCCAGUACUGCCAUCAUGUUUGCCAGUAGAGCACGCUUCCGCAAAUAUGCCUACGCACCUCUGUCCUCCAUUAACUGACAUAUGGGCCCUGUUGUGGUAGACCCACAUGACAUCGGUGUAACUAUUUACACUCCGAAGGACGGUAUAUCCUGGUAGUAGUACUAGUAGAAUUGAGAUUGAAUGCACUUUCUUCCCCGUCUUCCACUCUUCUUCCACCUCUCUUCUUCUUCCUCCUCUCUUCUUGUUCCUCCUCUCUUCCCCAUCGUCGGCCGCACACCAUUUACCCCCGCUCACUGCUCGCCCGCCCGCGCCAUCUUCCUUGGUAGCUCGCGCGUACCAUAUCCCCCCACUCACUGCUCGGCCACACAAGGAGAAGCUUCUUUGCUCGCCCGCCCGAAUCCACUUCCCCGCUGGCUCGCAGGCACCGAAAACCCCAAUGGCAGAACCGACUGACACGCAGAGCCGCGAUUGGAAUUCCCUCCCCGAUGUUCUCUUGGAGCAGAUCUGUAGUCGUAUGGAUCUACUCAGCACCGUCCGUCUGGCCGCAUGCUCGGUGUCUUCGUACCGUCUACUCGUCUGCAAUCGGCCGGCUCUUUUCAAGACACCCUGCUUGCUGAUGCCCGAUCCUCGCAGGUGGCCUAGACACCGACUUGAUGAUCCUACGGAGGUUGCCGUGGUGCCCCUCGACAUGCUACCACUACCCGUCCACCUGUCCUUCAUGCGCGGCCACUACUGGGCGGGCAUGAAGGCCAACUAGAUCGUCCUCAUCCACCACACCGGUAGUCUGUGGCGUCUCGUGGAUAUCUACACCCAGCGAGAGAUCACCCUUCCAUCGUUGGAUACCGCCGCCAUCGAGCCUCGCGGCCCGUCGGACACUCCUGCCUACUACGCACGAGACGCGUCAAGCUUUUGGCCCGACCUCUGUUUGCAGAAAGUUGUAAUCUGCGAAGUGCCCACACCAUCCGAAGACUACAUGCAUUACAAGCUCAUUGCCUUGUUCAACAUGGGAUUAGUCUAUCUGGAAUCCGGUCGCCAUACAUGGUUAUGGCUCAUCAUCAAUCUUGUCGAGGCAACAUUUCUGUCUGAUGCUAUAGUGCACGAUGGCAUCGUUCACGCGGUCGACGCAUCGAUUGGCUGCCUAUACUGGUGGAAUCUAUCAUCGUGUAAUUGUUCUAUCUCAUCUCAUCUUUACCUUAUGAAUACGACUGCCUGUUCAUUUGUUACAAAUUUAGAAUGCAUAUCAUGUCUAUAACCACAUCAUUGCUAUAUGUUCCUAUCAUUUCCUAGAUUUUUAUGACCACACAUGUUAUUGUUAGAGUUGAUAUGAGAACAAUUGGCAUCUAAUGAUUGUUAGAAUACAUAUUAUGAGCAUAACAUCUUGAUUGCUAUAUGUUACUCUCGUUUACAAGAUUUUUAUAACAACGCAUGUUAUUGCUUAGAGUUGAUAUGAGAAUAGUAGUAGUAAGUGCUAUGGUAGAAUAUGAGUAGGCGCUGUCAUAGCUGUUUUCCUCUCAUUGUUACAUGAUGUUUGAACCAUGACAUAUUGCUAGAAUAUGAAAGCCAUUGGCUUAUUUUUUUAACUUGGGGUAUGAUUAUGACCACGACAUUGCAAUUCUCUGUCUAUGAUAUGUGUCACUGUUAUAAUAAUCUUAAUUCCACACAUACUCUGAACAUGAUUGUUUAUUUUUGUCAUUUUGGUCUCCAAUUUGAAUUGUUGCAGCAGAUGCAAAUGCGCUGGCCUUCAUGAUUCCAGGACCUGGAAUCAUACCAGCCGAUGGGUGGUGGUUUAUCGCUCGUUCAGCUGACGGCGAUCAUUUGAUGCUCAUUCGCACGUACCAAAUUGACCAAACCAUUACAUCAAACCACAUGCAGUACAAUGCGUGGGGCGUUCAUGACAUUGAUGGCUAUGGCUGCUUCGUGUUCGAGAAAGAUCCCAGCUCCGUUGGGCCAGGCGUAUUCAACUGCAGGCGGGUUUACAGCCCCGGCAACCACUCCUUGUUAGGUGACACAAGAAUCCCGGCGGCGUGUUCGGGUAUUCUGGACUUCAAAUUUGGAGUACCACUUAUUUGUCGAAAUCUUUCAUCAUUCACUUAAAACAGUCGAUUGAUCAUACAUUGAGUACCAUAUAACUGGAAUUACCGAUGCAAGUCGAAGAAGGAUUAGCCGGUGCUGCCGGCUGGCGUCAAGUUUGAUCCCACGGAUCAGGAGCUGAUCGAGCACCUUGAGGCCAAAGUGAGUGCUGACAGCGCGAGAUUUCAGUCUCUCAUUGAUUUGUUCAUACCAACCAUCGACAGCGAGCAGGGCAUAUGCUACACCCAACCUGAGAAACUUCCAGGUAAGACACCGAUCGGCCGUCUACUUGCACAAACAUAUUCCUUUGUUUAUAGCUCUAUUUUUCUUUUUAGACGCAGACCUGGUGAAGCAAUUACAAUUUGACAGUUAAUAAAAAGUGAAAGAAGUGACUGCAACAUGCCAAAGAUGUUAUGAAAAUGCCAACUAGGUACACUAAAACCUGUAUUCCACAAUACUGCAGGUAUCACACUGAGUGGCCUAAGGAAGCAUUUCUUCCAGCACAAUUCUAGGGCGUUCAAAAGGGGCACGUGGACGCAUCGCAAGAUACAGUCAGAGUGCGGCAUGCACGCAAUGUGGCACAAGACCGGCAAUACCUUGCCGGUGAUGGUCAACGGCCGGCAGACGGGCAGCAAAAAAGGUUCUGGUGCUGCACACCAACAAGAACUUCGACCAGCAGAGGACCAACUGGGUGAUGCACCAGUACCACCUCGGGGACCUGGAGCAAGAGAAGGAGCAGGAGCUGGUCCCCUGCAAGAUUUUCUACCAGACGAACACUAGGGCCAGGAGUAAAAAGAUUAUAAGUUAGUUUGGUAUUGGUAGUUGUACUACCUUGUCGUCCGCAAAUUGGUAUUGUUGUUAACGAUCUUUUGGUAUGAACUUGCAUUUGCUUCCAACCAUCAUGCCGAGGGUCGACGUGGAUAUAAAGCUGAAUCAUUUGUUUCAAAACGAAUUUUCAGGCACCUGAUUUUUAUUUGAUGGGUAGCAUAAGCACCCGCCGUUCGAAUUCCCAGUUCUCCAAUUUUUUCGAAACAAGUGCAUGCACUUAUUAUCACGAUAAAAAAACAAUAUCCGUGCUGCAUCCCAGUUAUCAGUCUGUACUUGCAGAAUUCUCUCAUUUAUUGAGCACGUAUAUUGUUUUUUCAGGUCGAGCAAGUUUCAACUGGGUUGUAGACUGCCCAGGGUUGGUUUUGUUUUUAACAGGCCCAGCCCAUGACGACAACGGGGCACAAAGAUCCAGCAGGUAUCUACUGGCCUCUGGCCCGCCAGCGUUACUUAUAUUUUGUCUUACAACAUCCGCAAGCAGUUUUUUUACUAAAUCAAACACACAGCCUAGUUCUAUUUUCCUCUUGAAACGCAUGUCCUACAUCCGUUUUCUAAUCUCUACCUAUAGUUUUACUAGUUCAUAUACACGUAUCAUUAUAUUGAAAACACAUAAAAUUCCCUUUUCAUAUAUACAUCCUUAUUUUUGUUGUUUUUUCCCACCCAGCGCUGUUUUUUACCACUGGUUUUCCUUAAACCAACUCAAUUGUCCCACGUCUUAUUUGCUUACAAAAACAAAACGAUUUUUUUGGCAAAUCAAUAAGUUCUUAAAAAAAUGUUUAUCAUUUCGGGAUUACAACAGUUCGGACUCCACCGAAAUAUGCAAAAUAAGGUUGAACUUUUUGACCGUGGUCCUGGGCAGAAAAUGGGCUGUAAUAAAUUACUUAAGAAUUAGCAAAUGGGCUGCAAAUUAUAAAAAAUAGCAAAUGGGCUUUAUGUUGUCUGCCACAGAUUUGGAGGCUGACUUGUGGGCGUACUAAGUUCAUGCGUACACAAGGUUUCUCAAAAAAGAAACUUAGUCAACAAUCGACUCUACCAGCAUCAGACCGUUAGAUGUCAAUCUAACGGCAAUCGUGCUUCUUCAGUCUCUGAUCUUCCUGCCCCAGCCGCCCAAACCAGCGCCAUCGGAACCGCCUGCUCCCGCCUCCCGUGGCCGGCAAUGCUGCCGGGCAGGCCUCACGGCCCCAUCAUACUAGCAUCCCUGGCCUGUCUAUCCCUCUACUCACCCACACCUCCUGUUAUUUUCCGGCUACGGCAACCGAACCAGUCAACCCUCGUACUCUCCACCGCGUGGGCAGCCACUGCCGUGUCUUCCCCGGCUCCGUGUCGUUCCCUUCGUAGGCCUCGCCAUCGUCCACCGCCCUGGUGCUCUCGGCGCGGCGUGGUCAACGAUGUCCAUCCAACGGCCGUAGUGCUUCUUCAACCUCUGGUCUUCUUGCCCCAGCCGCCCAAAGCAGCGCCGGUCGUGCCGCAUGCUCCUGCCUCCCGUGGCCGGCUGUGCUGCCGCGGAGGCCUCACCGUCCCCAUACUACUCCCACCGCUGGCCAGGCCAUCCCUCCACUCAUCCACUCCCCCUGUUAUUCUGCGGUGACGGCAGCCUCACACCGCAGCCGAACCAGUGAACCCUCGUACUCCUCUCCGCGCGGGCAUCCACUGCCGCGUCUUCCCCGGCUCCGCGUCGUCCCCUUCCUAGGCCUCGCCGUCGUCCACCGCCGUGGUGCUCUCGGCGCAGCGUGGUCAAUGUGGUCAACGACCGACUUCCAUCGGAAGCGUACUGUACGUGGAGAGGCUGACAGCUGGGUCCACGGCAGCCGCAAGGAAGUGCCUCCUUAUUACGCGCAAAAUAAUUAUUCCUCCACCUGACAGCAGGGACCCACCGGACGGGCCACCAGUAUUUUGCGGAAAAAACGUUUGCCCCUGACUGCUGGGACCCACCGGACGGGCCACCGUAUUUCGUGGAAAAAACGUUUGCCCCUGACUGCUGGGACCCACCGGACGGACCACCGUAUUUCGCAAAAAAACGUUCCCCCCGCUGUCAGCUCAGACCCACCGGAAGUGCCUCCUUAUUACGCACAGAAAAAUGAAUACCCCCUGCUAGCUAGGACCCACCAUGGUGGGAGGCUGACUUGUGGGCCUACUAAGUUGACGGGGACGGAGGGCUUUGUCAACUUAGUCAAUAUGGACGAUUCUAGCUCCAGUGACCGUACGAUGUCCAUCCAACGGCCGUCGUGCUUCUUCAAUCACUGCUCUUCCUGCGCCAGCCGCUCGAACAAGCGCCGGCGGGACUGCCUGCUCCCUCCUCCCCACGGCCGGCUCUGCUGCCGCGCAGGCCUCACCACCCCACCGUACUCCCAUCGCUAGCCUAGCCAUCCCUCUACUCACCCACACCUGCUGUUAUUCUCCGGCGACGGCAGACGAACCAGUAAACCCUCGUACAGUCGUACUCCCCUCCACGUGGGAAACAACUGCCGAGUCUUCCCUGCCUCCGUGUCGUUCCCUUCCUAGGCCUCGCCGUCGUCCACCGCCCUGGUGCUCUCGGCGCGGCCUGGUCAACGUGGUCAACGACCAACAUGCAUCUGAAGUGGACUGUACGUGGAGAGGCCGACAGCUGGGGCCACGGCCGCACGCAAGGGAGUGCCUCCUUAUUACGCUCAAAAUAAUGAUUCCUCCACCUGACAUCAAGGACCCACCAAAAGGGCCUCUGUAUUUCGUGAAAAAAACUUUACCGCCACUGACAGCUCGGACCCACCAGCUAUAUCUUCGCACGCAAGGAAGUGCCUCCUUAUUACGCACAAAAAAAUGAAUACUCCUCCUGUUAGCUGGGACCCAGUAUAGUGGCAGGCUGACUUGUGGGCCUACUAAGUUGACGGGGACGGAGGGCUUUGUCAACUUAGUCAAUAUGCACGAUUCUAGCUCCAGUGACCGUACGAUGUCCAUCCAACUGCCGUAGUGCUUCUUCAACCUCUGGUCUUCUUGCUCCAGCCACCCAAACCAGCGCCGGUCGUGCCUCGUGCUCCUGCCUCCCGUGGCCGGCUGCGAUGCGGUGGAAGCCUCACUGCCCCCUACUACUCCCACCGCUGGCCAGGCCAUCCCUCUACUCACCCACACCCCCUGUUAUUCUGCGGCGACGGCAGCCUCACACCGCAGCGAACCAGUGAACCCUCGUACUCCUCUACGCGUGGGCAUCCACUGCCGCGUCUUCCCCGGCUCCGCGUUAUCCCCUUCCUAGGCCUCUCCGUCGUCCACCGCCCUGGUGCUCUCGGCGCGGCGUGGUCAACGUGGUCAAGGAACGGCUUCCAUCGGACGUGGACUGUACGUGGAGGGGCUGACAGCUGGGUCGACGGCCGCAGCAAGGAAGUGCCUCCUUAUUAUGUGGAAAAUAAUUAUUCCUCCACCUGACAGCGGGGACCCACCGGACGGGCCACCGUAUUUCGCGAAAAAAUGUUUCCCCCCUGACUGCUGGGACCCACCAGCUACACCUUCGCACGCAAGGAAGUGCGUCCGAGCAAAAAAAAAACAAAACGAUUCGCCCCCCUGACUGCUGGGACCUACCAGCUACAUCUUCGCACGCAAGGAAGUGCCUGACAGUCGGGACCCACCUGGUCUAAGCGUACGUAGCGUUGUCAUUCUGGUCGCGAACGUGUACGUACGUAUAUACUGGUGGAUGUAGAGGCGCGCACGUGUCGUAGUAGAGGCGUGUACAUGUCGUAGUAGAGACGCACACAUAGCAUGUACACGUACGUAUAGCGGCCAGGGUGCAAGAAAGAAAAUACGGCCACGUAUGUGUAUAUACGGGCGGGGUCUCGAACGCCUACUCGCGCAUACGUACGGCCAGGGCUCGUGUACAUGGCUGGGUCGGAACGGAGAAACAGCGUCGUCGUCGUGUUCAUGGGGAGGCAAUGGAAUGCGUCGUGUUCAUGGGGAGGCAACGGAAUGCGUCGUGUUCAUCGGGAGGCAACGGAACGCGUGGGAGCCAACCGGCUGGGUCGGAACGGAAUGCGUGGUCGUGUUCAUCGGGAGGGCUUGGACGGAACAGGCGAUGGAAACGAGGCCUGGCGUACCGCAGAACGGAGAAAACGGACCUCCUACGGUCGAAACGGGGGUCCUAUUGAUCGGGAGGGGUGUGGCGUACCGCAAAACGGAGGAAACGGACCUCCUACGGUCGAAACGGGGGUCCUGUUGAUUGGGAGGGGUGUGGCGUACCGCAAAACGGACGAAACGGACCUCCUACGGUCGAAACGGAGGUCCUGUUCAUCGGGAGGGGUGUGGCGUACCGCAAAACGGGACUCCACGGGAUACUGUUCAUCUCCACCGUCGACCUCCUCCAGCCUCCACGGGCUACCGUCGACCUCCUCCAGCCUCCACGGGCUCCUGUUCAUCCAGCCUCCACCGCGCGCUACUCCACCAGCUACUGUUCAACCACCCCUCCACCGUCUACUGUUUAUCCAGCCCUCCACACCACGGGGUCCUGUUCAACCACCCCUCCACGGGCACCCCUCCACCGUCUACUGUUCAUCCAGCCCUCCACACCACGGGGUCCUGUUCAUCCAGANNNNNNNNNNNNNNNNNNNNNNNNNNNNNNNNNNNNNNNNNNNNNNNNNNNNNNNNNNNNNNNNNNNNNNNNNNNNNNNNNNNNNNNNNNNNNNNNNNNNNNNNNNNNNNNNNNNNNNNNNNNNNNNNNNNNNNNNNNNNNNNNNNNNNNNNNNNNNNNNNNNNNNNNNNNNNNNNNNNNNNNNNNNNNNNNNNNNNNNNNNNNNNNNNNNNNNNNNNNNNNNNNNNNNNNNNNNNNNNNNNNNNNNNNNNNNNNNNNNNNNNNNNNNNNNNNNNNNNNNNNNNNNNNNNNNNNNNNNNNNNNNNNNNNNNNNNNNNNNNNNNNNNNNNNNNNNNNNNNNNNNNNNNNNNNNNNNNNNNNUCGAUCGGCUUCAGUUAGCAGCAGUAGCGAAGGAAUCGCUCGAUCGGGUUCAGUUAACAGACAUCGAUCGAUCGCUCGGGUUCAGUAAUGCGUAGCCUGCAGUGUAAUCGCUCGGGUUCAGUUAGAGCCCAACCCCUCGCUCGGGUUCAGUUAGAGCCAACGCCUCGCACACACGCGCGUACGUGUACGAGAGAAACGCACAUCGCUCGGCCCCCGACCUACCACCGUAACCGGGAACUCCCCGAAAUUUUCCUCGCCCUCGCUUCUACCAUGGUUUUUUCCGUCAUGGACGGCCCAAAGAAUGUCAUGUAGCUGCGUCUCCGCCCGCCCAGGACGAAAAGCCCAUUUUCUGUCAUGAUUUUUUGUCAUAGAAGUAGGAGCCCACCACAUCUAUGAUGAUACCGGGUUUUGUCACAAUUAUCGUCAUAGAAGUGUCACAUGUAUGACAGAAAAAAAUUUCGUUUGGCCCAAAAUGUCACGGAUGUGUCUUUUUUUGUAGUGUAAGGGGCCUCUGAAACCGGGACAAAUGGGCCGGUUUCUACCAGUGGAAGCUCCAUCCUCCUUUCUCGUCCUCUCUUCCUUUUCUCAUAUCAGCUUUCAUCCAUCUCCCAUACUGUUGCACCUCACCUCUCCCUAGUCCAAUAGAACACGCCUUGUCCACGUGUCCAAUUAUACCACACGUGUAACAAAAAUCAGGGAGGUACUCAUACUCUAGGGGGCACCAUUUUUGCUCAUCAUCUUUCUUCUUUCUUUUAUCCACGUCCAUCACUUCUGCAGACUCCUUGUCUUCUCCCGUUCAAUAUCCAAAGUGAUUCCUCUCAACAGUGGCUUUGUAAUGUCUAGUCUAACUUUCAGCCUAAGGAAACUUCCAGCCACAUUAUCAUCAUCCCCCUGGUUACCUCCAUGAACUCGCCAAUCUCGUCACCAAUGAUCCCUCCGUUUUCUUCACUCAUGAAACCUAGCGGCAUCUUGGUCACCCUGACCCAAAUAGGGAUGAUAGUGAACUCAUACUCUUCUAGCGUUUUAGCUGGGUCGAAAUCUACCAUCACAAUCAGGUUCUUGCCCACCAUCCAUGGCCCUUCCUCCAAUGCUUUCCUCUUCCCCGCUGCUUGCAAGAAGGUGAAAAGAAAGGUGUUGUCCUCUAACUCCUUGCACUUGAUUCCCUUGAUCGGACACCACGCUCUUCCGAGGGAUUUAAUCAUACCUUCCACAUAUACUGGUUUGUCGGACAUAACCUUACCGAUCGCCUGUGGAUCUUCCGUUCCCGUUCUCCUCAACCCGCCCCUUCCGAUCUUGACUCCCUUCUUCUCUGCUUCUGGCAACCGCAACUUCUGCAUCAAACCUUCCACUUUCUCCAUUGUGUCGAGGACUUGCAUCAAUCUAUGGUUUACUAGGUGGUUGUAUUACGAAUGGAUGCCCUAGCAACACUCGUAAGGCUUUUGGUGGAUGGGUGAGCGGUCUCGAGAUCAAUCUAGCAAGGAUCGCCGAGGCUAGGGGGAGAGUUUGCUGGCGUCGGCCAGAGACGGGGUCGCCUGAGGGGACUCUAGGGUUUACCAGGAGUCACCGUAGAAUCCCCUGGGAAUCGCCCAAGCGCCAAUCAUGGAACCGUCACCCAAGGGACGGACGGGUUAAGGAUGAUAAUUAAAGCGGACUUUGAUAGAGAGACACGUGAGAAAUAGAGUGAUAGAGAGAGAUACGUGAAAAUUAAAGCGGUUUUAAUUUCUUUCUUUUCUGUAAUUAAAGAGAUACGCAUGAGAAAUAGAGAGAUAAGAGAGAUACCUGAGAAUUAAAGCUGUUUUAAUUUUUUCCGUUUCUAUGAUUAAAGAUCUGAUCUACACAGUUACAAUCUUGACCUGCAAAAUCAACGGCCUCCAUUUUCUAUUUUUCUCUAAUUAAUGUGGGAAUUUCUUGGGAGUGCCUAUUAGUAUAGGUAUAUAUAUGUGCAAAAAUCUCGACAUUAAUGAACAUAUAUCUGGUGCACUUGCAAUCUUUUGUAGUACAUUAAUGAAUAUUUAAAGUAUUUUCCAACUCUUGCUAUUUAUAGACUUGUCGUCCGUGUCUGCCACAUUUGGAGUCCAACUAUUUCCUACUGGAACCUUACACUCCACUAGAACUGAGUUUGUCAAGUAACAGAUAACCAAUAUGAGAGGGAGCAGCCUAGUGCAGGCGACGAUGAUAUUCUUCAUUGGAUGCCUUGUGCUUUGUGCACAGUGUAAGUAUAUAUCAUCAUCGUCUUUAGAAUCUUGUGUUAACUUCUUGCCACUAAUUCUUCGGAUCAGACAUACAUACACACACACAUCUGCGGUACUGCAUACUAAGGUUAAAUAUACUAUACAGGUGCUCUCGAUAAUAAGCAAAGGAUGGUCAACCAGGAUGAUCAUGCGGCGAACACAAGUACCAACGCUACCAUCAUCAACUCAACAACUGUAGGCGAGAGCAAGAAAACCGAGAAAUUUUGCAGCCUCUUUCUCGUAUGUUAUUUCAACAUUGAGAUUCGUGCUGAGUGCUACUGUUGCGAGAAUAAGAAUGCCGACUGUUACAAGACGAAGAGUGAGUGCCUGCAAAAGUGCCAUUCCUACAACGGUUAAUGCCCACCUUCAUCGCGGUCUUUGGGAUAGAAUUCCAUAUGCUUGGAAAAUUUGCCCGUCGGUAAUAAAAGGCACCUUAUAUGGUUUGGGCAAUUAGGUUCCAAUUAAACAUGAGAAAGCCCGCAUGUUUCCGUGUAGAUCCAACAAGGAAAAAUUUGAUGAAAGAAAUCCAAGUAACUAGUUGUCUUGCAUAUUUACAAAGUUCAAAUCCUUUGGUUGUUGUGCUUUGACUCGAUUGUCUAUUAUGCUGUUUCAUUUACUUGCACAUUGCCCACUUGUUCAUUUAACACACAUCACCCACUUGGUGAUUUGCUAGUUGUGGGCUGACAGUCAUAUAGAUUUUUUUUUUUGAGAUCUCGUCAUAUAGAAUUGUAAUAGCACUGACAUGGAAAAAGUUAAAAACUGAAAAACUGAAAAAAGUAAAUCAAACAAACAAAUGGUGCGCAAACUAAAUCAGACGGCACAAGACAAGUGAGAUUUAGUCAGGACUCUUUCAGAUGAAGAUAAGCAAAUUGCAAGAAAACAACAUGCAGAAACAUUUUUAUAUCAUAGCAUAACAUGCAAAAAAGCACAUAUAUAGUACAACGACAACCCACGUGUCUAUACGCUAUCUAUAUGUAUAUCUAUCUAUCUAUCUAUAUCUAUCUAUCUAUCUAUCUAUAUAUAUCUAUCUAUUUAUACCUACUAAUAAAAGACGGAGCAUUUAUGCCCAUCCGUCUCAUGUUUUGCAACAAAAUACCCUACUUUUUUCUUUAAUUACCCGCGGUCAAGGUUUAGGUGAGGUUCGUCCGUUGUGUUUUUUGCAAAGAACGAGGAAAUGGUUGCGUUUUGUGAGAUUCAAACUCAUGAUGUCCCCUCCAUGCCCAAAAGCCACAGCCAACUGAGUUAGCAUGCACUUGUGCUACCAAAUAGGUCCAUUAUUUCAUUAAAUUGUCCAACCAUGAUACUUUGCAUAAGAAUACGCAAAUUUAUAUGUGAUUUCAAAUUGCCUGGAAAUCAACAAGCCAACUCGAUAACCAAGAAAUAGAGGGAGAGGAGGAAUUCACUCAAUAAAUAGUGUUAACUAGCAGGGUUUCCCGUGCAUUUGCGCGGCUAGAUUGACCCUUUCCGAUGCCAACUAUAUGGCCUUUCACUAAACUAUAUUUUGAUUAAAUUUACACCCUGUAUAUGACAUCAUAGAAAAAAUGAAAAUCGCAAUGAAACAUGCAAGUGCAUUAGGUUGUUCAUUUUAAUAUAGAAGUGCAUUAGGUUUUUAAAUAAAUUCCUUGGGAUGUCAGGUUGCAACACCGAUAAAAAACCAUGUAUGGGAUUUCAUGCCAAUCUUGGUGUUUUUCGUCUUUGAUCACUCCUCCUUUGUAUCAUUUAAUAGGUUUUCGAGAAAUUCCCUACCAAGACUUAAAUCUAAACAUGAAAUUCUGGUAUGUAAAGGUCCCUUCUUCUAGUCAUAUCAAUCAACGGACGCAUUCUUAACUACCUUUUCUUGAUUAAUGCUGCCUACCCACUUAUGUAUCAAGAGAUUGACAUCUUCUAUCGUGCUUAUUUUUUCUAUUGAUAAUAUUUUACAAAAUAUUAUCUUUGACUCACUCCCUUUUAAGCUUAUUCAUGAUGAUCAUGGCUGUUUUAUUGCAUCAUCUUGUAUUUUUGUAUUUUUCUAUAAUUAUAUUAAGGGAAAGGUGUGACAGCUCCCAGGUGCGGGGGCACCCUCAUGAACAAUAACUUCAAAACAAUACGAAAAAAAUCGAAAAAAUCUGAAAUUUUGGGGGAUCAAAUAUGAUCAAACUUUUGAUGUUAUUGCAAAUUUCAGCCAGAAAUAACACUCGAGGAGCCCUCAUAAAAACAAUUACUGCUCAAAAGUACACAUAAGUUUGAACACCGAUUUUGUUUUUUUGUGAGGGCUGCACGAAUGUUUUUUGAUGCUAAAACUUUGCAUGAACGUUGAAUGUUUGAUCAUAUUUGAUCCCCCAAAGUUUCAGAUUUUUUCGAUUUUUUCAUAUUGUUUUGAAUUUGCUGUUCAUGGGGGUGCCCCUGCACCCGAUAGAUGAAAGUCCAGUCUCUUAUAUUAAUCAUACAAGUAAUUGUAGACCAAAUAUGUUUAAAUUUUUUGUUCAUGAAUUUCAUAAGGAAUGAAAAUACUAUUUGAAACUUCAUCUUAUUUUUCAUCCGAAUUUCAUACGGACAGUGUGCUUUACAUUCUUCAUCUGAAUUUUUUGUGAACCAUGCAAGGCAACUGUGAUCAUUAUGUAUAGGAGAUAGAGGGAAAAACCAUUCUACAUCUGAUUUUCAUUUUAUUAAGUUAUUAUUAAGUUAUUCGUCACCUUGGGUGAGGAAUAGUUAUUCUUCACCCUCUCUAUUUUACCAUCAAUGCACCGUAAUUUUACGUUACGUAAGUUUUGUUUUAUUUCCGACGUAAAAAGAGACCGUAAGAAAAUAUAUAAUCAUCGUAAAAAAUAUUUUAUGUUAUGUAAAAUUACAAACGUAAAAACAUAGUGUAAAAUAUACAUAAACUGCAAAUUUUCUUGUCUUAUGACCUAUAUUUUUUUUCUUAUGCCAAAUUUUAUGUAGUGAAUCAAUAAAAAGGUAAAUAUUUGAAUUCCAAACGUAAUUUAAUUAUGAAAUGAUCGUAAGAUUACUUCGGGUGAAGAAUAACUUAUUAUGCACCCAAGGUGAUGAAUAGUAUUGAUUUACUGCAGAAUAAGUUACAUUCAUAUUGAUUUACUACAGAAUAAUCUUCCGAUCAUUUCAUAAAUAAAUUACAUUUGAAAUACAAAUAGUUACAUUCAUAUUGAUUUACUGCAUAAAAUUUGGCAUAACAAAAAAUAUAUAGGUCCAAAAUUGUAUUUUAUGUACAUUUUACACUAUGUUUUUACUUUUGUAAUUUUACGUAACAUAAAAUAUUUUUUACGACAAUUAUAGGUUUUCUUACGUUCUCUUUUUAUGUCUAAAAUAAGACAAAAUUGACAAAGCGUAAAAUUACGGUGUAUACAUGUUAAAAUAGAGGUGGGUGAAGAAUAACUAUUCCUCACUCAGGGUGACGAAUAGUCAAUCCCUAUAUAUAUAUAGCUGUAUCUGCUAUGGUUUUUAUAAACAUUUUGGUUCAUCUAUAGUUCUACACCAUUGUAAUCUUGAACCACAAUCAUUGUUGCAAUUAUAUCAUCCUAUGUCGACGAAUUGUAGUGACUUAUUUUGUUUGGUGUUCAUAUAAAAUUUAAAAGAAUAUAUUCUUUUGCACUGUAUUUGUUUGUAUCGAGAGCUACAAUGAUUAGUAUACUGCAGACAAUAUUUUGACCUAAUGUUGUGCCUUGUUUUCCAGUCGACCGCUUUGCUAUCUCUACCUAAUAUUAAAGGAAGGAUUGUUUCUUCACAAAAUUUCGUUUAUGGUGGGACCCACAAGUUUUUUUGUCCAUCCCUCUUCGUUUAUGAUGGCAAAAAACUACGACGCAAAGAAAAUAAUAAUACGCCGGGCACUCCUCUGGCCAAAAAAUUAUGCCGCAAGGACUCGAACCCAGGCGCUCACGCAAGACAGCCAGCCACUGGAAUAAACAAAAUCAUGUGUUUAGCUAAUGCGCACUUUUAUAUAUGUACGCACCUGCUUUUCAGUCAGAAAAAAAAUACGCAUCUAAACGUGUACGUAUCGUGCAAUCAAUCAGCCUCAACUAAAGCUUCAAAACAAAAAAAAGCCCCAACUAAAAAACAUGUACGCAUCUGCUUGCAAUGAAAAAAAAAAAACACAUACACAACUGAGUUGGACGAGCACAGCCACGGCCCACAGCUGCCAUGCAUUCCGUCAACUGCUGGAAGAUUAUUCUCGAAACAAAAAACUGCUGGAAGAUUAAUCGGCCAUAAAACUGCUGGAAGAUUAAUCGGCCACCAUGCUGCACGCUUCAUCAUGUGCCAAACUCAAACAUUAUUUUUUCAUCUCUACCAUAUUACAAGUAAUAUGUGUACAUAAACAUGUAUGACCGGUCUAUUCAAGCCAAACAUUAGUCUUUAGACGAAUGGCUUCCUAAUACAUUGGUUAUGAUUUUCACGUGUAAUGUGGAGGAUUGUUUCUCUACUUUUUUUGUCAUCGUUUUUUUUGGUACGUCCUUUUUAUUCCGUUUCGUCCAUUCGUUAUCGGUCUCAUGUAGUGUUUGCUUCGGUCGGUAUGUUCGUUUCCGGUCCGUCAAAAAAAGAAAUAGCGAGCGUAGAGGGAUUCGAACCAUGGUUGCGAGGACUCACGAACCAACUCAUCCAACCAAGAAUCCUGCAGAAAGAGAGGGAGCUUAGACUGUCUCGCCAUAGGUGGCAUUUAUUUAUGGUUCAGAAACAUCCAUCAUGUAUGAUUCCUUUCAAACCUCCUCCCUAUAUGUACGUUGUGGACCACGGUUGCGGACGUGCUAUGCAAAGGGCCGGAGCUCCAGUGGAAGGAGUGGGAGAUGGGGUUACUGGAGGCCGUGAACGGGGAAGAUGACGAUGAGGAUGAUGAGAUUGGGAAGGAGAAGGUGGAGGGAAGGUCAUGGGAAUCAAGCCACCACAAUCGACGACAUGCGCGGCACGCAGCGCGCUGCCAUUGUGGCCUUUAUCCGGCCGAUCUGGUCACGCGUCAACGCGUGUCUCCUGCCUUGAACCAUCAUCCUGGAGAACCUUGUCGUCAAUCGAUCCACUGUUUUUGCCAUCAAUGACCAUUGUCCCGUGACAGAAUUCCUUAACCGAGGCAACCUUGAUUCAUGACAACUGGUAUUUUCUCCAUAGCGAAGCAUGAACAUUGUGCUUAUCGUGCUAGGGACAAGUGUUUUUCUUUCCUGUUGCAACGCACGGGCAUGUUUGCUAGUAGAGCUAAAGAAUCAUGGAUUUUGAGGCCUAGGAUCCAUUCUAUGAACUAAUAGAAUGGAUUUUGAUCUCCUCACUUCGUGCUUUUAUAGGGGUAGUAAGCAUUGUAGCACCGUGACUUUCCUUCUGACUCCGGUUCCCUCAUCCAGCUAUCUGAGAAAGGGCACCGUGGUCGAGGUCAAAACCGGCCAAUCUCGGCUAGGGGGUCCCGAACUGUGCGUCUGAGGAUUGAAGGUAACAGGAGACAAAGGGACACGAUGUUUACCCAGGUUUAGGCCCUCUUAAUGGAGGUAAAACCCUACUUCCUGCUUGAUUGUCUUUGAUGAGUAUAGGGGUUACAAGAGUUGAUCUACCUCGAGAUCGUAAUGGCUCUAUGAACUAAACCCUAGCUGCCUUGUUACACACCGGAGGGUUUAGUUCAUAGAGAUCGUAAUGGCUCUAUGUAAGGUGUGUAACCCUAGCUGCCUAACCUAUGUAAAUUUUGAUAGUCUCUAUGAACUAAACCCUCCGGUUUAUAUACACACCGGAGGGGUCUAGGGUUACACAAAGUUGGCUUGUGAAGGAAGGAAAUUACAUAUUCGGACAUCAAUCUUGCCAUCCACGCAUAGAAGAGUCCUACCCGGACACGGGGGAAGGCCUUCCGCCUUGAAUCUUCACGGCCCAUCAGUCCGGUCCAUAUCAAAUACCCCGGACACCCAAAGACCCCCUAGUCCAGGACUCCCUCAGUAGCCUCUGAACUAGCCUUCAAAUGACGAUGCAGUAUCCGGCUUACGUCUUCAGCUUUUGCAAGGUUGGUUCUUCACCGUACACUGAACGGAUAAUAGUUUGGCCCUAGCUUCCUUGUUCCGCCUUAAUGAUUCCUUCCCUAUCGCCUCGAUUUCCACGCGCUUGGGCGAAUGCGAACGGCCCACAAUUUUUAUUUAAAAAGGAAAGCACUCUGCCCCAUGGGGACAACACCUAUAUAAAGAUGUCAAAUCCUCCAAGUGCCAUCCACAUCAUGCAGGAAAAACGCCAAGUUUAGCCACGAAAAAGCUUCCAAAUAUGGUCAGCGCCCUAGGUUCCUCUUCGCGCCCCCAUGGCCCUCAAGAGGAUGAUUGGCAGAGCUGUUCAGUGCCUCAUCUUCACCUGAGGCGACUCCAGACGCAGGGAUAUCUUCCCCUCAUAGAUCUAUUCUCUGUUCGAGAGGGAUUGGACUCCAUCGGCAACGAUGUGAUGGUGUGCUUUGUUCCAUUCCUUCUAUGGGGCUUAGGAUUUUCGAUCCAUCCCUUCCUCAGGGGUUUAUUGGAUUUUUACGGCAUCUAGCUGCACAACCUUACCCCAGGUUCGAUUCUGCACAUCGCAGGUUUCGUUGCCCUAUGCGAGCUGUUCUUAGGCAUCGAGGCCCAUUUCGAACUAUGGAGGAAGUUCUUUUGCCUUGUUCCCCGCCAUCGAGGAGGCUCUAUAUUUGAAGUGGGCGGCGCAGAAGUAUGGCGCAUAGCCGGAUCCGGAUACCCCGUUGGAACUCCCAAAGAGAUAUAUCCAUAGUGGUCCUCGGAGUGGUUUUAUAUGGAUGAUGUUCCACUGCUGGAUCCAGUUUGGUGCGGCCUCCCUGAAUUUUCCAGCGCUCCUUUAAAGAAGCGCCUCAACUGGCGUCCCCGGUAUCCCAAGGAGGAGGACAGUGCAGAAAUAAAAAGGUCGAUCAGCAAGGCAGAUUACUAGCCCAUAUCGAGCUCUCGAUAGUCGAGGUUAUGGCCAUUGCAAUAAAGAGGUGCGUCCAGCCUCUCCAGUCCAGAGUAACUCCCUUAUGGUGCUAGAACGGGGAAGACGAUGCGUCUUGUUAUAGACGCAAGGGUCCGGAUACCCCUGCCGAACUGGCCACGAUCUUGGCCGAUCUUUAUAAGGGUGAAAAAGAAGACUUCCUCCGCUUAAACUGCUGGGAAGGCUAUUCCAUGUACAACCCCGUUGAAUGGGUAAGACUUCGAUUACCUGUGUUGCUUUAUUGCUGUCACAGUAUUUUAAUCAAAUUUGUUCUUUGUUGCAAUAAAACAGUCAUGGAGGAAAAUGACCGAGGACGUUCACUUUCCUACCCCACAGCCAGAGGAUCACAACCACCAGGAGGACCCUGGUUUAUGUGAGGAUCCAGAUAUAUACAUAGAGUUCGAUGAUGGGGUGUUUUAUCAGGCGAGCCUUGACAGCUCGGAAGUGGCCAUUACAGCCGACUACCCCCGCCCCUAUCCCUUCUCCAUCGUAAGUAUUCGAAGAGCUUUCAAAAAGGAACUUCCUACUUGCACCUUUGUCCAUUGUACUAAUCCGUACUCAACAGGAUCGGCGCUCGGCAGACCGCACCUCCUCAAGGGCGGCCCCUUCGCAGGGUAGUCAUUCAAAACGAAAGGAGGCUGGGGGCACCAUAGAACCCUCACUGUCUUCAAAAAGGUAUGUUCAUUUAAUAAGUGCCUAGGCACGAGUUCGGAUUAUUAAACCUCCCUUCUAUCUUUGAUUCAGGAGGUGCACGCGGCAAACAGUGGGAAAACGCGCUGCUAGCCGAAUGUCAGCCAAUCCGGCACCAGACUCGUUAGCUAGGACGCAGGCUGAUGCAGUGCCAAUUCCACCGCCUCAUGAGGAUUUGGAUGACGUAUCUGUCAUGAACUCCGAGGUGGAAAGCGUAAUGAACCACCGUCGACUGAAAGAGGCCAUGCGCGCUCCAGCCUUUUCCGAGCAAGAAUUUACGCACUCAGUUCAGUGGAUGCAUAUAUCCAAGCCACUAGCGACGGACUUGCCAGAGUCACUCAGCUGUUUUCGAAGGAUAUACAGGUAAAAGUUUAUGCAAUUUUGAUAGACAUACACCAGUAGCCGCUGAGACUUAAAGUGGUGAAGCCAACCAAUUUAAGGAUUGAUAUUACCUGCAGGUUCUCAAAGAGAAGAACACUGCCCUAGCCCAGGAGCUGAAAACAAACCUAAUGCAGCUGAAUGUCGUCGCCGCCGAACUGGCAGAAAUGAAAAAGGCCGCAAUGAACACAUCCAAGGGGAAAAACAUGAGGAGGAAAAAGACAAACAAGCCGAAGAGAUAGAGAGCUUAAAGGCUCGGUUAUCGGCCGCUCAAAAAUAAAAUGAGAAGUUGAAAGGCGGCAUGUUCGGUAUGUCUUUUAAAACCACCAUAUAGACUCGUGUUUAGUCCACAAUUCGGGAUGUCAUAAAUCUGUGGUUGUAGGUCUAUUAACUGGUCUACCGGAAGAAGAAGUAUCCGGAUUCCAAGGCGACGUGCGAAAGGAGCUGUCGGUGAUACAUGCGCGGGCCCGGAAGGCCAUGAGGACUAUUGUCAAGGCUUUAUGGCCAUCUGACACCCCUCCAGAAAGUAUGGAGGGUUUGGCAAGCCUGUUCAAAGGUGCCCGGUGCCGCUUUGAGCUAUGGAAGACAUCCGCCUGCCGUGAAGUCACACGAGAAGCCUGGGCGAUGGUGAAAACAUGCUUGACCAAGCUAGAUCUGAAUCAUAUAUGGCCCGAGUGGGACUGCAGGGACUGGAUGGGAAAGAAAUUCCUUUGAACUUGGUGUACGACCAAGUAAUGAUAGCUGCGAAAUAUUCGCAGGAAGACUGUAGGUUAGACAGUCUGAUAGAUGGAAUAGAUAAGGAAUAGGCAUUUGAUUCAAUGUAUUAAUGUACCUUAUGAUCAACCUGUAUUCUUCAACCGAACAUGUGAAAAAUUUGUCAUCGGAGGCUUUCGGCCUUAGCCUCCAGACCAAAAAGGUGGAGUGUUUCCGGAUACUAUAACGAAGGAAACAUUCAUUGUGUCCGGAAACCAGGCAACCCAGUCAUUAUGCUCGAACAGACAAAAAAUUUACUUCGGGCGGUAUCUUAUAUUACGUAUGUAAGAAACAUCUUCCAAGGAGAAUAGUUCCGCUAAGGGUUCCUUUCCCUGGGUUGGCAUGCUUUAAUUAUGCGUAGCUGGGCGUUAGUCCGUAUAACGGAAAAACUAUCCCGAAGUGUUAGAAGGGCUACGAAAAUGUAACAAUCCGUCGUUUGAUUGCCGACUAAUUAUUCUCUUAAGAACGCUAGCUUUCGGCUUCACCUGUCUGAGCUACAUGUCUGGAUGACCCGGUUGUAACAAUCGCAGAGGUGCUCCCUUAGCGCCCUAGCCGAACAAUUGGGAACGUAGGGCAUAAACACAGGAGCAAGGCAACCCAGCUUGGAAAAAACUUAAGUCAUAGAGGUGCAUGUAAUGGCAAAAAGAGUGUAUAUGAACAAACGACGUAUACAUUGUGAGCUCCAGGCUCUAAAUAAUAAUAAGCUUCGGUUAAAGAAUCCCCCAGGCGUCGUGGAGUGUAUACAUUUUAGGAUGUGUACCCCUUAAGUGUUCGUCCUAUCCGAACAUAUCCUGGGAGUCGUACAAAACGAGAAAAUAAAAAAGAAAUGAAGAGGAGAAAAAACGGAAAAGAAACAUGGCCGAACUUAGGCGUAGAAUCUUUGAAGCCGAGCAGCGUUGCAUGGAUUCGGCUCUAGGCGAUUAUCUGAUGCAUUACGAAGGCGAUAGGCUCCUCCUGUGAGAACUUCAUCUAUAAUGAAGGGGCCCUCCCAUUUUUGUUUGAGCUUGUCCUUCUUCUUCUUUGGGAGGCGUAAAAUGAGUUCGCCGACAUUAUAAGUCUUGGCCCGCACUUCUCUGCUUUGGUAUCGCCAAGCCUAUUGUUGAUAAAAUGUGGAACGGGCUUUUGCAAUGUCACACUCCUCCUCAAGGCCGUCUAAGUCAUCCCGCUGAUCGAGCUCGGCCUCUCUCUCUUCAUACAUGCGCACCCGAGGUGAGUCAUGAAUAAUGUCGCAGGGCAAGACAGCCUCUACGCCGUACACCAUAAAAAAGGGGGUACAUCCGGUCGUGCGAUUGGGUGUAGUCCGCUGUCCCCAGAGUACGGAAUCGAGUUCCUCGACCGAGUGUUUAUCUGACUCCCAUAGGGAUCACACUAGUCUGGGUUUGAUGCCGCUCAUUAUCAGGGCAUUAGCCCGUUCUACCUGACCGUUUGUUUGAGGGUGAUAUACGAAGGCAUAAUCGAGAUUAAUGCCCAAAUUAGCGCACCAAUUUUUUACCUCAUCGGCUGUGAAAUUAGAUCCAUUGUCAGUAAUGAUGCUAUGCGGGACACCAUAACGGUGUACCACGCCGGAUAUAAAGUCGAUCACCGGCCCGGCUUCCGCCGUUUUUACUGGUUUGGCCUCUAUCCACUUAGGGAAUUUAUCCACCAGAACCAACAAAUAUUUCUUCUUGUGGCAUCCCCCUUUAAGGGGUCCGACCAUAUCUAGCCCCCAGACCGCAAAAGGCCAAGUAAUGGGGAUUGUUCUUAAGGCAGUGGGCGGCAUAUGACUUUGAUUGGCGAAAGCUGACAUCCUACACAGCGUUGUACAAGGGCCUGUGCGUCUGCUCGGGCCGUUGGCCAAAAGAAACCUGUACAGAAGGCCUUGCUGACGAGGGCCCGAGCUGCGGCGUGAUGGCCACCAAGACCAGCAUGUAUUUUGGCCAAGAGCUGCCGUCCCUCCUCUUCGGAGAUGCAUCUUUGAAUAACCCCAGUAGUACUUUUGUUGUAGAGUUCACCUUCGUGAACUUUGUAGGCUUUAGAGCGUCGAACUAUGCGACGGGCCUCAUUCUAGUAAUCAGGUAAUUCCUACCUAUUAAGGUAGGCCAGGAAGGGUUCGGUCCAUGGAGCAAUGACUGCCAUGAUUACAUGGGCGGAAGGUGUCAUUUCGGUGCCCGAACCCCCGAUGAUAUCAGAAUUGUGUUCGGCAUCUGGGGGUAUGAUCGGCUCCGGACUAGCAUUUCCGCUCUCUUCCUGCCAUACUACGGAUGGCUUGAAGAGCCUUUCCACAAAGGUGUUGGGCAGGACGAGAUCGCGCUUAGCGCCCAUUCGAGCAAGGAUGUCCGUUGCCUGAUUACUGUCUCGAGCAACAUGAUGGAACUUGAGCCCCUCAAACUAUGUUGAUAUUUUGAGUACGGUGUUUCGGUAUGCCACCUUUUUUUGGGUCUUUUGCAUCUAAUUCGCCAUUUAUUUGGGAUAUUGCGAGGUUCGAAUCCCCACGCACCUCUAGGCGUUGUAUGCCCAUAGAGACGGCCAUUCGGAGACCAUGUAGAAGUGCCUCGUAUUGGGCCGCAUUGUUGGAGUCCGUAUACAUGAUUUGUAACACGUAGCGGAUAGUGUCCCCCGUAGGGGAUGUUAAGAUGACGCUAGCCCCCAGUCCGGCUAACAUUUUAGAGCCAUCGAAGUACAUGAUCAGUUGGAGUAUGUGUUGUACUCUUUAGGGAGUUCGGCUUCCGUCCACUCGGCUACAAAGUCGGCCAACACCUGAGAUUUAAUAGCUCGGCUUGGCUUGUAUUUUAUUUCAAAUGGUAAGAGCUCGAUGGCCCAUUUGGCUAUGCGGCCGGUGGCUUCCCGAUUAUUUAUGAUGUCAUUGAGUGGUACUUUGGAUGCCACUGUGAUCGAACACUCUUGAAAGUAGUGCCGCAGUUUCCAGGAUGCCAUAAAGACCGCAUAAGCUAUCUUUUGAUAGUGCGGGUAUCGAGAUUUGCAUGGUGUAAGGACCGCCGACACGUAGUACACUGGUUUCUGGAUUGGGAAUUUAUGUCCCUCUUCCUCUCGUUCGACGAUGAGUACGACACUUACCACCUGGUGAGUCCCCGAUAUAUAAAGCAACAUCGGCUCGCCAGCACCUGGUGUGGCUAGGAUUGGGUUGCCUGCUAACAAAGUCUUUAUUUCUUCUAAUCCAGCUAUAGCCACAUCCGUCCAUUAGAAGUGGUCGGUGCGUCGGAGCAGUCAAUAAAGUGGCAGGGUUUUUUCUCCCAAUAUGGAUAUAAAGCGGCUCAAGGCUGCCACGCACCCGUCGUUUUUGGACCUGCUUUAGGUCUGUUGGUAUUGCCAACUAUGACAAGGCUCAGAUUUUGGUUGGGUUCACUUCAAUUCCUCUAUUGGAAACAAUGAACCCGAACAGUUUCCCGAGUGGAACGCCGAAAACACAUUUUUCCGGAUUGAGCCAUAUGUCAUAUGUUCGGAGGUUGUCAAAUAUGAGGCGGAGGUCGUCCACCAGUGAUUCGACGUGUUUAGUCUUGAUGAUCACAUUGUCCACAUAUGCCUCCACUUUUUUGGCAAUUUGUUUUUCCAGACAUGUUUGAAUCAUGUGUUGGUAGGUGGCACCAGCGUUUUUGAGUCCGAAGGGCAUAGUGUUGAAGCAGAAAGGACCAUACGGGGUGAUAAAUGCCGUUGCGGCCUGAUCGGACUCCUUCAUCUUGAUCUGAUGGUAACCGGAGUAGGUGUCGAGGAAACACAAUGAAUCAUGUCCUGCAGUUGCAUCAAUGAUUUGGUCAAUGCGGGGCAAUGGGAAGGGGUCCUUAGGGCAAGCCUUAUUGGGGUUCUUGACAUCGAUACAAAGGCGCCAGGAUUUAUCCUUCUUCGGCACCAUGACCAGGUUCGCUAGCCAGUCCGGGUGUUUGAUUUCUCUGAUGAACCUGGCUUCAAGUAGUUUGGCUAGCUCCUCGCCCAUAGCUUGUCGUUUGGGCUCAAAAAAUUGCCGCAGUGUUUGCUUGACUGGUUUAAACCCCUUUAUUAUAUUGAGGCUGUGUUCGGCCAGUCUGCGUGGGAUUCCGGGCAUGUCCGAAGGAUGCCAGGCGAAGAUGUCCCAAUUUGCACGCAGGAAUGCUCGUAGGGAGGCAUCGACCGUCGGAUCCAGCUGGGCUCCAAUGGAUGCUAUUUUGUUGGGAUCCGUCGGGUGCACUUGAAAUUUGAUGAUUUCAUCUGCUGGUUUGAAAGAUGUGGAUUUAGGCCUCUUGUCGAGGAUUACAUCGUCUUUGUCCACUAUGGAACACAGAGUGGUUAACUCUUCGUCCGCGAGGGCCUCAGAUAGUGCCUCGAGGGCCAAGGAUGAGGUUUUGUUUUUGGCACGGAGUGCUAUAUCCGGAUCACUGGUGAUAGUGAUUACUCUGUUGGGCCCUGGCAUUUUAAGCUUCAUGUACCCGUAAUGGGGUAUGGCUUGGAACCGUGCGAAGGCGUCCCGCCCCAAAAGGGCGUGGUAUCCGCUAUUGAAAGGGGCCACGUGGAAGAGAAACUCUUCGGACCUGUAGUUAUCAGGUGUGCCGAAUACUACAUCGAGUUUAAUUUUCCCCGAGCAUCGUGCUUCUCGACUGGGGAUAAUACCUCGAAAGGUGGUACUGCUUUGCUCGAUGCGGCUCUUGUCCAUUUGCAUUUUGUAGAGCGUAUCUUCGUAGAUGAGGUUAAGUCCGCUUCGACCGUCCAUGAGCACCUUGAUAAGUCGAAAGCCGUCCACAAUUGGGUUUAAGACCAAGGUGGCUGGUGCUUGGACUGAUCAGGCCCUUGGUUCGUCGGCGGCGGCGAAAGUUAUGGCCGUAUCGCUCCAAGGGUUUAUUGCGGUUACUUGGUUGACUUUGGCGAGGUCGCGGAGCACCCUUUUGUGCCGAUUAUUUGAAGAAAAGGUCUUGAAGACCAAAGACGUUGGGAUCGUCAUCCUCCGAAGAGUGCUUCUCUAGGGUAGUAUUGGUGAUGAUAGCCUCACCGCUCUUAGCCACUUGUCGAAAUACCCAACAUGCCCGAAGGCUAUUCAUUGGUUCGGUGCUCGGCGUAGUAUGUAUCUGACAUGGCUUGUCGAGCAGUUCGUCAAGGACUGUUCUAUAUCCCGUGAAGGGUUUGUUUUUCUUGUCAACGGGCUUGUGGUCGGAAGUUUCGUAAGGGUGCAUCCAUUUUCCCCGUACGGUGGUUUGCUUAAAGGUAGGGGGUUCCCAUCGGGCUGUCUGGGCCUUCCAUGUGCUUUCCAUUGCGUAGUACUUCUGUACUAUGUGUGUCAAAUCUGCCAAGUGCUGUAUGCGGCGGCGGUUGAGGGCAUUGAGAAUUCCCUCGUCCGUACAGUUACGACAAAAAACUGAAGCUGCGUCGUCGUCGCAGCAACCUUUAAUCUUGUUUUUAACAAGGAGGAAUCUGGCCCAGAAGUGAUGGACUAUUUCCUGAGGUUGUUGCCGAACAUACAUUAGGUCACAUAUGUCUGGAGGCCCUGAAUUUCUUGGGGAGCAUUGCUUGUGGUGGGUGGGUGGGCUAAGAUCCGAACCCUAACCCACGAUUGGAUCCGGAGUUUGAAGAAUCUCCGAGGUCACCAGUUCAGGAUCAGCAAGGUCCUAAAGACUUCCGGGCUUAAUGCCUGAUCCUAUGUUUGGGGGACAUGUAGUCUCCUCCCGAGGCUGGGUAUCCAGCUUACAGGGCUCAGAGAUCCGAACAUAGCUGGUGCUUAACUUAGGGGGAGAAGCAUUCUCAGCUCGUUCCUCAACGACCGCUACCAGAUGGGUGAUCGGCUGGGACUUGAUUUCCCUCUGAUCGGGUUUAAGCCCAAUCCGAUCAUAGUCUAUCGUGACUCCGAGGGCGGCGAUGCGAUCUAGCAGCUCGUUCAAGGACGAGACAUCUGUCGGAUCCCUCUUUUCAGAGUGUUCGAGGCUGACGCGGAGAUGAUGUUUGCUGAUUGUGGGGGCCGCCAUUGGCUUGAUGGCCAAGCGAGCGCCCAUGGUAAAAGCGCCGAGCUGGAGGACCUGACCUGGAGUUAGGGCCCUUCCAGAAGUAAUAUUGUCACUAAUGACAAGUCGAGUCAUCGAUCCUUCUAUCAACAAGACAAAGGAACUCUCAAUGAAAGCACCAAUGUCGGUGUCAAAACCGGCCAAUCUCGGGUAGGGCGUCCCGAACUCUACGUCUGAGGAUCGAAGGUAACAGGAGACAAAGGGGACACGAUGUUUACCCAGGUUCGGGCCCUCUUAAUGGAGGUAAAACCCUACUUCCUGCUUGAUUGUCGUUGAUGAGUAUAGGGGUUACAAGAGUUGAUCGACCUCAAGAUCGUAAUGGCUAAACCCUAGCUGCCUAGCGUAUGUAAAUUCUGAUAGUCUCUAUGAACUAAACCCUCCGGUUUAUAUACACUACCGGAGGGGUCUAGGGUGACACAAAGUUGGCUUGUGAAGGAAGGAAAUUACAUAUCCGGACAUCAAUCUUGCCGUCCACGCAUAGAAGAGUCCUACCCGGACACUGGGGAAGGCCUUCCGCCUUGAAUCUUCACGGCCCAUCAGUCCGGCCCAUAUCAAAUAUCCCGGACACCCGAAGACCCCCUAGUCCAGGACUCCCUCAGACGUACAACCACCGACCGGUAGCAUCGGAACCGAUCUGGCGCGGUGGCCGCUGCCGGCGCCGUCCACCCACAACACCUCCCAUGCACUAGUACGCGUCGGCGCUAUACAAUCGGUUUUUAACCCCUUUCGACGACGACAUUUGGAACCGUCGCCUAGUGAGUGACGGCGAUAUGGGGGUCCUUCCCACACGAUCCAGAAACCGUCUGGGAUAGGGAGCCUUGAUGCAUACAGUUGUCCCUAUAUAACCAUUUUCGAUAUCUCGAAUAUCCCAAACGCUUCAUCCUUGCUACUCGUUUGUGCUUGCAUUUCCAUCACAGUCGGAGUUUUGUGGUUUUACCUAAAUCCAAGCAGAUUCCAGGCACGGGAGUUUUCCAGGCAGAUUCCAGGCACGGGAGUUUUACGAUGCCUGGCACAUCACAAACAGUUCAUGAUUAUAAACCGUGUACGAUAGGUAGACAAUCACACACAUUUAGUUUUCCCGCACCGUAUGCGAUAGUGUCUGACUUCACACACGCUUUGCAAACGGCAACUGUGUGCAUUGUUACAAAUGUUUCCUCUCCGUGAACCGUGUCGGAUUAUGAUGUAUAUCGCACACUCUGUGCUUUAUUAACCGUGUGCGCCGUAAUGACCUGCACACCCUAAUUUUACCCUAACUUAAUUGCUGCUAUUUAAAAUUGUACCUAAUUUAAACUUGAAAGUUGGCUUUAGCUUUAUUCAUAUCCAUCAGGUUCAAACAACCAAUGCAUUAUUCGAUUCACAGGUACAUAUGUUUAAGAAUUACAUAAGCACCAAAUAAAGAAUGAUGAACCAGGGUUCUAUACUUGUAGUAUUACAGAUGGUAAAGAAAGAGGCGACAAACAUUCCGGUUGCUGAACAAGGUGAAGCGGAAUGGCCCUAUUGUGCUCUCCUAGAUGCGUAAGGCAUGCAGGACUCUAGUCCAACCCCUUGUGAUGGUCGGCCGUCAAUCAUGUAGUUUGAGAGGUAAUCUUGAGUAAAUUGCUUCAGGAUCACUGCAAAGGAAAAAAUAUUCAGACAUUGUCAUCUAACACAACUCAUUACGGGCAGUAAAAAGAAGGCUACAUGGUUCUUACCAUCCUGCAGUUUACUGCUGUCUUGCAUAAAGUUUAAACAAAUAGUUCGAUUGAUGUCUUUGGACCCAUUUUAAUAGCAAUCUUUAUCAGUUUCUUCACUUGAUGCUGGUUCAUGAAUAUCUCAUUACCCCAGAAAGGGUCGAAGUGUGGAACUUUGGCAAUGAUAUAUGUACCUAAAAGCACCAAGUUAAUAUUAGAAACUAAACAACAAUUGAAAACUGAUGUAGUACAACACUCCCUCCAUCCCAUUAUAUAAGAUUUUAUUACAUGUAUAUCUAGACAUCAUCAGAACAUUAAGGUAACACUCUUCCUUGUUGCUAUGUAGCAUGGGAUUGCAUAUUUAGUCAUUAAGUACAAUGUAUGUUGCUAUGUAGCCUCAGAUAUAAUUAAAUAUGGCCCUAGUUAACCUACUGAUAAAUGGGUUACAGAUAUAUUCAGUGAAAUGUCCGAUUCGACGAUUAAUCCCCUAUCAGCCCCAGGCUAUAUGGUACCAGCUACCGAUAUCCCGAACAGUGAGUACAUAUAAGCAAUGCGAUGAAAAUAACCUCGAUGGAAAACGACACUGUUCUCAAUAUUGUCCUGCAUGAGUACAUAUAAAGGCAUGUUAAGCACAACAGGCUAAACAUCAACCAAAUAUAUCCAUGGUAGACAACAUAAUGUACAAAUGAUAGCUUUAGUGUGCAGGCUUAAGCACGCUAGUUAAGCAAAACAAGAAGUGGAAAGGUGUGUUAACUGCAUCAGGCAUAACAUUUAAAAACAAGCAAAUAGUCAUUCAAACUGGUAUUGUGCAGGUCUAAACUACACUAGUUAUUGUUAAAAAACAAAAAGGCAUGUUAACUGCAAUAUCCUUAACAACAACCAAAUAUCGUAAUUCAUAGUGGUCUUGUUGAAACUGUUAUUGAUGAAAUUGAACUGCACGGCAAAUAGUUGCACAUAUAGAGUAUCACAUUGUGAAGAACUGAAAUAAACAAGUCAUAAGGCCAUCUCUAGCCGAUCCUUGAAAAGUUAAAGGAGUAAAACCCUUAGUGGAUAUAUACUCCAGCAAUUUUUGACCUUUUCUAGUCGGUCCCCUAAACUUAACAUUGUAAGCUUCAAUUUGAUCAAGUUCCAAGCAAGUUCAACCGAAAGUAGCAUGCAUUCAAACAUAAACAUAGAUAGUUUUUCAUAACCGAACAUAAAACAUAAAUUUAAACUAGGCUAAACUACUUUCGGUCGAAGAACAGGUCGAGCCAAUCCAUCCUCGUCAUGUACGGUGUGCCGCGAGCCGGGUCCCGGCCGGUGCCAUCGUCGGGGUUGUUGGGGAAGGAACUCAUCCACUCGUCGACGUCAAUCUCCGUCCUCGGGGCCCACCUCGACGCCCUCCGCGCCGCCAUCACCGCCGCCUUUGACCUCGUCAUCGGAGGAGAGCGCGAUAACCUCGUCGGCCUCCACGCUGCCGUCUUCGCCGCCUUCGACCUCGUCAUCGGAGGAGAGCGCGAUAACCUCGCCGCCCUUCGCGGUGGAAAAGAUCGCCCGCUCCGCCUCCACGAGCUCCAGAUGCUGCCGGUGGAGCUCUUGCAUGUAGGCCUCGUCGGCGACCUUGGUCUCGAGGCGCUCCCAUCCUUCGCGGUCCUCCCGCGCCAUAGCCGAGCUCACCACCCCUGGCUCCAGCAGAACGAGGUUGACCGGACUUGUGCUGAAGGGGAAAUUGAGCCAAGCCGCCACGCCGUGGUAGCGGACCUGCCAGCGGUCGAACUCCAUGGCCGCGAGCUCGACCGUGUGGAAGCUACCAAGCCACCAGUGGGUGUGGGUCUCCCGAUCUGUAAUCUAGGCAACCCUCGUCCCCCACCGCCGCUGCCGGACCCCGAGGUAGGACCUCAUAGGCUGCCGGGUCCGAGGGAGGACGGGGAAGUCCUCGAACCGGCGUAGGGGCGUGGCGGCGGGUGGAUCGGGGGACCAGCGACAGCGGAUCGAGCCCGCGGAGGACGAUGGGGACACCUCGGCGGCAACCUUGCCGGCGUCGGGUGAAACGGCCGCGAUAAACCUCUUUUUGGCCAUUGGCUCCUCGAGCUCCCCGGCACAUAGGCAGAGGUUGAGGAUGGAGGCGCCGGUGAUGGCGGCGACCUACCAAUGGUUUCGAGGGUUGUGUGUCUCUGUGUGAGCGGAGGUUUUGGGGAGUGUGUAGUGUGAGUGGAUGGGGGGCGGGGGGCGGGGGUGAGGGAGUUCUGGACUAAGGGGUCCUCGGGCGUCCGACCUAUUAUCCAUGGGCCGGACUGAUUGGCUGUGAAGACAUGAAGGCCGAAGACUGUACCCGUGUCUGGAUUGGACUCUCCUUGGCGUGGAAGGCAAGCUAGGGGACCAACUAUGAAGAUUCCCUCUGAUGUAACCGACUCUAUGGAACCCUAGGUCCCUCCGGUGUCUAUAUAAACUGGAGGGCGUAGUCCGGAAGGCGGAUAUUCAUUACCAUUGUCAUACAUGCUAGGCUUCUAGGUUUUAGCCAUUACAAUCUCGUGGUAGAUCAACUAUUGUAAUACUCAUAUUCAUCAAGAUCAAUCAAGCAGGAAGUAGGGUAUUACCUGUCAGGACCGGAUUUUCGGGGUAUCAAUUUCCCAAAAAUGGUCCUUGUGCUCACCAGCCCCAGGAUUGCUGUUAGCUGAUGAGGCACCAACUUGAUACAGAACUUCCUAGCAAAUUACAAAAUAUGUGGUACAAGACCAUUCUGGCCUAUGAGUACAACAAAUGGUUUCUAGUGGUUGAUGGCGGAAGCGGUUUGUGGUUCAUCAGUGGCCAUGGGACUCCAUUUCCCACAGGAACAGCUGACCAGGAUAACUCCUAUCUUCGCGAGGCUGCUAUCAUCAUUGCGUAGGUUCCGGGGCAGUCGUCGCAACGCUCCUCUCCAUGCAAGAAAUCUGGCCAAGACAAUAGCCAGGGACAAGCCAGUGAGUACUUUGAAUGUACUCGCAAACAUUAUGAACACAGGUAUAAUAUAACAAAUGUAGCCAGGGACAAGCCACGAAAUAAAAAUCCAUGAUGCACGUAAGCAGGUUGUUCAUAUGAAUAUGCAAUAAGGGAGCAGAAAUAGAAUGCACCGAUCGGGUGUCUGAAGCGACGCCUCGAAAGGAUAAUAAUAUAAAGCAUGCCUCAGUCGGGCGUCUGAGCGACACCACAUAAAGGGCUUAUAAAUAAUUUAAAAUAACAAGCGUGCCACAGUCGGGUGUCUGAGCGACACCGCAUAAAGGGCUUAUAAGUAAUUUAAAUAACAAGCAUGCCACAGUCGGGCGUCUGAGCGACACCACAUAAAGGGCUUAUAAGUAAUUUAAAUAACANNNNNNNNNNGUCUGAGCGACACCGCAUAAAGGGCUUAUAAGUAAUUUAAAUAACAAGCAUGCCACAGUCGGGCGUCUGAGCGACACCACAUAAAGGGCUUAUAAAUAAUUUAAAAUAAGAAGUGUGCCACAGUCGGGCGUCUGAGCGACACCACAUAAAGGGCUUAUAAGUAAUUUAACAAGCAUGCCACAGUCGGGCGUCUGAGCGACACCACAUAAAGGGCUUAUAAGUGAAUAAUCGCAGUGAGUAUCCAGGAGGUAGAACUGUCCCAGGGAUACUCAAUAAUUCAAAUAAUGUAAAUGGUUAGUCCACAAUAAUAAUAAUCAUAAUCCUCAUAUGUCACAGGUCAUAAUCAGUGUUCCGGUUUAGCAGUUUUUCCUCCAAAGACCGACACUAAGACCGACACUUGACCCAUCCCAGACUGUAGUCCUUAACCAUGGACACGGCUAUUCGAAUAGAUAUAAUCUCUGCAGAGGGUGUACUCUUUACCCACGUAACGGAUUUCUUUAGUCCAUCGGGACUAAUUCCGUCUACGGUCUUCUAAUUGAAAACACACCUAACCGCACACACCAGCCUAACUUACCGGUGUCUGGAAUCACCCACGACACCCGUUAAGCGAAACUCUAAGUGGGGAGGCUACAACCUCGAUUAGCAUGGGAUCACAAAAUUUAUACCGCGCGCAAACUAGGGGAGCUACCCCUUCGGCUCCAACCGAAAACACCCAUGCCCCCGGACCAGGUGGCAUGCCUACCGGGGGCCUCCGGUAUCUUCCACCAUGGCCUCUCUGUACGGUGUGUGCUAGGAAGGGGUUGACAACUUACUGAACCGUACCCUACCUGUGGCAGGGACAAGUGGUAGUACGAAACAAGUAUGGGGGUUACUGGAACAACACUCGAUCUACGGUCGACUCAGGAGGUUUAAGUAUUCCCUGCAUGGUUAGCAUAACAAAUAUGUUUCAACCAACAGAUUAAAUCACCACUCAUCAUACCUCACUAUGCCGUACCAGACACAACCGUCUCGACGAAGACUGGAGACAAGCCCGUGUCUACCCAAGAUAGAGACUUUCCCGGAUUCCUUCCGGUAGGCAUGAAAGGCAUACAAGGGUGAUUACUAUCACAAGCAUAUCAAAUUCCAACAGCAAGGAACAUUCAUUAUGCACUCAUGAGUAUGAUCAUAUCAUCACAUAAAAUAAUGAAUACUUUGUGUUAAGGUGGUGUUGUAACCGUAUCAAACAACACACAUAAUAUUAUGCCAGGGUUCAGAAUGCUUGCCUUCAAGAGUAUGCAAGUGGGGUGCAUUUUUUUGAAAGUUGCUUCCUUCUUCAAAAUCCUAUUUUUGAGAAUAUUCAAAUUAACGCAUAGUUUCAAAACAGUACAAAAAAGUUGUUUGGAAAAUUUUCAAAUAAAUAUGAAAAUAAACUAGACAGAAUUUGAGAAACAACAGAAAAAGAAUCAAGUCAAUUGGACUUAUAUUUAAAAAGUUAUAGCCAGUCAAAGUUUAGNNNNNNNNNNNNNNNNNNNNNNNNNNNNNNNNNNNNNNNNNNNNNNNNNNNNNNNNNNNNNNNNNNNNNNNNNNNNNNNNNNNNNNNNNNNNNNNNNNNNNNNNNNNNNNNNNNNNNNNNNNNNNNNNNNNNNNNNNNNNNNNNNNNNNNNNNNNNNNNNNNNNNNNNNNNNNNNNNNNNNNNNNNNNNNNNNNNNNNNNNNNNNNNNNNNNNNNNNNNNNNNNNNNNNNUGGGUCCCUUGGGCCCACUGGUCAGGUUUGACCAGUCGCCCGCGCCUCCCGCCUCCUCUGUCCGAGCGGUGGCGGGGUUCCGGCGAUUGACGCCGGCGAACGGCAGCUCCCCACUGGGUUCCGAGGGCAGGGAUGGAUCCGCCAGUCCAGGGCGGUCCUCCCGGUGGUCGAACGGCUGGCGGGGGCGAAGGGAGUCGCCGGCGGCGAGCUCCGCGGUGGAGGUGGCUUCGGGAGGAUUGGGGACUAGAGCUACGAUGGCUCCCCGUCGAAGCUGAGAGGUUGGGCGGCUCCGCACGAUCGAGGGGAGGAGGAUGGAAGCACUGGAGGGACGGGAAAGGCUCUGCUUGCGACGUAUAGCACCGGAGCGUGGCGGCGGCCGAACUGAUCGAAGACGAGGAAGAAGGCUUCCCGCCGUCGAUUGCUGGCCGUGGGGGCUUUAGGGGAAUGGCUUGAGGUCGCCUGAGUGUCUGGACGGGCUCGGGGGCUCCUUUUAUAGGCGACCGAGGUCGGUUCCGCGGUGGCCGGGGAUAAGCUCGACGGCGAACCGCCGUUCUGUUGUUGCAGGGCGACGUGGCGGCGACGAGCGCUUGCAGAUGAGCUCGAGCUGUUCCAGGGGCAGCUGGCGCGCGCGUGUGGCUUGGGCGGCGCCGUCCAUGGCAGAGGCUGCUGCGGCCCCCCGCUCGCUGCCAUGGCCGACCUGACGGCGGCGCUGUAGGGUGCCAGGGGGGACUUGGAUGGUUCUGGCAAGUGGAUGAGGACGGGCGUGGCUCUGCGAGCGAGCAAAGGCCAGGGGGGCGGGGUGAGCGAAUGCGGCGGCUCGGUUGCACGCGCGCGUGCAAAACGUGCGCUCCGGGCGCGCCCAGAGCACGCACGCCAGGCGUUCGGCAAAAUGCCAAGGCAUGCCAGGAGGCUUGGGUGGAGCUGGGGUUUAACAGGUCUAGGUUAGAGUAAUCUAGGGACUUAGUGGACACGUUGGUUUGGUCAGGGGAUCAAGAUCACAAUGCAAAUAUGAAACUAUGCCAAAUCUGUUCAUGCACUCAAGGUGUUCGACAGAAUGCUAUGGGCAUCUAGGAAAUUCUCGGGGUGGCCAAAAACUCCAGGUCCUAGUCUCUUUGGAUGAUAAAGAGGGUGGCAAGGUUAGUUUGUUAGAAACAAAAACUUGUUAGUGCAAGUUUUUGAGAAAACCAAAUCUGGACAGAAACUAAAGGCUAUCUUUGCAUGGACCAAAAUUUUCUCCAAUGGGUCCACUCUCCUGGACUUAAGAAUUUUGCAGGGUGGACUAUAAGCAGGAAAAAGAAUCAUGAACAACAGAGCAAACAAAAAUAGAGUUGCAGUAGAAAAUGCCAAACUGGACCAGAGAGCAAAAGAGGAUGAUUUGCUCAAAUUUUUCAAAGAACACUCAUGGGUUUUUGCAUAAAGUUGAAUUAUAUGCAUCUACUGACAUCUCCAAACACUUGGAAGAAUUUUUAAACAAAUAUUUAAAUAGGUUGUAGUGCAAAAUUACCAACUGGACCAGAUUUGAAAAUUUGGUGUAGAGCUCAAAAUCUCUAAUGACCCAAAGAUAUUUUUGCAUAAAAGUGAUGUGGAAACAUCACAUGACAUCCCCAAAUUUUGGUUGAAAUUUUAAAGAAGUAUUUGAAAGGGUUACAGUGCAAAAGAGGCUCCAUAACUUAUGAAAAAUCAUUUUUAGAAGAAUAAAGCUCGGGAAAACAAUUAUGCAAAUAAACCCACUGAUAAAAGAAAUGUUUUCUUCAAAGGGCAUACAAGUCCAAUAAUAUUUUUGGAAGGUUUUCACUUGGGGUAAAAACUUCACAAUAUCAAAGAAAAGAGAGGUUCUGAAAUCAAAAGAUAAAUCCAGAAAAUAAAAAUUUAAUUUCCUGGCAAAAUUUUAAUAAACAAAAUAUGGUUAAAUUUUUGGGGUGUUACAUUACCUCCAUAGAGAGGGCCCGAACCUGGGUAAAACAUCGUGUCCCCCGUCUCCUGUUACCAUCGAUCCUAGACGCACAGUUCGGGACCCCCUACCCGAGAUCCGCCGGUUUUGACACCGACAUUGGUGCUUUCAUUGAGAGUUCCACUGAGUCAUCGACAAAAGGUCCGAUGGCCCCUUCAAUCGUCGAUAGUGACGCCGUCCAAAGGGAAACCUUCCUUCCCGGACAGAUCUUUGUGUUCGGCGGCUUCGUACUGCGGGCCAACUCGCUUGGCCAUCUAGAGCAGGUCGAUAGCUACGCCCCGAGCCAUCAGGUCAGAUUUGGAAGCUUGAAUUACGUCGCGGACAUCUGUGGAGACUUGAUCUUCAACGGAUUUGAGACCGCGGCGAUCGCUCCCCCUCGCUCCGAUGAACAUGACUUAAAUCUGUCCUCGGACCACAAUCAGGCGAUAGUUCCUGAUACUAUUCCGGCCUCGGAUCCUGAGCAGACCAUGCCAUCCAGGGCCACGGAAUCCGCGGCAUUGGAGCUACGUACAGACUCAACCUCAUACAAUACCUGCACAACCGGAACCCCGGGAUCGUUUCCGGCUAUAAGCUCCGAACUGCAUACACCUGCGGACGUCGAACUUGAUCGUUUAUCGAUCUUCGAAUUCAGCGCCGCAUACAUAUUUCAGCACUCACCUUUGGGCGAUGUGCUAAACUCUUUUAAGAACUUGUCCUUGGCGGGAGACUCACAGCCGAACUACGUCCGGUUCGAACUAGGGGCUGAAGAUGGCGAAUUCAGCUUCCCACCCGCCACCCACUUCAUAGCCACUGUCGAAGACUUAACCGACGAGCUUGAUUAUGGCUCUGAAGACAUUGACGGUAUGGACGACGAUGCCGACAAGGAGCAAGGCCAGGACCCGCCAUUCACUGGACGAUGGACGGCCACCUCCUCAUAUGACGUCUACAUGGUAGACAUGCUGAAAAAUAGCGGCGAUGACAUGGAAAAUCCGGCCAAGGAGGACCCUCCUAAAACACAACCAAAGCACCGUCGUCAGCGGCGCCACUCUAAGUCCCGCCGCAGCAGGGAUAGCAACAUCGGCACAGGAGACGAUAACACUCCGGAUGGUGCCGAGGACACAGAAGAACCCGAUGAACAAACCACCGAACAAGACAAUCGGGAAUCAGGGCAUGCCAGCCCAGAUGAACAGGCCAUAGAAAAAGACUCGAAGGACGAUAGUUACGGUCCGCCCUCCGAGGAGGAGACGAGCCUCGGCCACGAAGACUUCAUCGUGCCUGAGGACCCCCUGGAGCAGGAGAGCUUUAAGCUUCAGCUCAUAGCCACCGCAAGGAGCCUGAAAAAGAAGCAGCAGCAGCUUUAAGCCGAACAAGAUCUGCUCGUCGAUAGAUGGACUGAUGUCUUGAAAGCCGAAGAAUACGGCCUCAAGCGCCCAGACAAGAGCUACACGAAACGCAGACUGCUACCUCAGUUCGAUGAGGAGGCGCCUGAGCCCAUAUCUCCCUCGCGCAAUGCGGAACGACCACCACGUGGUCGAGACAGUGCAGCGUCCCGACCACCCCGUGGUCCGGAUAAAGAGACAACUCAGGCCGAGCAGCAGCCUACCCCACCGCCCCGUAAAAAUAGAGACGGAACGAUUCGGGGUCACACGUACGACUUCUGGCAAACCCUGGACAGUAGAGCAGGACAUACAAGAUCGAUCUACGGAUCGCGAGGGCGUGCCUCGAGACACGACGACGGCUACCUAUUCGGACGUGAUAAACCUAACCACGACCAGGCCGAAUGUCGCAGACGGACUCCAUCAGAGCUACGUCGUGAUGUGGCCCGAUAUAGAGGUGCCGCACACCCUCUCUGCUUCACAGAUGAAGUACUGGAUCAUGAAUUUCCCGAGGGGUUCAAGCCCGUCAAUAUUGAAUCGUACGACGGAACAACCGAUCCCACAGUAUGGAUCGAGGAUUUCAUUCUCCACAUCCACAUGGCCCGAGGAGACGAUCUCCAUGCCAUCAAAUACCUCCCACUAAAGCUCAAAGGGCCAGGCAGACACUGGUUAAACAACCUACCUGAAAAUUCCAUCGGCAGCUGGGAGGACUUGGAAGAAGCUUUUCUUGACAACUUCCAAGGUACUUAUGUCCGGCCACCAGACGCCGUUGACUUAAGUCAUAUAGUUCAACAACCUGGAGAAUCAGCCAGAAAAUUCUGGACUAGGUUCCUAACCAAAAAGAACCAGAUCGUUGACUGUCCGGAUGCCGAAGCCCUAGCGGCCUUCAAACACAGCAUCCGUGACGAAUGGCUCGCCCGCCACCUCGGCCAGGAAAAGCCGAAAUCCAUGGCAGCCCUUACGACACUCAUGACCCGCUUUUGCGCGGGUGAAGAUAGUUGACUGGCUCGUAGUAAAAACACAGCCAACGAGGCAGGCCCCUCCGAGGCCAAAAGCAGCACCGGCAAGCUCCGGCGCAAUAGACACAAACGCCGAAGCAAUGGCGAUAACACCGAUGACACUACGGUUCAUGCCGGAUUCAGUGGUUCCAAGUCCGGCCAGCGGAAGAAGCCCUAUAAAAGGAACAACGAGGGACCAUCCAGCUUGGACCGCAUACUCGACCGUCCGUGCCAGAUGCAUGGCACCCCAGACAAGCAAGCCAACCAUACCAACAGAGAUUGUUGGGUUUUUAAGCAGGUCGGCAAGUUAAAUGCCGAGAACAAGGAAAAGGGAUCACAAAGUGAGGACGAUGACGAAGAGCCCGGGUAGCCGAACACUGGGGGGCAGAAGAAAUUUCCCCCUCAAGUCAAAGCGGUGGACAUGAUAUACGCUACACACAUCCCCAAAAGGGAGCGCAAGCGCGCACUCAGGGACGUCUACGCAGUAGAGCCAGUCGCCCCAAAAUUCAAUCCGUGGUCGUCAUUCCCGAUCACCGUUGAUCGUCGAGAUCAUCCAACAUGUAUCCGCCAUGGCGGCUCGGCUGCACCGGUCCUCGACCCAACCAUCGACGGAUUUCACCUGACACGGGUCCUAAUGGACGGUGGUAGCAGCCUCAACCUGCUCUAUCAGGAUACAGUGCACAAAAUGGGCAUCAAUCCCUCACGAAUCAAACCCACAAAGACUACCUUUAAAGGAGUUAUACCAGGUGUAGAGGCCCGUUGUAUGGGUUCGAUCACACUGGAGGUGGUAUUCAGUUCCCCAGACAACUUCCGAAGCGAGGAGUUAAUCUUUGAUAUUGUCCCCUUCCGUAGCGACUACCACGCACUGCUUGGACGAACCGCGUUCGCUAGAUUCAACGCGGUGCCACACUAUGCUUAUCUCAAGCUCAAGAUGCCCGGUCCACGCGGCGUCAUAACUGUCAAUGGAAAUACGGAACACUUCCUCCGCACAGAGGAGCACACCGCCGCCCUAGCAGGAGAAGUUCAGAGCGGCCUUUUCAAGCAGAACCGCAAUCCGGCUGCCGAGCCCCUGGACACCGUUAAGAAGGUCCAGACCACUCUGCAACAGGACAGCUCGGCUCGUCAAGAGCUCGAUUAGCAAUUCGGCCUCCGUCCCAGUCCCAAUAUGGUAGUGGCAUUCAUACCACGCGUACAUAAUUACGCACUGAAAAUUCCAUGGGCAUUGACGGAGGCAGACCUAGCUUGUGGUCCACAGUACGGCUCGACUGACCCCGGACCCACACAUACUCACCUUUUUUCUUUUUAUUUGUUUUAGGUUCCUUUUCCCGCGGGCCUGAUCACCAGUCCUUUCGAGGAUCGGCAUACAAAGGCGGCAAGCCGUAUAGGUGUGUAGGGUAACAUCUAUACGUUCUUCUUGACGGUAUCUCUACUCCUAUAAAAAAACGAGUUGGUGAUGAUGGCGUGUCUGCCUUCACGUCAUCUAUGUCGUCCGAUCGGCAAUGUAUGGCUGAGAUUGAGACAAGCCAUGGGCCACUUGCACUUUUGCAAAAGCACCCUGUGCUUAGACAUAAUUUUGGAGCAGGGACAUCCCAUACUAGUAUCAUAAUUUCACCCCCAUAGCAUGUGCAAAAAAGUAGAGAGGGUUACCGCAAAAACUGGAUGCACUUCGUGUAUAAAAUGGACAAUCUCUUUCGAAGUAUCAGGGUUUCGGACGAAAACUCAUCCGUUACAAAGGGAUUUCAUUUUUUAAAUAACCUAAGCAUUACCAAAUUGAAUAUAAUGAUAAAACACACUAAUGUUAAACAUAAGAAAAAAGAAUCACUGAAAAUCUAUUUUCAAAGUUAAGUUAUUCACAAACUAGUGAUUCACACAAAUUUCAAAUAAUUCAAAAUGUAAACUAUUCAAAUUUGUAAACUACCGGCACUAACAGAAAGUUUGUAAUUUUUUGUACCUAAAGCAAAAAUAUUCCCAAAGAAACUCUAAAUACAGCAAAAAACAACUCAAAAAUAAAUAAACCAAAAAUAAAUAAAGCAAAAAAAAUAAGAAAAUAAAAAGCCCACCUACUGGGCCAGAGCGGCCUGCGUACGACUAGAAACCCAACCUGUAGUUGGGCCAGGAUGCAGGCCCGCAAGCCCAGUAGGCCCACAGGCAGAGUUGGAGAGCUAGGCCCAGAAGGCCUGCUAUUGAGAGGAGCUCAAUGCAGUGCCCGCGUCGGAGCUUAUAAACUGGUCCUAGCGCUCCUCAACUAGCGAGGUGGGACUAAACUUCUGCGCCCCUCGCCUGGCAGCGCACACCCUUUAGUACCGGGUGGUGGCUCCAACCGGUACUAAAGGGGGGGUCUUUAGUACCGGUUGGUGCCACCACCCGGUACUAAAGGGGUGCGCUUCCCGCCGCUGGGGCUGGCCAAAUUUGACCUUUAGUACCGGUUGGUGGCUCCAACCGGUACUAGAGGCCCAUCUUAUAUAAGUAGCACUUAGAAAUUUCGUCAGUUUUCAUCUGCUUCUUCUCCUCUGCCCCGUCGCCCGCCACCCCCCNNNNNNNNNNNNNNNNNNNNNNNNNNNNNNNNNNNNNNNNNNNNNNNNNNNNNNNNNNNNNNNNNNNNNNNNNNNNNNNNNNNNNNNNNNNNNNNNNNNNNNNNNNNNNNNNNNNNNNNNNNNNNNNNNNNNNNNNNNNNNNNNNNNNNNNNNNNNNNNNNNNNNNNNNNNNNNNNNNNNNNNNNNNNNNNNNNNNNNNNNNNNNNNNNNNNNNNNNNNNNNNNNNNNNNNNNNNNNNNNNNNNNNNNNNNNNNNNNNNNNNNNNNNNNNNNNNNNNNNNNNNNNNNNNNNNNNNNNNNNNNNNNNNNNNNNNNNNNNNNNNNNNNNNNNNNNNNNNNNNNNNNNNNNNNNNNNNNNNNNNNNNNNNNNNNNNNNNNNNNNNNNNNNNNNNNNNNNNNNNNNNNNNNNNNNNNNNNNNNNNNNNNNNNNNNNNNNNNNNNNNNNNNNNNNNNNNNUUUUUAAGUUAUAGAAAUAUUUAUAGAAAUGUUAGCAAUUUUUCUGUUUUUUAGUUAUAGAAAUAUUAGAAAUGUUAUAGAAAUAUUAGUUAUAUAUAUAGAAAUGUUAGAAAUUUUAGAAUUAGUUUUAGUUAGAUGAAUUAGAUUAAUGUCAAAUUGUUAGAAUUUGCAUAUAGAAUUUUAGUUAUCACAAUCCAAUCAUUUAAAAAAUGUUACUUUUUGUGGGCAUAUAGUAUUUGUUCUCGACGAUGCCCGGCCCGCAUCCUCGCCGUCGACCCGUUCGCGACGACGUCCGGCUGACCCAUGUCCUGGAUUGGGCUCCGUCGGGCUGGCACUGGGAGGUGCUACCUGGAGGGGCGUGCCGCUUGGUGAGGAACCCGGCCUCGGGUCCCGUCGUCGAUCCUGAUCUCCUUUGGUGGCGUUCGCGUGGGCCACGUUCGGUGCAGAGGGAGCCGGCCCCGCCGGAGGUGGUGCGUCGUCGUGUCAGGGAGGAGGACGAGCACGUCCAUUGCUACAUGGCUGCUAUGGACGUCAGGUUCUCCAAUACCUGGCAGGUUCUUUGGGCAGAUGACCGGAGAUAUGAUCCUGUGAUGGUUCCUUGUCUUUGGGUGUCCACCGCCCGCGCCCCAGGAACCGCGAGUGGCCUAGAUUCUUCUAUAGUAUUCGAUCUUUAUUAGCUACCUAGCUAGUGAUGUAUUCGAGAUUAUAUAUUAUUCGAGACAAUGUAUUCGAGAUUAUAUAUUAUUCGAGACGAUGUAUUCGAGAUUAUAUAUUAUUCGAGACGAUGUAUUCGAGAUUAUAUAUUAUUCGAGACGAUGCAUAUUAUGUACUAUAUGAUUCAGUUUUUCCUUAUUGAUUGCAUCCAUGCAUUGUAAUUUGAAUACUAAAUUGUUUUAUAUUUCUUCUGUAUUAGUUAAAUAAAAGCUAUGGCGGACAAUACCGGCAGAGAGGGAGAAGAGGCCCUGUUCGAGAUCAUACGCAGCCCUAGCAGGCCAGAUGAUCUGAAUGAAGCAAAUGACGGCUCCCAAUAUCUGAACAAUACCGGGGAGGGUGAUGAUAAGAUAUUCGAUCUCGACGACCGAGCUGAUGAAGUCAUGAACUAUGAUUAUGAUUAUGAUGAUGCAGACAAUGAUUAUGAUGACGAAUACAAUGUUGAUCUUGAAAUAACAAAGACUACCGGCGAGGUAUAUUUAUAUAAGCAGGCAUCUAGUGAUCAUCACAUGUUUUUUUAUUUGAAGAUAUAUUAACGAAUCGAUCUUUCUUCUUCCAGCCCUCCGGAUCGAGCAAAUCUGCUUCUACAGACAGCAAGACAAAGCGCGGCCCGAGCAAAAAGUUGAAGGAGGGUGUAAAGGACAACAUCGAUUCCAUCAAAGCUAGUGGCGAACCCCUCACGCCUAAGAACAUUGCGAGCAAGUUCGUUCGUCAGUGCGGAGUUCUUGUGAAGGACCAACUCCUGAUCUCCAUUCAAGAAUGGAAAGAGCCAAAAACUAAACGCCCAGAUGUUACUUGGGUCGACGACAGAGCAAAACAAAAGCUUUGGGAAUCUCUGAUGGAACAUUUCACCCUACCAGAUUAUUUCACUGAUGCAGAUGUGCAGAAAGUCAAGGACGCUGCUCUUAAGAAGAUGGAAAUUGCAUUCAACACCCACAAGAAACUGUAUGGGCCAACUACCUCGCUGCAGAAAGGAAGACUCCAGAAUUCAAGGGAACACUGGAGAAGCAAAGAGAACACUGGCCCGCUUUCGUGAAAUUCAAGGAAUCAGAAUUAUCUAAGGAACGGUCGAGAAAAAACAAGGCCAAUGCCGCAAAAAAGACGCAGUUCCAUAGGCUGGGUCCAGGUGGCUACGCGGUGGCAAUGCCUAAGUGGGAUAAGUCUGAGCAAGAGAUGGAGGAUGCAGGGGUCACUCCGGUUACUAGGAGCUGGCCCCCCAGGUGCAGAACUUGGUUCUAUGCGCAUGGGGGGGCGUUGGACCCGAAGACAGGCCUGAUUUCGAAGAAGGCAAGUCUAAACGGAGCAGAACAAAAGUUACUUGACGCAAUAGAAGAUGCUCGAAAGGGGGUGUUCACGCCCAACAGAGAGAACGACGAGCUUACGCGCGCCUUGGGAAAUCCUGAACACCCGGGAAGAACACGAGGCAAGGGCGUUAUUCCCUGGUAUGAGGGCUUUUCGGAAUGGAACGACGACUACAGGACCCGUGCAAGAAAGAAGAUGGAGGAGGAGAAGAAGAGGAAGCUGGAGGAGGAGCAGAGGAAGCACGACGCGGAACGCCUUCAAGGCCUAGAAGCAAGGCACGCGGACUUGGCACUCAAAUUCUAGCAGCAGCAGCAGCAGCAGAUCGACUCACUUAGCCAGGAAAGGGGGUCUCAGCAGCGGCAGCAGCAAGCGGAUGAUCAUCCAGCAUUGGAUAGCACCGUCCCAUCCAUGCCGAGAAGCAGCGUUGGUUCCGCUCCGGGCGACGCACUGCUGGAUACAUACCCUGUGGAUGACAUCAUAGAGAACACUAACUGUGAGCUACACUACAAAAUGAAGAACAUAUCCAUGAAGGUGGCGAACGCCGUUGCUUUUACAAUUACCCCCGAAGCAACCUUCCAUUGCACCCCGAUUCCAGAGGGCUAUUCUCGUGUCUUGGUUGAUGAGGUGGUGGGCCCAUAUUCGGGGCUAGAGCUUGACAUUCCUGGAGGUGACGACGAGCAAACACAGGGAGAGGCCAUACAUCGUUUCAUCCUAUGGAAAAAGGAUUGCAUCAUCUUUCGAAGUCCACCGAGACCGCGUCUGCCGACUCCUCCUCGAAGUCCGCCACCGUGUCAGCAGACUCCCGCUCCUCCAAGUCCGCCACCGUGUCAGGCCACACCUCCUGCUUCAAGUCCGGCACAGCGUCAGGCCACACCUCCUGCUUCAAGUCCGACACCGUGUCAGGCCACACCUCCUGCUUCAAGUCCGGCACAGCGUCAGGCCACUCCUCCUGCUCCAACUAAGCCACGUCAGCCGUCUCCGCCACCUAAGCAAUCGCAGAAGAGACACGCCGCAGCUAUGGUGCGUAGCGAUACGAGUCGAGGUAGUAUAGAAAGUACAGGCGGAGACAAGCGAUAUAAAUAUGGUCCAAGCAGCCUCGCUCCUCUUCCUCAGAGGCCUUACGACAUGACCGAGGAUCAAAACGAUGCAAUAGUGCGGGCCGAAGUGGACGCUCAUUUUCGACCAAAACCGGCAACGCCGCCGAGGGAGAAAGUGCCUGAGGAAAAAGAUUGACCACUUCAUUCGUAUGGCUAGACCACCAGCUCCCAAGCAUGUUGACUCAGACUAUGAGCGCCAAAUCAAGAAGGCACAUCGAGCAUGACUACAUAAAGAAGCGAGCUCAAGCUCGAGCCAACAAGCAGCUGUCAAAAAAUGCGGGAAAACCGUUCCCCAGUUGGGAGAACAGGCGGCGCAAUCGACCCCCCCCCCCCCGCUUGUUGUGCCAACAACACAUGAGAGUACGCGCCCAAUAUUAUUGUGGAAAAACCGNNNNNNNNNNNNNNNNNNNNNNNNNNNNNNNNNNNNNNNNNNNNNNNNNNNNNNNNNNNNNNNNNNNNNNNNNNNNNNNNNNNNNNNNNNNNNNNNNNNNNNNNNNNNNNNNNGGGCAAACCGUUUACGUUCCCGAGCUGGGCGAUGUGGUAAUAACCGAGGAGCAUAUAAUGCAGGCUGAAAUGCUCAAGAUCACUGUUGGACAACUCCUCGAGAUCGAGCCCAUGCCUCCGCUUAGAGAGGAGGAAAUAAAACGGAAAUAUGUCCGGGGCCAACCUUUGGUCGAGCCCGAGGAGGUCAAGAACCUCCCAACGAGAAUGUAUGAAUUGCAUGAUUGGUACAUGAAAAUUACCAAGAUUUCCAAUCGAGAGUCCCUCAUGGUGCAAGUCGAGGAGGAUCAUUACUUCCGUAAGAAAGCUCUGGCCAUUGAGUAUUCAGAACUAUUUCAGUUAUUCAAUCAAGAUGCACUCGACAAAUCUAUCGUCAGUUGCUAUUGUCUGUAAGUGAUUUCUUUCUGUAAUUUAAGUCUCAAGCUAGCUCUAGUGCUCAUUGAUUGAUCAUUAAUUACCUGUAAUUAUAUAUCCUCACUAUAUAUUCUUUUCUGUGGUAUUAUGCAGGAUGAAGAUGUAUGAAAUGAAAAGACGCUAUGGCAUUGGGUUCAUUGACCCAAAUACCGUUAAUAAAUACACAUGGAAAUUGGAAUGGUGUAGACAAGAUAUAGAGGAAUCGAUGCUAGAGUUCUUGAAGCGCCUCAAUAGCAAUGAAGAUAUACUACUUCCUUACAACUUCGAGUGAGUCACACUGUCUUGUACUACAAAUUCUGUUUUUGCUUACUAGCUAGAUGUUAAUAAGUGUAUAGGGUUUAGGGUUAUAGUUGAUUAGUGUUAUGCACAUGCUCGCUUAAUUUAUACAUGCAAACGUAUGCGCAUGCAGCUUCCACUGGAUCUUGUUAGACAUUAAAGUUGACGAAGAAAAAGUUGAAGUACUGGAAUCACUACUUAAAAAAAUAGUGACUACAGCAUCGUGAAGGGGAUAGUCGACAGGUUAUUUCAAUCAUUAUUAACUAUAUCUCGGCCUAUUUAGUUCGUCAUUUCCUGAUAUGAACUAUUUUUAAUAACCCCUUUAUUAAUUUUCUUUGCCGGCGGGCAGGGCUUGGGCAAAGUACAUCAAGGUGACUCCAGGAAAAUGGCGACAAAAGCUAUGUUGGUAUCGACCCAAGGUAAGUAAUUAAGUAGUACUAGCUAGCUAGCUACCAUCUCUUUAAUUCUUGUUUCAAUACCAUUAAUUAAUUAACAUGCUUGAUUAAUUAUUAUCUGAUUAAAUUCUAUUGUCGUAAAGGCCCUGAAGCAGGUGUCGGGGACUGAAGUGUGUGCAUACUACGUUUGCGAGAACAUUCGCAUGAUGGCGUCCGAAAGGAGCAGAUCUGAUAGACAGGACUGGGUACGUUUGCCAGAACACUAUUCACAAAUCUUACAUGAUUGUCGAUAUCUAGUCACACAACUAAUACACAUGCAUAUUGAUCUCCUUCUUAACAGUUCAAAGAGGUGCGAGACAAGCUCCUUUCAGAGGAGCGCAUACGAGCACUUCAAGAGGAAAUAGCGGGAUUUUUGCUCGACCAGGUCAUAGAUCCCAAAGGAGAAUACUAUUACCCGCUACCGCCCCCAUGAACCACUUGUCAUCGUGCUCCGAAGGCACCAAGGCAACAUGUAGGAGAAAUUGUAUAUAUAUACAUGUGUAUGUGUGAAUAAUUAAUGGUGGUUGUGAGACAUUCGAUUAUAUAUAUAUGAUCGGUUCUACGAGAAAAUCUAUUUAUAUAUAUGCAUAACGUGUACAAUAUGUAGUAUCGUAAAAUACCAGCAAACAAAAAAGAAUUAAAUGGAAAACACAAAAUUAAUGGAAAAAUAAAAAUUAAAACCAAAACCCUCCCAAACAUUUAGUACCGGUUGGUGCUACCAACCGGUACUAAUGGUCUACCAGCACCUGGGCCUGGCUCGUGCCACGUGGUGGCACUUUAGCGCCGGUUCGUGCCGAACCGGUAGUAAAGGGGGGGGCUUUAGUCUCCACUCCAUAGUGCCGGUUGCAAAACCGGCACUAAAGGCCCUUACGAACCGGUGAUAAAGGCCUGUUCUGCACUAGUGUUGUGGCGGCGCGGAUCUGUGUUGGGGAUGGGUGGCAGCUGGAUCCGGCCAUUAUCGGCUGCGGGCCGGCGCCAAAGUGGAUGCGGCUGAGGGUGGUGAUGCGCCGACGGGGAUUGGGAGGCCGGUACUGUUGGAGGUAAGGCGAAGUGGGUGGAGAAUUUUCACUCCGUGAGNNNNNNNNNNNNNNNNNNNNNNNNNNNNNNNNNNNNNNNNNNNNNNNNNNNNNNNNNNNNNNNNNNNNNNNNNNNNNNNNNNNNNNNNNNNNNNNNNNNNNNNNNNNNNNNNNNNNNNNNNNNNNNNNNNNNNNNNNNNNNNNNNNNNNNNNNNNNNNNNNNNNNNNNNNNNNNNNNNNNNNNNNNNNNNNNNNNNNNNNNNNNNNNNNNNNNNNNNNNNNNNNNNNNNNNNNNNUUUUGUGGUUAUGUUAGUUCUCGGUUAGAGAAGAAAAAACGAAUGUAUCCUCCUUUAACUGGUUAUUGGGGAUCAGUUAGAGAUGUCCUAAGACGCCGUUGCAAACGCGGAUAAGCAGCGCCACCAUAACAAGAGGGACAUGGGUCCAGGCGCCGCCACACCAGCCGACAGCAAUGGUGGCGAGGUUGGGGGAUGGCGCUUAGCUAGGUUUUAAGUGAACGAAAAUAGUAUCUACGUACGGUAUGUUGCAAAAUAUGAUCAGACAUGUCACUAGUCUUACAACAGAGUUGCGAACCAACGAGUGGUUAGAUGGUUAGAAUGACAGUGGUAUCUCCAACCCACUAGGGUUCAAGUCCUAGACUCGACGUUGGUGCUUGCAUUUUUUUGAUUUUAUUUCAGGCCUUUUGGCACUGUACGUUCAGUGAAAGGAGACGUUCCCGUCGACUACAAAGGCAUCUAUGGCGAGUUCGUCAAUGUCAAGAUGAUGUGCCAGUUCGGUCACUCGGAGGCGCUCAUAGAGGUAGGAUGUAUGUUCAUAGGGAUGGGUGGAUGAGCGUUUGGCUCUGUACCGUGUUUCUAAUAAAACAGAGUUGCACGGUCAAUUUCGUUGGAAAAUCCGAAAUCGAAGUUCAGUAGAAAUGAAGUCGGGCGUACCCGUGGUAAUCUGAAAUCCGAAGUUCAGUAGAAAUGAAGUCGGGCGUACCCGUGGUAAUCUGUAAUCCGAAGUUCAGUAUAAAUUUCAUUGGAAAAUCCCCCCAUAACGGACUCCAACUGCCCAACAUGCCGAUCAGAGACGAACUCGUUGCUUCCCUUCCUGCCGGAUCGGGAUCGAUAUAGAAAUGAAGUCGGGCGUACCCGUGGCAACCAUAUCCUACUCCGGCACGAGAACGUGUUUCCCGAUCGAUCUCCUCUCCUACGAUCCAAGCCCAAGCACUAUAAGUAAACUGCCGCACGCUCGCAUAUUCCCAUUGCCUCCCCGAGCAUCGAUCUCCUACGAUCAGAUCCGGUUUCACUUCACCAUCACGUACGUACCUACGUACGUAGCCGGCGAGGAACUGAUCAAGCUCUUCGUUCUCUCUCACGCGCGAUGGCUAGCUUGAUGCCGUCGCUUGCCAUGGACCUGCUACAAGAAGAAGGUGGUCACGAGGACAUUAUACCCGAGGACUUCGUCGGCGUCGGCGUCGUGCGAGAUGCAGAUGACCUGGAGUUGGCCGCGUUUGUGGCCGAGGCGCUGAAGACGGUGGACGCGCCGUCUGACGACGAUGAUCUCAGCUGCCCGAUCUGCUUGGAGAGGGACGACGCGGCGGCGUGGAAGGAGACGCCGUGCGGGCACCGCUUUCACGGGCCGUGCGUAGAGAGGUGGCUGCAGGAGAAAGAGAGCUGCCCCAUGUGCCGUCGCGAGGUCGUCACGGCGCCCACCGCCACCGCAGAUUGUACUGCUGCACACCUACAUUUCUUGUGGAUGGCUGCCUUGGGGUUGCAUGUGUUUGGCGAUGUUCCUGUGGACGACAUGGAAACUGAUGAUGAUGAUGAUGAUGCUUAGGGUGAGCUUCCGGUCGACGUCGGGCACCAGGCUCGAAGCUGAGAUGCUUUUUGAUCGAGAUCAAGUCUCCAUGCAUGCACGAAAGUCGGGGUCAAGAAGACCCAACCUUGAAAACUGUACGUAGUGAUAGAUGCAUCACCUAGUACAUUGGACAUGUCGUUCCGAAUCGAAGGCACCUGACCAUCUUGACAUACUUUGGCCUUCCUUGUGUGUAAAAAUCAGAUGUAAACUACGUGUGUGUGUGUGUGUGUGUGUGUGUGUGUGUGUGUGAUCCGUGCAUCCUUGCCGAUAAAACAUGAUCUAGCAGUCUAUGCCUCACACACUUCGCUACACCUUUGUGAGCCCAUAUACCAUAUGCCGUCAAAGUAGGCUAAUUACUUCAUAGUACAUACUAUACGUACGAUAACCCUCAUUUUUUAGUAUUUUGCUCCUGUUCCAAACCUCAGAUGUUCUAGGUAUUCUCUCACAUACUUGCAUCUCAUGUGUCUGUAAAGGUCAUUUCACUUAUAUUUGGGCGACAACGCACUAUGUUCACAAUUUAUUUCAUCAAGACACAUGCUAGAAAUUUACACAACUUCCUUUCAAUUCCAUACAUUUAUCUUUCUGAAGCGCUCUAGUGCUUGGUAGAAUAUACACUCGACUUCUUGAUCUCAAGAUCCACCACACCAACUAUUCUUUCUCCAUCCAAAAUAUCAUGCAUCUUUUCAUUUCUAUUUUCCAAAAAGAGGAUUAAAAAGUAUAUGGUUGUUCAUCCGUUCACCGCCAAAAAUAAUUUGUUUUCUAUUCGAGAUGGUACUAAAUUCUUAUGCGUUUGUCUAAUAGAAAAAGAAUUUUCGUGCGUGGGCCGCGCGCUGUGGCCCAGCAAAGCCAGCCCCCUUAUUUAUUCUGCCCACGUAGCUGACAAAUUCUAUUUUACGCGCUGGGCGUGAAAUAGUUGGAGUUUCGUACAGGACAACCAAUUAUUGGCUGGCUUUUUCUUAAUUCGUGUGUUUUACAUAUAUUUUUAUUCUCCUUUACCUAUCUUUUUUUUCAAUCCCAGUAUUUUUAGAAUGUAUUUCUUAAAUAAAAAAAUACUGUAAAACGUUCAGAAUUCCAAAAUUUUGGUUCUAUUUUGAAAAAUUAUUCGAAACUUGCAAAACGUUUCUCAUUUUUUCAAAAAACAGUUCUUUUUUUCAAAAUUGUUCCAGAUUUCUAAAAAUAAAAUGGCAUUUAAAUUUUUUUGAAAUAUAUAUUAAUUUUAUUUAAAUUUUUCCCAAUUAAAAAUAAUGUUCGGGGAUCAAAGAUACACAUAUUCUGAAAAUAUUAUGAAUUUUAAAUACAUGUUCCUGUUUUAAAAAAAUGUCCAUAAAUUCAAAGAAUGAUCAUGCUUUUUAGUUGAAUUUCCCCCAGGCCAACAAAUAACGGGCUGGCGCAUUUUUCUUUGUUUCUGUGUUUUCCUUUCAUUUUUAUUCUUCUUUCCCUAUCUCAUUUUUUCCUUUGAAAUUUAUUUUUCUUUGAGAAUUUAUUUAGUAAAUUAAAAAUUCUCAAAACCGUUCGAAAUAAAAAAAUGGAAAAUUUUCAGAAUUCCAAAUUUUCGUCAUUAUAUUGAAAAAUAUUUGGAACUUGCAAAAAGUUUCCAAUUUUUCAAAAACAAUUAUUGUUUUUCAAAAUUGUUCGAGAUUUCUAAAAGAAAAUGGCAUUUCAAAAAAUGCUCUAAAUUCGAAAAAAUAUUCUUGUUUUACUGAAUUUUUCACUAUUUAAACUAAUGUUCGUGUAUAAAAGAUACACAUUUUCUAAAAAUCUUAUGAAUUUAAAACACAUAUUCCCGUUUUAAAAAAAUGUUCAGAAAUUCAAAUAAUGUUAAUGUUUUUAUAAAAAAAGUUGGUGUUUUGAGAAAAGAAUUCUGAAUUUUAAAAUAAGUUCCCUUUCAUAUUUCUUUUGCGAUUUUCCGAAAGUGUACAUAAUUUUCAAAAACUUUUCAAGAUUUAAAAAGUUGUUCAUGUUUCUUAAUAUAUUUAGAAAUUUCUUACCUUAAAAUCCCCUCCACUAAAAGGAUUUUAAAGGAAAAGUAGAUUGAAUAACUCAUGGGCCUUCUCUGACGUAAUUAUUUUUUUCAAAAGGAGGAUAACCCCUGGGCUCUGCACAGGACGAUGCAUGCAGCCAUAUAUUAUUGAAAAUCCAAAAUCCAGCAGCCAAAGAAACUCGACUCGGAAAUAAAAUGGAAAACAAACCCUGAGGCCAAAUACCUCGUGAUAGCAACUUCCCCAGAUAGCCACUAACCAUAUGUUACAAGGCACAACAGAGACAAAAAAUACACAACUCCUAGGCUACACCUUCAAGAAAACGUCAGACGUGCACCAAUGAUGGCGAGUCCACCACAAGGUUGAACUCUGGAUUCUCAUCCCCAAGCCAAAUUUCGAUCCACCACCUUCAACGAAAACACGACGCAUGCGCGACAUGACAUAGCCCGAUUUCAGAUCUUGUGUUUCCACCGAAGUGCAUAAUCGUCGUUGAGGCCUCCUGUACCAUCCGCCUUUAUCCGUCUACCAACCCCUCGAUAUUCGGAUAUUCGGAUACCUCUGGAGAAGACAAUGGAAGAUAAAGACAUCUCAUACCGCCUGCCCCCACUACUGCCGCACCACCUUCUAUCCAAUAGCAACAGGCUAAGAAUGAGCCCUCCACUAGAGCCAUCGUGCGUCACCUGCCGAUAGCAGGCAUGAUUUAACGUCUACACAUAAGACGUUGUGCAUAACAUCCUCCGGUAGCACAUCCACCCGGUAGCUUCACCUGCCGACGACAGGUACUGCCUAACAACUCCGAAAGAGUCACAUGUGUCACCUACCGAGCCGCAUCGAACCCGAUCUGUUGAUGGAAGGGACGUCCCAUACCGCCACCAGCCUUAGAAGGUUGUCGCCACCUCGAGAUCCAGACUCCGAGUCGCCCACACGACCCCGGUGUCCGCCGCCGUUGAUGAAGAGGGGCCGCUGCCCCGAUUCCGGGUGCUACAGGGAGCACCCAUCACCGCGUCAUCCGCUGUCGUCGCCCAUACAAUGGCAACUACCGCCGCAAUCCCGCAUCAAGCGGGGUUGACGCCGAAGAAAGCUCCGGCCGCCAUGCGUGCCCUGCACGAGCUCAGAAACUGGAUCCCAAGAUCCACCGCCACCGGCGCCGCCACAGCAUCCCGCAUCAAGCUUUGACGUACGAUGAUGUAACAAAACUCUUAAAUGUCCUUGAUCAAUGAAUAAAAAAAUUAGCGGAUUGAUUCCAUCACACACGAUGAAACCGAGAAGCUAAAUGUUCCUUUUUCGUGUGCGCACAGGGUUUUGCAUGCACAUAUAACUCCCACUGACUUUAAAUGCAUAUUAUUUUAUCUCCCGUUGCAACGCACGGGCAUAUGUGCUAGUAAUAAUAAAACAAGAAAUAUUUCUUAGUACAAGAAUAUUUAUUAGAGUAAAAUAUUUAGAAAGUUGUGGUCAUCUUAUAAUAAAUGUUAUCAUUCUUUUAAAGAUUUGAAUUUUUAGAAAAAUUAAUGAGUUUUUUAAAUUGCAUGAAUAUUCUUGGAAACCAUGAAAGCUUUUUUAAUUUUGUGAACAUUUUUGAAAGAAAGAAAAAACUCAAAAAUAAUCUAAAGAAAACUAGAAGAAAUAGAAAAGAAACAGAAAAUUGGAAAAUCCAACCAAAAAAAUGGAAAAGCGAUAUAGAAACCAACUCAAGACGGAAAACUGAAAAGAAUUAUCCUAAUGAAGUGGUGGGGCGAGAGAAAGAAAGAAAGCAUGAGAAACGAGAUGGCCCAUUACAAAGCAAAGGAUGUACGAUCUCACGACAUUUAGUCAUGGUGCUUGAAAAAUAGCAUAUAUGUGCCUUGUCGUGACACCAUGCCAAGUUUCACGAUUUUUGGUUGAGUUUUGGAUUUACGGGAUUUAAAAACCGAGAUUCUUCUCACGAAAUGUUUUCAAAUAGCACACGAUUCACUCACGAAAAACGUGGGCCUGUCAAACCGUGGCCGAUGCCCCCCUUCAAACCGUGGGAUUGUACGUCUGCACCGUUUGAUGCUCGUAGAUCGAACGGCAAUCCUCAUCCCUUUCGACAGCACAUGCAGUUCUGGAUUUUAUUUUAUUUAUAUGGGUAAGCACUGUGCGCAUGCGUCGUGCUAGCUCACACUUCCUUCUCUACUAAGUUUUCUAUAUUAAUGUCGUUAUAUAUCCAAACACGCUACCGUUUCCUACCACUCCUCCCAUCGGUUUCUCGCCUCUUCUCCCAUUCUUUUCCCGUUGCCAGUGUUAGUGCUCAUAGAAGGCAAGGAGCGACUAGGUCCCAUAGGGUGACCAGCGUAAACACCUUAAAGGCAAGGAGGCACUUCCUAUAAGUAAGGGGCGGCUUCCCAUCCGCUAGCCUAGUCGAAUAGAACGUAGAAGUUAAGCAUGCUCGGGCCGGAGUAGUCUAAGGAUGGGUGACCCGGUGGGAAGUUGCAUAUCUCAAACUUCAUUUAAACGCUAUGACACAGUCAUUAUAGAGAUAUAUGUCUCUAUAGUGACCUGUCAUGGUGAUUAUAUAAACUUUGGGAUCCUUGUUUUACUAAUUUGUAGACUAUGUUUUUAUUGGUUAUUUUUGCUGUAAAAAAUCAAAGAAAUAUCGACAUCUGUAGGCCCACACAAAUUAUUCCUUUGACCCAACGCAACGCAUGAGAAGCUUUUACUCUGUGCUCCGUGUGCUAUGUUAGAGAAAAUCACGUUUCAGCACAUGCGUUGGACGGCACCCGACCCCUACCCCCUACCCGCCUCGAAGUUGCGUUCCCAACAUCGUACGUCUUUAACCUGGGCGCAGAGGUACGAUGUUCAGUUUGUAAUGUUACUGAUGUAGUUGAUGCCCCAUCAAACUUGUGCUUUUGGGAUUUGAACAAAUCACACACCAGAUCCAUACAUUUUUUUGGGGCCCAUGAAGGGUAUAGGGGGACGGGUGUUUUGAUCGAGCAUUUCUCCCUUGUGUGGUUUCUAGAUGCCGCACAUAUCCGUGGGCUCCCCCAUAUCGAGCAUGUAUGCACCUUGACCAUUAACGAGGGGGGCCCACACAAUCUAUCCCUUUGACCCGACAUACGAGAUGGGUUUGACCAUGAUGAUUUCCUAUUGCUNNNNNNNNNNNNNNNNNNNNNNNNNNNNNNNNNNNNNNNNNNNNNNNNNNNNNNNNNNNNNNNNNNNNNNNNNNNNNNNNNNNNNNNNNNNNNNNNNNNNNNNNNNNNNNNNNNNNNNNNNNNNNNNNNNNNNNNNNNNNNNNNNNNNNNNNNNNNNNNNNNNNNNNNNNNNNNNNNNNNNNNNNNNNNNNNNNNNNNNNNNNNNNNNNNNNNNNNNNNNNNNNNNNNNNNNNNNNNNNNNNNNNNNNNNNNNNNNNNNNNNNNNNNNNNNNNNNNNGCUGGGAAACCAACAUCGUACGUAUUGAACAUGGCUUGGGUCGGGUACGGCGUUCGGUUUGUAAUGUAGUUGGUGCCCCACCGAAGUUGUGCAUUCGGGAUUUGAAUACAUCACACACCACCGUACCCAUACAUAUUUUCAGGCCGUAUACAGUGUACACGGGGUCUUCUGAUCGACCACGUCUCCCUUGUGCGGUUUUUUGUGACAACACGCAUAUCUGUGGGCUCCCCGAGUGUAUGUUGAUACGUCUCCAACGUAUCUAUAAUUUUUUAUUGUUCCAUGCUAUUAUAUAUUCAGUUUAGGAUGUUUAAUGGGCUUAUUUAUACACUUUUAUAUUAUUUUUGGGACUAACCUAUUAACCGGAGGCCCAGCCCAAAUUGCUGUUUUUUGCCUAUUUCAGUGUUUCGUAGAAAAAAGAUAUCAAACGGAGUCCAAACGAAAUGAAACCUUCGGGAGCGUGAUUUUUGGAACAAACGUGAUCCAGAGGACUUGGAGUGGACGUCAAGCAAUCAAUGAGGCGGCCAUGAGGCAGGGGGCGCGCCUACCCCCCCACCCCCCCAGGCGAGCCCUCCACCCUCGUGGGCCCCUCGUGGUUCCACCGACCUACUUCUUCCUCCUAUAUAUACCUACGUACCCCCAAACCAUCAGAAGCGACCACGAAAACCUAAUUCCACUGCCGCAACCUUCUGUACCCGUGAGAUCCCAUCUUGGGGCCUUUUCCGGCGUCCUGCCGGAGGGGGCAUCGAUCACGGAGNNNNNNNNNNNNNNNNNNNNNNNNNNNNNNNGGCGCGCCCUCCACCCUCGUGGGCCCCUCGUGGCUCCACCGACCUACUUCUUCCUCCUAUAUAUACCUACGUACCCCCAAACCAUCGAAGAGCACCACGAAAACCUAAUUCCACCGCCGCAACCUUCUGUACCCGUGAGAUCCCAUCUUGGGGCCUUUUCCGGCGUCCUGCCGGAGGGGGCAUCGAUCACGGAGGGCUUCUACAUCAACACCAUAGCCUCUCCGAUGAUGUGUGAGUAGUUUACCUCAGACCUUCGGGUCCAUAGUUAUUAGCUAGAUGGCUUCUUCUCUCUCUUUGGAUCUCAAUACAAAGUUCUCCUCGAUUCUCUUGGAGAUCUAUUCAAUGUAAUCUUCUUUUGCGGUCUGUUUGUCGAGAUCCGAUGAAUAGUGGGUUUAUGAUCAAGAUUAUCUAUGAACAAUAUUUGAAUCUUCUCUAAAUUCUUUUAUGUAUGAUUGGUUAUCUUUGCAAGUCUCUUCGACUUAUCAGUUUGGUUUGGCCUACUAGAUUGAUCUUUCUUGCAAUGGGAGAAGUGCUUAGCUUUGGGUUCAAUCUUGCUGCGGUCGAUCCUAGUGACAGUAGGGGAAACGACACGUAUUGUAUUAUUGCCAUCGAGGAUAAAAAGAUGGGGUUUAUAUCGUAUUGCACGAGUUUAUCCCUCUACAUCAUGUCAUCUUGCUUAAAGCGUUACUCCGUUCUUAUGAACUUAAUACUCUAGAUGCAUAUUGGAUAGCGGUCGAUGUGUGGAGUAAUAGUAGUAGAUGCAGGCAGGAGUCGGUCUACUUGUCACGGACGUGAUGCCUAUAUACAUGAUCAUACGUAGAUAUUUUCGUAACUAUGCUCAAUUCUAUCAAUUGCUCGACAAUAAUUCAUUCACCCACCGUAAUACUUAUGCACUUGAGAGAAGCCACUAGUGAAACCUAUGGCCCCUGGGUCUAUUUUCCAUCAUAUUAAUCUCCCGUUAUUUCCAUUACUGUUUACUUUGCUUUCUUUACUUUUACUCUUUAUCAUAAAAAUAUCAAAAAUAUUAUCUUAUCAUCUCUAUCAGAUCUCACUCUCGUAAGUGACCGUGAAGGGAUUGACAACCCCUUUAUCGCGUUGGUUGCGAGGUUCUUAUUUGUUUGUGUAGGUGCAAGGGACUUGAGCAUGACCUCCUACUGGAUUGAUACCUUGGUUCUCAAAAACUGAGGAAAAUACUUACGCUACUUUACUGCAUCACCCUUUCCCCUUUAAGGGAAAACCAACGCAGUACUCAAGAGGUAGCAUAUGUAUAUAUAUAUAUAUAUAUCACCCCUUUGACCGAUAUAUCUCUUUUUUUAGGCAAUAGGAUAUAUCUCCUUCGGCUAAACAUUGUGGGUUUUCUACUUCAGCUUAUAUUUCUAUUUGUAGAGAUUUGUGGGCCUUCCAGACAAUUAUUUUUUCCAAGCUUGAUCAUAUUUUGAGCCUAGAAUUAUGUGGGUUAAUCUCGACCGUAAUAACUCGGUCCCACCAGAUUAACAGCUCCUAAUUUCUGAUUAACGUAGUAAUAUCUAGGGAGUCACAAAUUAUUAUGAGUAUAGAUAAUAUUAUAUAAUAGAUGUUUUUCUAAUUCCCAUCCAUUUUUAAGUUAUUUUGAAACUGACAAGAUCACGCGUUCUGUUUUCAUCGCGAAAACAGAGUCUUCAAAAAAGCACUCCGUGAAGAAGUUGAACUUCUCGAACAUGCCGGUUUGAACUUCACUCUAUUUUUCACGUGCUACUUUUUGCCCGUAUCUCCCCAACCACUCAUCGGAAUUGAGCAAAAGAUAUACCGCUGGAAAGCUGUUGAAAACGCACAACUUCCCUGUAUUGAUCAUUUCUUCAUAUUUACCACGGUUAAAUAGAUUUUUCUGAAUACAUAAACACUUGUUUGUAAUGGUAUAAAUGAAACUUUUAAACCGUUCAUUGAAGUGAAUCAUAUAAUAUACCGUUGGAAAGCUUAUGAAUAGUAGAAACUUUUUCAUGUAGAUAGUUUUCACAAAUUCGUUGCUGUUCGCGAAUAGUUUUAGAAAUGGCAAAAAGAACGUUGCUCUUGCCUUUUUUAACAUGUAAAUGAAUGACGGAUGUCUCGCACUAGAGAUUUUGAACCGUGCAGGGAGAAGCACGUGAACUUCUCGCAACAAAACUUUUAGUCUUCUAGUUUUGUAUUCUUUUAUUCUCUUCCAAAAUGUAUAGUAGUUGAAUUGCUCGUUGUUUUCACUUUGAACUGCUAUCACGUAUUUUUGUUCGUGCAGAGAUAGAGAGAGGUACGUGUGAGAAAUAUAGAGAUAGAAAGAGAUACAUGAAAAUUAAAGGAGUUUUUUUUUCCUUUUCUGUAAUUAAAGAGAUACGCAUGAGAAAUAGAGACAUCAGAGAGAGAUACGUGAGAAUUAAAGCCACCGAGAGAUAAGACAGAUACGUUCAGAUUUGGCAUAUUCUCUUGUUCAUGACUCUCCCAGUUUUCAACAGUACUCCCUUCAUCCGGAAAUACUUGUCAUUAAAAUAGAUAAAAGAAAAUAUAUUUAGAUAUAUUUUAGAUUUAGAUAUAUUUGUUCCUAUCCAUUUUGAUAACAAGUAUUUUUGGACGGAGGGGACAUCUAGAGAAUAGAGUUGUUUAAACACGAAACGUCUUAGGCCUUUGUUCACCUCGCCAUAUGUGGCAUAGCCGCAUGCACAACCUAUGAGUGGUCAUUUCAACAGUAAUCUACCUAUCCUGCCAGACCUGCUCCAGAGAGGGCCUCUGCCUAUGUGCGUGGACCUACCCAGCUCUUGUCCCUAGGAGCACCGCUGUUGGUUUGGUCAAAAUGGAUAGGAUUAAUAUGCUACCACGGCUGCUGUUCGACUGACCCCUUCACCAAUCUCAUCAACAUUGAAUAACCAGAUAAAAGGGGUUCGGGACUCCCGGGUGCUACGACACCUUUCCGGCAGCAGUCACCAGGUCCCAUGAGAGCGCCCUCACCAAAGCUGCUAUGCAUGGCUUUAUGAACUCGGUGCCGGUGCCGGCCAGGGCUGCUGCUGUAGCGUAAUAUCCCACAGUACGGAGAGGCGACAAGGGAGGCAGAAACACUCGCGCCCAUUGUGUCCGCACCCUCAUAACUCUAGUACAAAAUGGGCUUUUAGUCCGGGUUUUAGAGAGCCUUUAGUCCCGGUUCUGAAAUCGGAACAAAAGGGACGGUACUAAAGGCCCCCCUUCGAACCGGGACUAAAGGCCCUCCACGUGGCCGCUGUCUGGAGCUUCACCUUUAGUCCCGGUUGGUAACUAAAGGAAAUUUUUUGGAUUUUUUUGUAAUUUUUUCCUGAUUUUCAAAUUUCUGAAUUAUUUUACAAUUUAAUCUCUAAUCACUCCUCAUCACUGUUCAAUUUAAUCUAUAAUCUCUAUUCUCUAAUCACCCCUCAUCAUUCCAAAUCGUCUAACUUCCCGUCCGGUCACCCAUCCUGUUACUACUCCAGCCUGAGCACGCUUAACUUCCGGGUUCUAUUCCCCUCGUUUCCAAGUCUGCACUUGUUGUUUUCCAGACAAUACUAAGAUGUUAAUCCAAUUAACCCUCAGAAGUUUAGCUUGAGUAUGAAGUCACACGUUUCACUGUUUGAGUUUGAAACUAUUAAUCUAAAAACAGUAAUUAUUUAGUAACACUAAUAUUUCUUGAAUAAGUAGUUUGAACACAGUUUGACCACAGUUUGACCUGAUUUGACCAAAAUUCAAAAAAACUGAAAUAAUUAUUUAGUAACACUAAUAUUCUUGAAUAAUUAUUUAGUAGCACUAAUAUUUUUUGAAUAAGAAGUUUGACCACAGUUUCUUUCCUUUAAGAAUUUGAGGAUUUAACCAAAAUUCAAAAAAAUUGAAAUUUGAGCAUAUCUUUUUUUCCUUUAAGAAUUUAAGGAUUCUAAAAAUUUGCAAAUAGGCCUACGGCCAUCAAAAUCGGAUGCGGAUUUUCGUGCUGAACAUUUUGAUAUAUUAUACUUUUUUUCCGACAUCAUAUGCAAAAGUUAUAGCCGUUUUACUUUUUCCCUACACUUUUUGCAAAACAUGUCCAAAUUUAAGUUUUUAAAUUUUCCUAACUAGUAGAUGUAGUAAUAUAACUACAUCUUGAACGAUUUUAUUUUUUGAAGUUUUUAUCAUUUUCUUUUGUUUUUUUUAAACUGAAAUGACGAUACACCGGGGGGGUAGUUUUUGAGACACGAACCCCUUUAGUCCCGGUUUGAGACACGAACCGGGACUAAAGGGCAUCACACCCUAUAGUCCCGGUUCGUGUCUCAAACCGAGACUAAAGGUCUCAUCUUUACUCCCGGUUUGAGAUAAAAACCGGGACUAAAGGGCAUCGCACCCUUUAGUCCCAGUUCGUGUCUCAAACUGGGACUAAAGGUCUCAUCUGAACCGGGACUAAUGCCUUUAGCCGCUCGAACCGGGACUAAUGCCCACAUUAGUCCCGAUUUGUAAUGCAACCGGGACUAAUGUGUAUAUUGAGCUGUGACCAAAACCCUGUUUUCUACUAGUGUAAGAAGAUAUGCAUGAGAGAGAGGCCUGAGAAUUUGUGAUAGACAUGUGAGAUAGAGUAGAACAGAGGUUGGCAUAGAGACUUGAUACAGGGACACGUGAAAAAUAGAGAGAUGGAGAGAGAUAUGUGUGAGAAAUAGGGAUAUAGAGAGAUACAUGAGAAUUAAAGCGGACCUUGAUAGAGAGACACGUGAGAAAUAGAGUGAUAGAGAGAGAUACGUGAAAAUUAAAGCGGUUUUAAUUUCUUUCCUUUUCUGUAAUUAAAGAGAUACACAUGAGGAAUAGAGAGAUAAGAAAGAUACGUGAGAAUUAAAGCCGUUUUAAUUUUUUUUCCGUUUCUAUGAUUAAAGAUCAGAUCUACACCGUUAUAAUCUUGACCCACAAAAUCAAUGGCCUCCAUUUUCUAUAUUUCUCUAAUUGAUGUGGGAAUUUCUCGGGAGUUCCUAUUAGUAUAGGUAUAUAUAUGUGCAAAAAUCUCGACAUUAAUGAACAUAUAUCUCGUGCACUUGCAAUCUUUUGUAGUACAUUAAUGAAUAUUUAAAAUAUUUUCUAACUCUUGCUAUUUAUAGACUUGUCGUCCGUGUCUGCCACAUUUGGAGUCCAACUAUUUCCUACUGGAACCUUACACUCGACUAGAACUGAGUUUGUCAAGUAACAGAUAACCAAUAUGAGAGGGAGCAGCCUAGUGCAGGCGACGAUUGUAUUCUUCAUUGGAUGCCUUGUGCUUUGUGCACAGUGUAAGUAUAUAUCAUCAUCGUCUUUAGAAUUUUGUGUUAACUUCUUGCCACUAAUUCUUCAGAUCAGACAUACAUACAAACAUACAUCUGCGGUACUGCAUACUAAGGUUAAAUAUACUAUAUAGGUGCUCUCGAUAAUAAGCAAAUGAUGGUCAACCAAGAUGAUCAUGCGACGAACACAAGUACCAACGCUACCAUCGUCAACUCAACAUCUGUAGGCGAGAGCAAGAAAAACGGGAAAUUUUGCAGCCUCUAUCUCGUAUGUUAUUUCAACUUUGAGAUCCGUGCUCAGUGCUACUGUUGCCAGGAUAAGAAUGGCGACUGUUACAAGACGAAGAGUGAGUGCCUGAAGAAGUGCCAUUCCUACAAUGGUUAAUGCCCACCUUCAUCGGGGUCUCUCGGAUAGAAUUCCAUAUGCUCGGAAAAUUUGUCCGUCGGUAAUAAAAGGCACCUUAUAUGGUUUGGGCAAUUAGGUUCCAAUUAAACAUUAGAUAGCCCGCAUGUUUCCGUGGAGAUCCAACAAGGAAAAAUUUGACGAAAGAAAUCCGAGUAACUAGUUGUCUUGCAUAUUUACAAAGUUCAAAUCCUUUGGUUGUGGUGCUUUGACUCGAUUGUCUAUUAUGCUCUUUCAUUUACUUGCACAUCGCCCACUUGUUU